rnacentral:lncRNA from 1 species
GAGUAUAUUGUAGAGCAUGAUACGUGUACAUGAGCCAUAGGUUGAAUGACCUGAGUUUAAUGUUUUUAUUUUUGUGGGAUAUGAUCAGCAUUACUAAGAGGAAUAGAACUGAACCCCUUAUGUUGGGAACUGGAAUCAUACAUCAUUCUAUGAAAAGUAUGUGAAUAUAUGUUGGGUUCAUAAAACUGAGAUGUGAAGCAUGCGUAGGCAUCAGCUAACUAGGGUACGAAACUUUAAGCUGAGAUAAGAAUGGGUCAGGAAUCGUCUUCCCUUGCUACUUUUCUAGACACACUGGCACUACUACUGGAAUCUAAAAGCCUGACUGGCUUACUUGAUCUAUCAUCUCCCCCUUAGCUUAAAGCCAUCAACAUAAGUCGGUGAAUACUCUACUAAACUCUAAACUGCACUGCAAUCAUCGUAACAUACUUACACUAUGUAUGACACAUGCUUGCCUUACUAAACACAUUGUUUCUGUUUCUUCAUACACUACUAAUUUCAAUUCCCCUAAACUCGAUCCACACCUGUAUCUAAUCAAUAAACUUAAAUUCUAACUAGCACUGUUCAAGCCUACUGAUCUACCCUGGGUACAACUAUCCUUAUGAAUACAUAACCUAUUCAAUCUGAAUGAUAUUAUCCCAACUCUAUUACUACUAAACUCAUGGGUUUAUGCUUCUGAAUCUAGGCCUAUGCUAUCAUAGGAUUCUGAGAAGGGAUCUGAUAACCUAUCUAAAUUCGGGUUCAAGAAUGAGUUCUCAUGUUCACGAAUAAAAUCUAUACAACUUUGGGACAGAAUCGAACUGUUGGGAUAUCUUUGAACAUGUGGGCAAUCCCAUAGUUGUCUGCAGGGACUGUCUGAGAAAGCCCUAUCUUUAGGACUUUGAUCUUCACCAUUUCUAUUACCUCAGAAGUAAGGUAGAGUUGACAUGAAGGGUGUAUAAUGUGAAUCUACACGAUUUUCUUAAGGAACCUUUCUAUAGCAUGAUCUGAAACAUGAAAGAAGUGAAACUGUUCCUAAAACAUCUCAUAGCCUCCUGCACAUAACUGUUUUGCACAACACACCCAUGUACAAGACUCUACUAGAUGCGACUUUCAGACUUCCUAGGACACUGUUGAAACUUAGGCUCUGAUACCAAGUUUGUAAUGCCCUAAUUUUUUAAAAUAAAAUGCUACAUCGUGCUCAUGACUCCAAAGGACCAUGAUCUAGCCCAAGACUAAUAUCUGUACCUGUAUACUACAUAAUAUACAAUAAAAUGUGGAAACAUGAACUGAAUGGCCAUAAGGUUCAAAAGUGAAUAAACAUCUAAUAAAUAAUAUUUAAAAAUGGUAUAAUAACACCAAAGAAAAUCUAAAAUAACUGUCUAACAUGCUAUAGUCUGUAAGCCUCUAAAAUAAACUAAAUAAGGAGCUGAUGGGAUAUGUUCCCAACUAACCCCAUCUAAUGAAAUAAACUAAAAACUAAAAUGGUAAUGUAAUCAUCAUAUCCUCGAAGGAUGAGGACUCACAUUUGACUCUGACUGCUGAACAGGGAUGUUAGAUGCUCUGGAGAUCAUGCUUCUAAACUUAUAGUAUAAGACACCAUAACACAAAUGCGUUAGUACUUUGAAUAUACUAGUAUGAAAGUAAGGUAAGAUGAAUUCAAUAGGUUCAUAUGCAUUAGCAAUACUAAUUGACUGACUAACAAGAAUGUGAGAAUACAUGCAUGCAUACGUAACUAUAACUGACAUUGUGAUAGGAUUGAAUAUUAAGUUCUGACUAUUAAGUUUACUAAUAACAUAGAAUGACUGAUAUAUGAGGAACAGAUACUAUGUUACUGAUACUUGAAUAACUAUCUUUGACAGUUCUUAUUAUGAAGAACUGGUUUGGUAGACUGAAGUUGAAUACUGAUAACAUGAGUUUUGUAUAAUUGAUAUACUAUUAAUUUAGUUCGUGAUAACAUGAUUACUGAGUACUGAAUAAUGGUACAUGAGUGAAUGUGUCUGACAGCCCUAAUACUGAAUACUGCUAACAUGGGUGAUUGUAUCUAACAGUCCUGAAUCUGAUGGAACUAUCUGAGUUUUUUACUAUAUCGGAGUUGACUGUAUCAGACUAUCUUAAAAUCUGAAGAACAAUUUGAGUUCUUUUACUGAGACUGAUUCUGAAAUUAUGGGAAGUAGUCAUCUAACCGACAUGCCCCAAAUGUGCUAUAAUAGCUUAGCUGGGGUCCAAUCUGUGACCUGAUUGGAAGAGUGUCAAUACCACACCAUAGGUAAGGACAACAUGUGAGUGAUACUAGUAUAAUAGGUAACUCUAGUGAGAGCGGUAAGAACCCUAAUAUAGCAGGUUAAUCCCCCUAAUCUACCCUCAUAUAUCAUGCUAUGAUGUCUCAGCCUAUGUUGGCUGCAUAGUUCUAGAAUGGAAGGAUUGCUUCUAAGAAUCACACCCUUAUAUAACAGGUGAAUUCCUGUCCUUCGGUUCACUUAGUGCUAAUUUCUACUCCCAUCUGAAUAGACACUGAACAUGAUAUACUGAACUAAACAUGGACUGAUUUACUGAAUUCUGUGACUGACGGAAUACUACUAAUAUUUAACAACUAACUGAGUUCAUGAAAUUACUGAGAUUAAUAGGAAUACUGAGGUUACUGAGAUUAUUGAGUACUGAGAUCACUGAGAUCAAUGAUAUUAACUAAGAUUAAUUGAGUUUACUGAAUUUUCCUGAUUCACAUAAUUGACUGAAUUCUAUAGAUCAUGGCUUGACUGAGAGUAUCAUGAAAACAUAAUAUGGCUCUAGGCACAAAGCUAUAUUUUUUAGGUACAAGUACCCCCAGGACUCGAUGGAAGGAAACUGACAUAAUAUGACUUUCUUGAAUACAUGACCAUCAAUAAUAAUCCAUAAUACAAGAGUGAGGGAUUUCAUGAAGUACAUAGUAAUCAUAAUAUCUAACAUGAAUGGGAAUGCUUGAAAUCAAGUCAUAAACCUCAUGUUCCAAUAUCAUGGGCAUUCUGACAACAUAUACUAUUCAUAACAAAAGCAUGGAAACCAUUUAAACAUAAGGGAAUGGAAAGCAUGUUACAUUUUGUUCAUAUUGUAAUAAUUGGUUGAUAACUCAUGUGGUACUUCAUAAUCAUGAUCUUGUACAUAACAUGGAAUGCAUAUAGACACACUGUGAAACCAUUCUCCAAUCAUCAUGUAUAUUCCAUUAAUAUAUAUACUGCACAACAAUAACAUGUGAGCCCUUUGAACAUAAUAGACUAGCAUGAAUUUAUCAUAUAGUUCAUCCAUAAGCUAUAAUACAUGAUUCUAUCAUUCUAGGCAUUUUACCAAACACCUUACAUGCAUAACUUUGGGCAUAGGCAUACUUAUCAAUUAAAAAAUCUUAAGCCACAUAAAUUCAUGGAUUUCAACUAAUAUUCUCACAUAAUUCAUGAAAAUACAUCAAGAUACCAAAUAGCAACCAUCAACAUGGACAAAAUCAUACUACAACAAGAUAAUCACAAUUCAUGAUUUUAAAACUGGAUUCUUGAGCUCGAUGGAUGAAAGGGAUCCAUGGAUGAACACUAUGCAUACUUUAGAAGAUUCUCUCUUGAAUGUUCUUGAAGAAAUCCUUAGGUUUUUUUCUUGAUUUCUUGGCUAGGGUUCAUGCCCAUUUGAGAGAAAAUAUUUUGAUUUGGAGAAAAUUGGAUGAAAAAUAAAGUAUUUUGGUUAUUUAGGGUAUAAAUCCCUUGUUUGGAUGGGUUUGGGGUCAUGGGAAUUGUCUAAGUUUCCCCUGGAAUUUAUAAUAUGGAGCUGAAAUGCCAAAAAAAGACCUAUCCUGAUGCGUUGGAUGAUCCAUCUCUAUACCCACCGUGACACGGUGUAAUCGCAGUGAGCUACUGGAAUUGACAAUUGCCGAUUUAGUCUUCAUCGCGAUGCGGUGGCCUGUUAAUCGGGAACACUGUUAGUAAAAAGGCCAUAACUUGUUCACAGGGUGUCCGUUUUAGGCAAAUUUGAUAUCGACAGAAAUAUUAUUCAAUUCUCUACAAUUUGGUGGGUCUAAAUUUUAAAAAAUACCACCUAUAAACCAAUUUAUGCUCGUUCAAAUAUGACCUAUGUGAAAUCACACAAUAAAACUUGAUGGAUUCAAAAGCUCUUAGGUUGUCUUACUCUAAGUGACUCUUAUGAACAUGUGUAACACAUCAUGAGCUCUAUUAUUACUAGGAUACUCAUUCUAAUUCAUGUACUCAAAAAUGAAUCACAGGAUAGGAGGUUUCAUACAUAGGAAUAAUGGUUCAUUUUCUAGCUUAGAAAUAUACGGGGUAUUAUAAUAUCUCCCCCUUGGGAAUAUUUGUCCUUGAAUGAGACUGAGUAGGAUGGAAGAAAUGAUAAACUGAAGUACAUAAAAGACAUACACUAUUAAAACACAAUAUCUGGAUUGACAUCUCUGAUAAGCUGAAUAUAUAUCAUACUGAACAUACAUAUUUGAUGCAUAGAUAACUGAUUCAUGAAUGCAUGAUGAGCAUUAUGAUAAACUAAGUUUUCUGAAAAUGAGAGUACGUAUUGUAACGCCCCAAAAAAUAGGUCUCGGAGUGUCACACGGUGCUUGAGGCUACGAGUAGCCCCAAGCUAACCCUUUGAGCCAUUUUCAUUUAGUUAAACAAAAAUCAAUGGGGUUUCCACAAAUAACCCUCAAAUAUCAACAGAGUAAUCAUCAUCCAAGAAUAAAAGAAUCUCAAAAAGAUAACAAAAUACGACUUCUUAGUCAACUCCCAACAUCUAUACUAGUCUGACAAUCCUCUAAAAAAAUCAAUAAAACCAGCGAGCCAUUGAGACAUGCCCCAACUAACUCAUAUUCAGUAAUGAUUCCGUGAAACCAACAUCAGACAUCACAUCCUCUGAAAAUGAGGACUCACCACAACAGAGAAUGUAGAACAGUGUGCCUGAAGAAUCACUGUCGAACCUAAAACUGAGCACCUGAACCUAAAUUCUGAGAAAAUACAGCCCACAUCCGAAGAUGUAGGUCAGUACCAUGGAAAGAAACAGAGUAUAUGGGGGUUUAUGCAAUUGUAUAAACAUCAUCAUCAUAAAUAUUUAUAAGAAAUAUGCAGGAUGUAUGAAAGACUCACAUAGCCUGAAGAAAAUCAUCAUAAUCAUGAAAGGAUGAAAUAAGUACAAUAACAUAUGUGAGUCACAUAUAAUUUGUCAAUCACUUCCAGUUCAUCAAGAAUAUCAAUUCUCAUAAUGUAAAUAUCAUUUAAAUCUUUUGAAAGAAUAACUUUCACAAUUCCACUUUUAAAUCACUUCACCAUUCAUCAUAGACACAAGGAAACACACACAAACUGGGAGAUCCUAUAACCGGCAUAAACCAUAUGGGCUACAUGGAGUCCAAUGUACAACCCACAUUGAGGAGAGCCAUCCUAUCUUUGCCAUCGGAGUAGGACUAUCGAUAUAAAAUCCACACAAAAUAGUGAUCACUAUAUAAAGCAACCUCAGGCUCACUCCUAUGGGGCAUGUAGUUCUAGGAAAGUAAGGUCACUUUAUACCUCCCACUCGGUGCUAAAGAUUUCUCCCAGACUUAGCUCAGAUUAUUUCAAAGACAAUCCGCAAAAAAACAAUUUCAGUAAUAUAUAAUUAUACAUCGGGAGCCAUCAUGCUUCCCAUCUAUCAAAAUCAACCAGAUUGUGGAUUUCUUUCACACUCGAGUUCAAAACAACUUCAUUAAGACCAAAAGGUCAAAUUAUUCAAAAUAUCUCAAAUAUUCAACAUCAAUACAUACCUUGAAUGAUAACUUUAGAUUAAUACUCAUUUUUGAGAUGUUAAUUGUGCCUUUGAAUGAUGGUUCUUGGAGUUCUUGAACUAGGAACUUGGAAUCUUGAAUAAAUUUGCAGAAUUAAUGGUGAACUUCGGAGGUUCUUGAAGUUGGAUGUAGGAACUUAGGGUUUUCUUUUUGAGGGAAUUUGAUGAAAUAUAGCAUAUAAUGCUUCUAAUAGGUUUUAAUAUGGGGUUUGGACGAAUUUUAGGUGAGAAGGAAUGACCAAAAUGCACCUAAAAAUUAAAUAAUUCUCGAAUUUGUCAUUUGGUGGACUGUUUUUAUAGUCUGAAGUAGAUGAACCAUAACGUUUUACUCUGAUAUCUAAAUUGGAUGAAACCAAUAAUCUGUGGCUAUCAAAAACAUGUUCCCCUUAUAUCACCUUGUACCUACAAAAUAAACAAACAAGAUUAGUAGUGAAGCUCCUCACAUACACUCGUAUGCACUCACCUUUGUGAUCCUCAUAAUUGGAGCGGCGAAUAUUGAAAGGUUCUUAUACUCCAAUAGUCAAUAAGGUGUCAAUCACUAGUAGCGGCCGAAAUAGAUUCUUGUUUUAUCUACUCAAGACACAAAAAUAAAAAAUCUACUUACGAACUUGAAACAAAGAAUUUAUCGAAUCAAAAUGAAAAAAGAACACAAAGUACAAAAACACUAAGAAAACUGACUCAAACAAGUAAUUCACAAUCUAGUAGGUGAUUACUAGUUGCUAAUUAGUACUAGACUCAAGAAAUGAAACUAAAGAAACAAGAAAAAGUAACUUAGAAUCUGAAAUUUGAUCUUAGGGUAUUUGGAAAGUUGAUGAUGUGGCAACUUUGAUGACGUGGUGGGUUCUAAUUGGUUGACAUUUUUUUUGGGAAUUUCUUGUUUUCAAACAUUGAGUUUUUUUAUCAAUCUACAAUUUGGAAGAGUUUAAAAUCAUACUAGGAAAAGAAGACAACAAGAUUUGGAGCCUUUUUCAUAUUCAAAAAGGUUUGACUUGUCUUACACCUUUUUGGCAAAACACCUUUUUGAAAGCCUUUUUGCUUUUUCCUCUUUUGUAAAUCUUGGGAAGUGCCCUUUCUCCCUUUUGGUAAUAAGAUUUUUGAAAGCCUUUGUCUCUUUUUCUUCUUUAGUAUGGUCUUGGAAUAUAUUUCAAGACAAACAAACACCACAUUUUCUUUUUCUACUCUUUUAGAUCAAACACCAUACCUUGAAUGUUCUUGUUCAACAAUUUGUUAAGAACAUGAAGAAUACCAAGAACAUUUAAAGAUUCAACCUAACCUAAAUGAACUUGAAAUUUGAUAAUUUUUGUUUCUCCAAGUUCACAUUGCACGCCCAAACACAACCACACAUUUUUCAAGCCAUAAUAUCAAUAACAAGCUUACAAUUUUGAGCUUCACCUUACUAGUUUCUUCAACCUUCAACUUAACAAUGGUGAACACUCAAAACCACCCGGACUAAACUCAAAUCCAAGAUCAAGACUCACUUACUGUUAGGGAACAAGAACCUAAUACUAGAAACAAACAAAACACACCAAAAUCUCCAAAAUCUAAGUUUAAAAUUUUGGCCAAAACACAAAAAAAAUUCUUUUUUUGAGAUUUUCAGUUUUUCAACACUUUUUUUUGUGAUUUCAAGUUAACAAGCAAAAUAUUGAUUUUGUAGGAAAAAAAUCAAUUCUUGCUCUUAUACCAAAUGACACGGGAUCGAUUACAAACACACAAAAAUAACUAAAAAUAUAAGGCAAAUUGAGAAAAAAUAGAAAUUCAUCCUCGAUAUCAACACACAAACCGUGAACAAAAACAAGAAACAAAACACAACAAUGCAAUAAAAAUAAAGGAUAGGUAAGAUGACAUAAGAUUUUAUGAAACAAGGAGAACCUUCAUGUGGAUCAAAUUCAAAGACCCUCAACAUCGUAAUAAUCAAACACCAAUAUUAUUACGGUGACUGCUAAGGGAAUCAACUCCUCUUAAAACCACCGUUUCCAAGAAAAAGAUCAAUAUUGGCUUUUCCAAGCCCUAGACUAAACUUUUUGGGUUUUCCAAGCCUUACACUAAGAUACACUCUCAAUGAGAGAAGACUUUCAAUGUUCUUCAAAUAUCCUUCAUCAACUAACGAGUAAAUGAUAUAAUAGAAGACUAUUUAUAGGAUAGCAUAUUACAUAACAAAAUGGCCAAAAUACCUUUAAUGAGAGGGGUGGCCUUGGUGUGUAAAUUAGGAGCUUUUUUGGAGUGUUUAAAGCUCUUCAAAAUAUUUCAACACUUAGAUCUCUCAAAUACUCAUCAAGGCAAGCCUCCAAACAACCCCUCACAUACGGAAUUGCUCUCUUAAAUAUUCAAAAUGGGUCCUCCAUGCAUGCUUUUGUGUACUCGAGGUGACCAAAUCUUGAGUAUUUAAGUAUUGGUAUCCAAUGAUGUCAUCAAAUACUAUGAUGGCCAUUUGGCUCAUAUUAGGUGUUGAAGGAUAAGUUAACUUCGACUGUAGUUCUAACUUUGUUAAAAGGAAAUGAUGGGUUCGUGGUUUGUUGUGAUUUUCCUCGGGUUGGUCUUGGUUAUGUGUUGAUGCAGCGCGAGAAAAUAAUAGCCUAUAUUUCUAGGCAAUUAAAGAAGCAUGAGAGGAACUAUCUUACUCAUGAUUUUGAGUUAUUGGACAUUAUGUUUUCUUUGAACAUAUGUAGUAUUAUUUGUAUAGGGUCCACGUGGAUAUCUUUUAUGAUCAUAAGAGUUUGCAGUAUGUGUUCUAACAGAAAGAGCUUAAUCUCAGGCAAAGGAUAUGUCUUGAGUUUCUCAAGGACUAUGUUAUGAGUCUUUAAUACCACCCAGGUAAAGAUAACUAUAAGACCUUGCAAAGUUCUGUCAUAGUCCGAGCCUUAGAGCGUGUCAAGUGAAGUGUAAUUCUUACCCUAAAAGAUUGAGAAGAGACUUCCCAAGUGAUUACUGUUUAAACCAUAUAGAAUUUUCUCAAAUUUGACUUUUUUCAUGUAGAUAAUUGAAUUACCUUUCCAAUGAUACCAUUUUGUUCAAAUUUGUUACCGGGAUGAGAAGUUAUGGCUGUUUUAUUGAGAGUUGUUGAAACCACCCAGGUGCGACAGAUGAUCCGAUGGACUAUCGAGUCUACAAUGGACCAUCGAGUCUAUGAUGGAACAUCGCUUAGCCCAUCACAACCAAGGAAGUAACUCUUUUUUCUAGCCUAAGUGCGAUGGCCAAGAUGACGGACCAUCAAGGAUGCGAUGGACAAUCACCGAUACCAUCGUGUUGAGACAGUGUGGACUCACCUUGGCCAUCAUGCAAUGGAUGAUCCGAUGGACCAUCGUACUUGUGAAGGACCAUCGCUCCAACCAUUGCAUCAAGGCAGUGUGUCCUAUUAGUGGUCAACAUGCGACGGAUAACCCGGCGAACCGUCAAACUUACGAUGGUCCUUUUUAACCCUCAUAUAUAUUCCAAAUAAACUUAAUAGCAUCAUUUUCUCCCAAAACAUCCAAAGGCUAGGGUUUCUCCCUCAAGAGAAAAUUUAAAAUCCUUCUCCAAGAAAUCCAAGAACUCACCAAGGAUUCUACAAAUUGAGUUGAAAUUUAAGUUCCCCAAGUUUAAGGGUUGGAAGAACCCCCUCUCAAGAGUAAUAAUAAGAGUUUAGAGCAAGAUUAUUCAUCUAAUUUCAUAAUCUAAGGUAUGUGGGAUUUUGAACAAGGGUAAUCCUUUAACCCUUGUGCCCAAAACCUUCUUUAAACUACAAUUCUCUGUAAUUUAUGAGAUUUUACAUGAAAUUAAAUUGGGGGUUUUCACCCAUUGUUAUUGGUUGCAAGCUUUUGAUGUUUUCCUUGAAUUGAGAGUCUAAUGGCAUGAUUUUUACAUGUUUUCUUGAGAAAUUACAGCUGGUUCUAAACCCCAUGAUUUUUAAUCCUUGAGAAGUUAAUAGUUGAAGUGAGAUAUUAAAGUAUAUGAGUAUGUUGAUAUUUUGAGACAAAUUGCUAAAACUUCCAGAUUUCUACAUAAAUUAUGAAUCUAUAUGCUAUCUAUUAUUCUUUUGAUGAGUUUUAACUUUAGAAUGAAUUAUGGGUUAUUGAGCCCUGCUUAAGAUUUGCAAUUUUAUGAACUCUUAUACUAUAAGCACCCAUGAUUUGAGUAUUCUGAGAUUAUUGAGAAAUGUUUUGACCUAAUGGUCAUUGAGUUUUGAAAUCCACUCUACUACUUGGGAUUACAAAUUUGAUUAUUGGAUUCUUAUUAAACCAUGAGAUUAUUCUAAAGUGGAUUUUCAUGAGAUGAGAGAGAUUAACUAAAGGGAGUAGUAUUUAGCACUGAGCGGGUAAUUUACUAUGGUUUCUUACCCCAAAACUAUGUGCAACUGUAGGUUGGGCCUGAGGCCGAGUUUAUGAUUAUUAUUGGGCCUAAGGCCGAGUUGAUAUUGGGCCUGAGUCUGAGUUUGUUUAGUGAUCACGGGACCUAGGUUAUACUCCUUGACAAGAGUAUGACGCCUCUCCCCAACAUGAGGUCUCUUCCCUAGGAGGAUAAAGUGUUUGACUCUAUGUAGGUCACAUGUUUUAUGUCGAUUAAAAAAAAACUCCCUAAACUAAAGUAUUUUUCCAUUGAGAUAAGAUAUUUUCCUUUAAAACUAAAAUACUUUCCCUUGAUAUGAGUAUUUUUCCCUAAAGAAUGAAAUGAGAUAUUUUCCUAACGUGAAUGAAAUGCCUUCAAGUGUUCCAAAGUUAUAUGAUUUCAAAUUCCAAGUAUUUGAGUUCAAAAGAGUUAUGAGUUCUUGAGCAUUAGAGAAGUUUUACUCUCCAUGAGACAUAUGAACAAGUUAAAAGUAUUGUUUAAAGUUUCCUUUAGCCUAUCGGUAAUGAGAAUAAGAGAAGAUUACUGAUUUCAAAGUUAAACUAUGUUAUUCACGAUAUUGUGUUACAUGUUCCAUUUUACAUGAUUCAUGAGCUUUACAUUUUAUACUUAUUCAAGCCAUGUGAGUCAUUACUUAUUGCAUGCAUGAUUUGAUUAAAGAGUAUUAAUAUUGUUUUAUAUAAAUGCAUGCACCCCCGCAUACUCAGUACAUUCCCAAGUGCUGAUCCACAUAUAUGUCUAUGUGUUACAUUCUCUUAUAAUGUAGGUUCAGGUGCUCAGUCCUAGCCUCGUCAGUGACUUUCGAGUACCUCUGUAUGUAUCCCUAUAGUGGUGAGUCCUCGUGGUUCGAGAACCUAUCAUCUGACAUUUCAGUAUUUAAGAAACUAUGUUAGCACUUUCAGUUCAUUUCGAGUUAGUUGGGGACCUGUCCCAAUGGCUCUCUAGUUCAUGGAUUAGUAGAGGCUUUGUUAGACUAGUUAUCAGAUUGUGGUUGUGUUGAGGUUUUUUGGUAUUGCUUGGUCAUUUGGACCGAGCAUUUUCUUUGUAUUUUCUUUCAUAUGAUAUGACUAUUCUAGUGUUUGAAUUAUUUUAUCUUGAAAUGAGUGUUAUUAGAAGAAAUAGGAUCAAAGGGUUAGCUUGGGGCUACUUGUAUCCUUAAGCAUCGUGUGACAUCCCGAGAGGCAAUUUUGGACCAUUACAAACUUGGUAUCAGAGCCUUAUGUUUUAAGGAGUCCUAGGGAGUCUGACAAGCCGUGUUGAGUAGAUUCUUGAGCAUCGGUGUGUAGUGCACCACAGCUAUGAGUAAGAGGUUACAAGAUGUUUUAGGAAAAUAUUGUUUCUUCUUUUAGAUUCUAUCGUGCCUACAGUUGUCCCUCUCAUCUAAUAAUUCCUGCUCUUUUAUUUUCAGAAAAUGCCUCCUCGAAGAGCGAAUAUCCACGAAAACAAUGAUGGGAAACCCCCACCUAUUGGCCCUUUGAAUGCGACUGUGUCUCAUGCCGAGUUUUGGGUAGCCUUUCAGGCAUAAGCCCGUGUAGUCACUGUCAAUAUUCGGGCCAAUAAAGGAGUUUAUGAACUUGAGGCAAAUAUUAAGGAGUUUAUGAACAUGAGGCAGGGCUCCAUGACUGUUAAGGAGUACUGCUUGAAGUUCAAUCAGUUGGCCAAGUAUGCUUCUGAUUUGAUUUCUAACACUUAGGCUAGUAUGAACAACUUUGUGACAGGUGUUUCUGGUUUAGUAUUAAAGGAUUGUAGGACUGUGAUACUGCAUAGGGAUAUGGAUCUGGCUCGGUUGAUAAUGUAUGCCCAGCAAAUAAAGGUGGAUAAUAUUAGGGAGUGAGAUCAAGUGAGGAGGAAUAAGAGAGCUAGAUCUGAGCAGCAUAAGUAUAGCCAGCCUAGGUUCCAUGGAGAGAACCACCCUCAGUUUCUGAGAUAUCUAUGUAUGCCAGUGCCUUUAUCAGCUAGUGCUCUCGCGCCUAUAGGCAGGCAGGAGCAACGGGGCAGGUCUUUUAUGUCUAGGUCGCAGAACAGUAUUGGUAAUAGGCCUCAUUAUCCUCCUUAUCAUAAAUGUGGUAGAGAUCACCCUGGUAAGUGUUUUGUAGAUCUGAGGGGUUGUUUUGGUUAUGGCAAGCAGGGCCACAGACUUAGAGAUUGUCCUCAUGCUAGAUAGGGGAACAGAGAUGCCCGACCUCAGGCAUAAGCUACUAGUGCACCAACUCCUGUACCUCGUCCCGCCCCUACUCAGGGCGCUUCAUCUAGCACUGCUGGCGGUCAACGCCAAAACAGAUUCUAUGCCUUACUAUCCGAUCAGGAGCAGGAGCAAUCUCUUGAUGUUGUUACCUGUAUAAUCCGUGUCUUUUAUUUUGAUGUCUAUAUGUUAUUGGACCCCGGGUCAAGUCUCUCUUACGUGACCCCACUUGUAGCUGUAAAUUUCAAAAUGAAUCUCGAAAAGAUUUCUAAGCCCUUCCUAGUUUCUACACCAGUAGGGGUGUCAGUUGUUGCUAAACAAGUGUAUAAAAAUUGUCCUAUUACUGUUCUUCAUAAAGUCAUACUUACUGAUUUGAUAGAGUUAGACAUGGUGGAUUUUGACCUUAUUCUGGGUAUGGAUUGACUUCAUUCUUAUUAUGCGUCUAUAGACUAUCGUACCCAUGUGGUCAAGUUUUAGUUUCUUGAUGAACCAACUUUUGAGUGGUUUGAGAGUUCGAUAUCUCCCAAAAGUCAUUUAUCUCCUUUCUUAAAGCCAGAAAGAUAAUAUCCAAGGGUUGCAUCUAUCACCUAGUUAGAUUCAAAGACACUAAGUUCGAGGCUCCAACUAUUCAGUCAGUCGAUAUUGUUAAUGAGUUUUCAGAUAUUUUUCCAAAAGAUCUUCCAAGGGUACUUCCCAAUAGAGAUAGAAUUCGGGAUUGACCUUCUUCCCAACACUCAUUGCAUUUCUAUUCUGCCAUACUAUAUGGCACCUACUGAGCUUAAGGAGUUGAAAGAGCAACUCAAAGAUCUUUUAGACAAAGGUUUCAUUAGGCCCAGUAUUUCUCCUUGGGGCGCACCUGUGUUAUUCAUGUGAAAGAAAGAUAGUUCUUUGCAUAUGUGUAUUGACUACCGUUAGCUUAACAAGGUCACCGUCAAGAACAAGUAUCCUCUUCUAAGAAUUGAUGACCUAUUUGAUCAGUUGCAAGGUGCAAGUUAUUUCUCCAAGAUAGACCUUAGAUCCAGCUAUCACCAGCUUAAAGUCAGGGAAUGUAAUAUUCCAAAGACAGUGUUCCAAACCCGCUAUGGUCACUUUGAGUUGCUAGUCAUGUCCUUUGGGCUAACCAAUGCCCCAGCCGCCUUUACGGACCUCGUAAAUUGAGAAUUUAAGCAAUAUCUCAAUAUGUUUGUCAUUUUUUCAUAGAUAAUAUCCUUGUGUACUCCCGUAAUGAGAAUGACCAUGCAAAACCACCUUAUAAUUGUCUUGUAAACUCUUAGAGACCACUAGUUGUUCGCAAAAUUCAGUAAGUGUGAAUUUGGGCUUGUAGCCUUUCUAGGUCAUAUUAUUUCAGCCAAAGGUAUUAGAGUUGAUCCCUAAAAUACAGAAGCUAUAAGAAAUUGGCCUAGACCUAUCUCUCGAUCUGAUAUUAGAAGUUUCUUGGGUCUAGCGGGAUACUACCAUUAUUUUGUUGAGGGUAUCUCUUCUAUUACAUCUCCCAUGACCUGGUUGACCCAAAAGAAAGUUAAAUCUAGUGGUUAAAUUCCUGUGAGAAGAGUUUUUAGGAGUGGAAAACUCGACUUACUUCAGCCCCUGUGUUGACUUUGCCUGAUGGUACAGAUGGUUUUAUGGUGUAUUGUGAUGCCUCUAGAAUUUGUUUGGGUUGUAUGUUGAUGCAAAGAGGUAAGGUUAUAGCCUAUGCCUGUAGGCAGUUGAAGCCGCAUGAUAAGAAUUACAGUUGUUGUGUCUUUGCUUUGAAAAUCUGGAGACAGUAUCUUUAUAAUGUCCAUAUUGAUGUGUUUACUGAUCAUAAGAGCCUGCAAUAUAUGUUUACUCAUAGGGAGUUGAUUAUUAGGUAGAGAAGGUGGUUGGAGUUAUAGUGUGCUGUAUCACUAGGGCAAGGCCAAUAUAGUGGAAAAUGCCCUUAGCAGGUUAUCUAUGGGUAGUGUUGCCCAUGUAGAGGAAGGUAAGAAAGAAUUAGCUCAUGAUGUUCAUUAUUUGGCCAGUUAGGUUUUAGGUUACUUGAUUCAGCUGAGGGAAGUACUUUGGUGCAGAGUAGCUCUUAUUCUCUUUAGUUUCGAAAGUGAAGGAGAAGCAAGUUAAGGAUCCUAGUUUGGUCAGACUGAAGGAGGUAGUUAAGGACCAAAAGGUAGAGGUUUUCUCCCAAGGGGGAGAUGAUAUAUUGAGAUUGCAAGGUAGAUUAUGUGUUCCAUGUGUUGAUGAUCUGACACAUAGGAUUAGGCUGAAGUGCAUAGCGCGCGGUAUUCUAUUCAUCCCGGUACUACCAAUAUGUACCGCGACUUGUGGAACAUCUAUUGGUGGAAUGGUAUGAAGAAGGAUAUAGCCGAAUUCAUAGCAAGGUGUGGAAUGUGCCAAUAGGUUAAGGUAGAGCACCAAAGACCUAGUGGUGUGAUACAAGAGUUUUAUAUACCCUUUUAGAAGUAAGAGGUGGUGAAUAUAGACUUCGUGACCGGGUUGCCUCUUUCACAUCAUCAUCAUGAUUUGAUUUGGGUUAUUGUGGAUAGGCUGACUAAGUCCGAACAUUUCUUGCCCAUGCAUACAUCUUAUACAACUGAGGAUUAUGCUAGGUUGUAUAUCCGGGAGUUAGUCAGGUUGUAUGGAGUUCCCUCAUCCAUCAUUUUGGAUAGGGGCACCCCAUUUACUUCUUAGUUUUAAAGGGCAUUUUAGUAGGGUCUUGGUACCCAAGUUCUUUUGAGUUUUUCUUUUCACCCACAGAUAGAUGGUCAGGCUAAGAGGACCAUUCAGACCCUAGAAAAAAUAUUAUGGGCGUGUGCUCUUGAUUUCAAGGGUAGUUGGGAUGAGCAUUUGCCAUUGAUAGAGUUUGCUUAUAAUAAUAGUUACCAUGCUAGCAUUGGGAUGUCACCAUUUGAGGUCUUGCAAAGUAGAAGAUAUAGAUCACCUAUAGGUUGGUUUGAAGUAGGUGAAGUUGUCGUAAUUGGGCCUUAUGCAGUAUUUGAGGCUAUGGAGAAAGUUAAGUUGAUUAGAGAGAGGUUGAAGAAUGCCCAGAUCUAUCAAAAGUCAUAUACCGAUGUGAGGAGAAGAGAUCUUAAGCUUAAGGUAGGUGAUUUGGUGUACUUAAAGAUUUUACCCAUGAAAAGGGUGAAGAGGUUUGGUAAAAAGGGAAAGCUUAGUCCCCGUUAUGUUGGCCCGUAUAGAGCUUGAGCCAUGUUGGUAAAGUAGCCUAUGAGGUUGAGUUUCAUGCAGUGUUGUCAGUCGUUCAUCCUAGUUUUUAUGUCUCCAUGCUUAAAAAGUAUAUUGGUGAUACUGUUGUGGUAAAUUCUUCAGAGAGUGCUGAUAUUUAGAACAGUCUUUCGUUUGAUGAGAUUCCUGUUAAGAUCCUAGAUUUUUAGAUCCAUAGACUGAUGAACAAAGAGGUUCCUUGGUCAAAGUUUUGUGGCAAAACUAGUCUAUUGAGAGUGUUACUUGGGAGGCAGAAGCAGACAUACGAUUCAAGUACCCGCACAUCUUUUCCGUGAUUUUAGGUCAAUCUAAAGGUAUUAUUAUUCCUUAAUUUUGCCCUUCUAAUCUAAAGUGCAACUAUGUAUCUAUUCUUGCAUGAGUUCUUGCAAUUUUUAAGGUAUUCAAGAGUUUAGAGAGAUUCAGCUAUAUGUACUCUAUUUUUCCUGUGUUCCUAGUCUAACUAGCGACAUUUGAGGAUGAAUGUUUCCAAGGGGGAGAUAUUGUAAGACCCCGCAAAGUUCCCUCAUAGUCCAAGCCUUAGAGCAUGUCAAGUGAAGUAUAAUUUUGACCCUAAAAGAUUGAUAAGAGACUUUCCAAGUGAUUGGUAUUUAAACCAUAUAGAAUUUUCUCAAAUUUGACCUUUUGUCUUGUAGAUAAUUGAAUUAUCUUUCCAACAAUACCAAUUUCAUCCAAAUUCGAUAUCGGGGUGAGAAUUUAUGGCCGUUUUACCGAGAGUUGUCAAAACCACCUAGGUACGAUGGAUGAUCCGACGGACCAUCGAGGCUGUGAUAGACCGUCGCAACCAAGGUAGUAACUCCUUUUUUUGGCCUAAGUGCGAUGGCCAAGAUGAUGGAAUGACAAAUAUGUGAUAGCCCGUCGCUGGGACAAUCACAUUGAGGUAGUAUGGCCGUACCCUGGCCAUCUUACAACGGGCGAUCCGAUGGACCAUUGGACUUGCGACAGACCAUUGCUCCGACCAUCGCAUCGAGGAAGUGUGUCCUAUUCCUGGCCAAUGUGAUACGAGUAAAAUAGCCACCUUAGCUUUUGAUGACAUCAUUCGAAGUCAGUACGUGGGGCAUCAAGCUUUGGUCGCAUUAAGGACAGGGGAUCCUACAUGGAGGGGCCAAUUUAAGUACACCAAAGAGCAAUCCCAGUGUGGAAGAUUUCUUAAAGCAUUAAAAAUUGAGGACUCACGAUUUUGGGCCUUUAUUAUGGGCAUUUUGGUCACUUAGCCUUGUCCAAGUAACACUCCAUGACCACCCCUUUUAAUUAAAGGUAUUAUGGUCAUUUUGUUAUGUAAUAAAUUAGACUAUAAAUAGGUUCUAUUAGUUUAUUUGCUAGUGGGUUUUUAUGAAUGAUGAAAUAUUGAAAUAUUGAAAGUCCUCUCUUUGAGAGUAGAAAACCUUAGUGUAGUCUUAGUUAGGGCUUGGAAAAGCUACAGUAGUUUAGGGAUUGGAAAAGCCAAUAUUGAUAUUUGCUUUGAAAUGGUGGUUCUUGAGGUAAGUUGAUUCCCUUAGCGGUCACCGAAAGAAGAUUAGUGUUUUAUUAUUGCGACUUUGAGGGUCUCUUCAUUUAAUACAUGUGUUGUUUCUCAUUGUUUCGUAAGAUCUUAGUCAUCUUGCCUAUCCCUUAUCUAAUUUCACUUUGUAUGUUUGUAUCUUGUCUUCUUUAUCUCAUGUAUUUGUGUUGUUGUCAUGACUUGUCUCUACCUUGCUCUCGAUUUCUCCUUGUGUUGUGGACUAUUUUAGCACCUCAUAGAUCGUUCCCGUAUCAUUUGGUAUUAGAGCUAAGGCUGGUUGUGUUUCUACACUACCAACCUUGGGCUCUCUAAGUCAAAAAAUCAGAAAAAAAGAGGUGUUGAAAAAUAGAAAACUCAAAAAUUGUAAUAUGUCCACGUUUUUUUCUUUUUGUGCUUAGGCUGAUUUGAACCUAGUUUUCUUUUAUUUCUUGUUUUUAUUGUUGUUUCUAGUGUUAGUCCCUCCUUCACUAACACUUAUAGAGUCUAGAUCUAAAUUUUGAGUCAUUUCCAAGUUAUUUUUGAACUUUGAAUGAAGGUUGCUAUUUUUUGAGGAUUGGUGGCUUGAAAAAGUGUUGUUGAAGUUUACUGUUGAGAUUGUGGCUUAAAAACGUUUUGUUGAUGUUAUUGUUGAGAUUUGGAGCUUGAAAAUGUGUUGUUAAUGUGUGGGAUCCAACUUGAACCAUAGAACUCCAAGAUUCAAAAGUUGUGUUCUUGGUGUUUUUCACCAUCUUCAUAUUUUGUUGAAGAUAAAAUGGUUGUUUAAUCUUAGAAAUUGAAGAAUGAGAGCGUGUCUUGUUGUUAUUCUUGAAAGACACAACUCUAAGACAUCCAAAGGGGAAAUGGGAUAAAAGGGUUUCAAAAGUUGUCUUGCCAAAAUAGAGAAAGUCCACCUACCAAGACAUACAAAAAGGGAAAGCGCCAAAAGUCUUUCAAAAAGGUGUUUAGGCAAAAAGGUGCAAAAAAGUCAAAACACUUUUUGAACUUGACAAAAAGGCUCCAAAGUCUUGUUGUUACACUCCCAUAGCUGAAAUUCCACCAUUCCCCACUUGAAAUUUGAUCAAUACAAUUUGAAGACAAGAAAAUUUCUCAAACUUUCAACAAUUUUAACAUCCAAUAGGAGGUUGCCACAUCAUCAUCCUAAAAAUCAACCCUUAGGCUCAAAAUUUCAGAUUUCUAAGUUUUAUUUCUUGUUUCUUUAGUUUCAAUUUUCUUGAUCCUAGUACUAAUAGACAAACUAGUAAUCACCUACUAGGUUAUUUGUGUGCUUUUUUGUUUGUAACUCGUAGUAACUUCUUUGUUUCAAGUUUGUAAGUGAAUUUUGUUUUGUGUCUUGAGUCAAUCAAAAUAAGAAUCCAUUCCGGCCGCUAAGUGGAAUUGACAUCUUAUUGACUAUCGGAGUAUUAGCAACUUUCAAUAUUUGCCGCUCCAUUGUAAGGAUCACAAAGGUGAGUGUCUACUAGUCUUGGUGAGGAGCUUUUACUACUAAUGUUGUUUGUUCAUUUUGUAGGUUUGUUCCUUUGGUUGUUUUAGGUACAAUUGCAAUGGAACCCAAGGCUUCCAUCUCUCAAACCAUGGACAACAAUGUCACCAAUGUCAUUUUGGCCUACCUUGACACUAUUUCUCGAGACAUGGCUAUGGUGAAUGAAAGAUUGGAUCAUAUGGUAGGUCCAAGGGAGCAAGUGGGCUUCCCAAAAACACGUCAAGAUAAAGACUAUAGCUCAUGUGAUCUAGAAGGUAAAAUAGCUAACUCUUACACUUUUAUGCAUGAAAAUAGAAUUAUGUGGUUGGUAGCCCAUUGAGUGUGAGUAGUGGCUUACUUACUUUUGAUUCUAAUGAUUCUUUUUCUCUUUUUGAUGAUGUACAUGUUGUGGGUGUGGAUACACUAGUUGAUCCUAUUGAUGACCAAAUUGACCCUUCUUGUAAGAUCAAUUUAUGUCCACCUCGUGUUGAAGCCAAUAUGUUGAAUGAGAGUACAUCAUCUUGUGUAAAUGGUGUUGAUCAACUUAUUUGUGAAACUUGACCACCACUUGAGGUUAUGUGUGUUGUAAUUAAUGGAACUUAAGUGAGUGAAGUAUUUGAGAAUGUCUGUCAACAAACUAGGAGUGAACCUGUGAGCUAUCCUUAUGAUAUGGAUUCCAUGGUUUGUGUAGCUCAUAGGGAUAAUCUUGUACUUGAAACCUCUUUGAAACUUGAUAAUUGUCUUUUAGAGAGCAAAUAACUUACUUGUUCUAAAUAUGCCCGUGAGAUAUAUCAUGCUCUCUUUAGGUAUAAUGUCUUGUUUGAAGAUAAUUUAAACACUCCUAAUGAACCUAGUGGUGAAAAUGAUGGUAUAGCUUGUCUUGGAGGCUAUAGCCUAUAUAUUAACUCAUUAUGGUGUGACAAUAUUCCUCCUAACGAUGAAAAUCUCUUUUUGAAAGAUGAGAGUACUCUUAAGGGUAAAGAAUGUGUAGUCCUUCUUGAAAACCCGAGGGCAAAGGUGUCAUUGACUCCUUGGGGUAAUGUUUCUAAAUUUGCAUCCUUGCUUGACACACUUGUGCUUACAUUUCAUGAAUACCAACUUGAGAAUUCCAAGUUGACUAUUUUCUUGAAGUAAAGAAUGUGUAUGUGCUUAAAUGCUUUAUCUUCACCCGUGUAUACCUUUACACUUGGUUCUUUCCUAUACUACCUCUUUGCCUAUGAUGACAUCCAUACUAGUUUUGGAUUUGUAUUAUGUAGAGGUAGGAAACUUUUUGGUUGGUCUACUUAUUCUAGUGACUAUGCUAUGUGUGUUUGGUGGGCCUUAAGACCAAUAGUGGCACCAUGUUUGAUGAGGUCACUUGAAGAGAUAAUGAAACAAUUGUGCUUUAUGGUCCCUAAGUUACGGGUAGGCUUACCUUUGGGACUUCGGGAUACCAUUGAGUCCUUUGUAGUUUCUUUAUCUCUUGAUACUUUUCAUAACCAUGGCCUUUGUGACAUUUUUGUUCAGCUUUUCAUGACUAACACAAUCGAUUCAUGGUUAUAUUUCAAGUAUGUUCCGCCUUGGCCUGAUGAAAUUUAUUAUAGUGGUAACUCUAACCCUCAUGCCAUAAGAAAGUUGUGCUUGUUUGUCCUUUCUCUUGUUUUGCAAGGUCUGGAUUUGAGGUCGAAUCCUUUUCAAGAAGGGGAGGAUGAUACGAGUCAAAUGGACACCUUAGCUUUUGAUGGAAUCAUUGGAAGUCAGUACGUGGGUCAUCAAGCUUUGGUCGCAUUGAGGACAUGAAGGGUCUGAUUUGAGUACACCAAAGAGCAAUCCCACGUGUGAAAGAUUGCUUGGAGCAUUAAAAAUUAAGGACUCACGGUUUUGGGCCUUCAUUAUGGGCAUUUUGGUCACUUAGCCUUGUCAAGUAACACUCUUGAGGCGAGUUGAUUCCCUUAGUGGUCACCGUAAGAAGAUUGGUGUUUGAUUAUUGUGACUUUGAGGGUUUCUUCAUUCAAUACAUGUGUUGGUUCUCAUUGUUUUGUAAGAUCUUAUGUCAUCUUGCGUAUCCCUUAUCUUAUUUCACUUUGUAUGUUUGUAUCUUGUCUUCUUUAUCUCAUGUAUUUGCAUUAUUGUCGUGACUUAUCCCUAUCUUGCUCUUGGUUUCUCCUUGUGUUGUGGAUUGUUUUAGCACUUCGUAGAUCGUUCCCGUAUCACAACGUACGACAGAUGAACGAACAAACUGUCGGACUUGUGAUGGACAAUCACAGCCCUUGUUCAAUGUUUUAACACAUUUGAACAAGGGGCUUUUGGGUCUUUUCCCUAUUAACCCUCAUAUAUAUUCCAAACGAACUUGAUAGCCCCAUUAUCUCCCAAAUCAUCCAAAGGCUAGGGUUUCUUUCUCAAGAGCAAAUCUAAAACCCUUCUUCAAGAAAUCUAGGAACUCACUAUGGAUUAUACAAAUUGAGUUAAAAUUUGAGUUCCCCAAGUUCAAGGGUUGCAAGAACCCUCUCUCAAGAGUAAGAAGAAGAGUUUAGAGAAAGUUUGUUCAUCCAAUUUCAUAAUCUAAGAUAUGUGGGUUUUGAACAAGGGUAAUCCUUCACCCUUAUGCCUAAAACCUUAUUUAAACAACAAUUUUCUACAAUUUAUGAGAUUUUACAUGAAAUUGAAUUGUGGUUUUUCACCCAUUGUUAUUGAUUGCAACCUUUUGAUGUUUUCUUUGAAUUGAGAGUCUAAUGGCAUGAUUUUUAUAUGUUUUCUUAAGAAAUUGUAGCUGGGUCUAAAUUCCAUGAUUUUUAAUCCUUGAGAACUUAAUAGUUGAAAUGUUUGAGAUAUUAAAGUAUAUAGUAUGUUGAGAUUUUGAGACAAAUUGCUGAAAUUUCCAGAUUUCUACAUGAAUUAUGAAUCUAUAUGCUAUCUAUUAUGUUUUUGAUGCGUUUUAACCUGAGAAUUAAUUAUGGGUUAUUGAUCCCUACUUGAGAUUUGCAAUUUUAUGAACUCUUAUGCUAUAAGCACCCAUGAUUUGAGUAUUCUGAGAUUAUUGAGAAAUGUUUUGACCUAAUGGUCAUUGAGUUUUGAAAUCCACUCUACUACAUGAGAUUAAAGAUUUGAUUAUUGGUUUCUUAUUGAACCAUGAGAUUAUUCUAUAGUAAAUUUUUAUUAGAUGAGCAAGACAAACUAAAGGGAGUAGUAUUUAGCACCGAGCGGGUUAGUUACUACAGUUCCUUACCCCAAAAUUACGUGCCACCAUAGGUUGGGCCUGAGGCUGAGUUUGUGAUUAUUAUUGGGCCUAAGAUCGAGUUGAUAUUGGGCCCAAGGCUGAGUUUGUUUAGUGAUCACUGAACCUAGGUUAUAUACUCCUUAGCAAAAGUAUGAUGCCUCUACCUAAAGUAAGGUCUCUUCCUUAGGAGGACAAAAUAUUGGACUCUAUGUAGCUCGCAUGGUUUAUGUCGGUUAAAAAAAACUCCCUAAACUAAAGUAUUCUUCCAUUGAGAUAAGAUAUUUUCCUUUAAAACUAAAAUACUUUCCCUUGAUAUGAGUAUUUUUCCCUAAAGCUUGAAAUGAGAUAUUUUCCUAGUGUGAAUGAAAUGCCUUCAAUUAUGUUCUAAAGUUAUAUGAUUUCAAAUUCCAAGUAUUUGAGUUCAAAAGAGUUAUGAAUUCUUAAGCAUUAGAGAAGUUUUACUCUCCAUGAGACAUAUGAACAAGUUGAAAGUAUUGUUAAAAGUUUCCUUUAGCCUAUGGGUAAUGAGUAUAAGAGAAGAUUACCGGUUUCAAAGUUAAACUAUGAUGAAUCACGAGAUUGUGUUACAUGUUCCGUUUUACAUGAUUCAUGAGCUGUACAUUUUAUACUUAUUCAAGCCAUGUGAAUUUUUAAUUAUUGCAUGCAUGAUUUGAUUAAAGAGUAUUGAUGUUGUUUUAUAUAAAUGCAUGCACCCUUACAUACUUAGUACAUUCCCAAGUGUUUAUCCACAUAUACAUCUAUGUGCUACAUUAUCUUAUAAUGUAGGUUCAGGUGCUCAGUCCCAGCCUCGUUAGUGACUUCUGAAUACCUCUGUCUACAUCCCUACUAUGGUGAGUCCUCAUGGUUCGAGGACCUAUCAUCAGACAUUUCAGUAUUUAAGAGACUAUAUUGUUACUUUUAGUUCAUUUUGAGUCAGUUGGGGACCUGUCUUAAUGGCUCUCUAGUUCAUGGAUUAGUAGAGGCUUUGUCAGACUAGUUAUCAGCUGGUGGUUGUGUUGAGGUUUUUUGGUAUUGUUUGGUUGUUUAGACCGAGAGUUUUCUUUGUAUUUUCUUUUAUAUGAUAUGACUAUGCUAGUGUUUGAAUUAUUUCAUCUUGAAAUGAGUGCUAUUAGUAGAAAUAGGCUCAAAGGGUUAGCUUGGGGCUACUUGUAGCCUUUAGCACCGUAUGACAUCCUAGGAGGCAAUUUCGGGUCGUUACACUAACAUGGUCGGUGAUGCUCUUAGCAGGUUAUCCAUCAACAGUUUGGUUCAUUUGGAAAAAGGAAAGCGAGAAUUGGUAAAGGAUAUUCAUCGGUUAGAAAAUAUUGGGGUUUGUCUCUUGGACUCCUAGGAUGGUGGUGUAAUAGUGCAAGAAGUGGUUAGAUUUUCUCUUAGUAUGGAUAUUAAGUAGAAGCAAGUGUUAGAUUCUUACUUGAUGAAAAUCAAGGGUAGUGUUGGUGAGCAAAAGGUGGCGAAUUUCGAGUUAAGAGGUGAUGGUACUUUGCGGUACCAAGGGAGGUUGUGUGUUCCUGAUGUAGACUGUUUGUGGUAAAGGAUUUUUGCUGAGGUGCAUGAGUCAUGCUAUGUUGUCUAUCCUGGUUCUACAAAGAUGUACCAUGAUCUCAAGGAUAUCUAUUGGUGGAGUGGCAUAAAGCGAGACGUUGUUGAUUUUGUGUCCAAGUGCUUUGGGUGUAAAUAAGUUAAGGUUUAGCAUAUAAGGCCAGGUAGGUUAUAUCAAGUGAUUAAGUUGCAUGCAUAGAAGUGGGAUGAGAUCAAUAUGGAUUUCAUUAUUGGUUUUCCUCGGUCUCGGAACCAAUUUAAUUUAAUUUGGGUUAUUGUGGAUAGGAUAAUGAAGUCUGCACAUUUCUUUCCUGUGCAAACUAGUUUUUCGGUGAUGGAUUAUGCAAACCUUUAUCUUUCACAGAUUGUGAAACUGUAUGGUGUUCCUAUUUUGCUUAGUUCUGAUCAUAGUAGGUAGUUUAUGUCCCACUUCUGGUAGUCUUUCCAAAAAGGGCUAAGACUAAGGUGAGUUUGAAUACGAUUUUCAACCCAUAGUCAGAUAGGCAGAAAAAAGAACUAUUCAAACAUUUGAAGAUAUUCUUCAAGCUUGUGUGAUUGAUUAUGGUGGAGUUGGGUAGAGCAUUUACCUUUGGUAGAUUUUGAUUACAAAAAUAGCUAUCAUAAAAGUAUUGGUAUAGCUCAUUUUGAGGCAUUGUAUGGUAGGAGGUGUAGACCUAUUUUUAGUUAGUUUAAGCUCGGUGAGGCUAAUUUAUUUCAUUCGGAUUUGGUUCAUUAUGCUAUAGAAAAAGUGAAGGUGAUUCAUGAUAGGCUCAAGGCUACCCAGAGUCUCCAAAAGUCAUAUGAGGAUGUUUGGCAUAGAUAUUUAGAGUUUGCAGUUGGGGAAAAGGUUUUCCUUAAGGUGUCUCCUAUUAGGGAGUAGUGCAGUUUGGCAAAAAGGAAAGCUCAGUCCUCCAUUCAUUGAUCCUUAUGAGAUUUAGCAUGGAGCGGGCAAUGUUGCGUAUGAGUUGGAGUUGCCAUUUAGUUUGAGUUUGUUUUAUUUGGUAUGUCAUUCUUCUAUGUUAAGAAAGUGCGUUGGUGAUUUAUCUUCGUUUAUGCCUUUAGAAGGAUUGGAUAUCUCAAAUCCUUUGUCUUAUGAAUAGGUCCUAUUUAAGAUAUUGGAUAGGCCGGUUCAUCAAUUGCAGACCAAGGAUACGGUUUUAGUUAAGGUUCUAUGAUGGAAAAACAAAGUGAAAAAUCUAUGUAUGAAGCGGAAGAGGAUAUGAAGUCCAAGUAUCCACUCUUGUUUUCUGCUCUUGAUAUUCGUGAGGAAGGUAUGUUCUUGAACACAUCUUUAUUUUCUGAGUUUGUUAAAAGAAAUAUUUAACAUCUUUGCCUCUUUGUUUCAAACUUUGUUAAAGGGAUGUUUGAUAAUGCAAAUGACUCUGUGUGUAACCUUAUCUGUCAUUCGGGGAUGAAUGUUCCUAGUGUAGGAGACUGAAGCAUCCUUGGAUUGGACCCUUAGAAAAUUUCUAGGAAUCUUAUUCUUCAGAACCAUUAUGAAUCAUGGUAAGAAACGUAAGUUGGGGAACAAGUGGUGAAGACCUGUCAUAAGUUGCCUCUUGUAAUGCCCCAAGUUUGUACCCUGGAUGCUAUACGGUGCUAACAAUCCCGAAGGACCACUAGCUAACACAUGACUGGUACCUCCUGUAAGAACUGAAUAAUAAAGAUGCUGUAAUGAGAAAAUAAGGAAGUAAAUGCGGAAACUAUCAUAAGGUUAAAAUCUAAAAACAAUAUUGUAAACAGAAAACUUAAUGGUGGAAAACAACUAUAUGAAAACACUCUAGUCUGAUAAGCCUCUAAACUAUCUGAAAUAUGGAGUUAAUGGGACAAGACCCCAAUUAACUCUAGAUGACUACUGAAAUAACUGAAAUACUAAAAAAAUCAUGUCCUCAAAAUAUGAGAACUCACCACUACGCUAGCUGCUGAGAAGCUGUACUACUGAGGAUACUCAGGGGCCCGUGCAUCUGAACCUAUGAUAUAAGACAUCAUAGUGCAAAAAACCACAUGUCAGUACUUUAAAUAUACUGGUAUGCUCAAUGAGGUAGGCUUAAAUUCAUGGGUUCAUAAUACAUGAACAAUACUAACUAAAUAACAUAGAUAUGACCGAAUGGGGGUGCAUGUAUGAAUACGUAGACUAUAACUGAAAUUAUGAUGAUACAAAUACUAAUGCUAAAUACUAAUUUACUAAUAUCUGAGUUUACUGAUACUGUAUUACUGAUUAUCUGGAUGACCGUAUCUGACACUCCUGAAGUCUGUAGAACUAUACACUGAGUACUAAUCUGAGACUAAAUCUGAAAUUGAGAAUGUAGGAGGUAAUCAUCUAACCGACAUGCCCCAUUUCUAAAUAGAUUUUGGGGUCCAACCUGUAACCCCAGUUGGAAGGGUGCUAGUACCAUCCCAUGGGUAAAGACAACUGAAGAGAUGCCCUCAUCUGGCAGGUACUCUAAUGAGAAUGGUGGAACCCUCAACUGACAGGUUAAAACACCUUAUCAACCCUCUAUUGGCAGGUUUGAUGUCUCAACCUACACUGGCUAUGUAGUUUUGGAAUGCAAGGAUUGUUUCUAAGAAUCACACCCUCUACUGGAAGGUGAGUCCCCAUCCUUGGAUUCACUCGGUGUUGAAUCCUACUCAAAAUGAAUAGACACUGAACUGAUUUCCUAUUUCAUACUAGGCUUAACUGAACUGGACUGGAUUAGUACUAAGUUUACUAAAUUUUCCUGGAAUCUGGAACUGACUAAAAGUACCACUGAUCACGACCUGACUGAGACUAUUCUAUAACUGACACUGGCUCUAGGUAUAGAACUAAAUUGUUAAGUAUUAAAUACCACCAAGACUCGAUAGCGUAAAGAGUAAAGCGUAACAUAAAUCUUGAAGGCACAAUAAUGGAAACAUGUUCAUAAUUCACUUUCUACAGCAUUUAAUCAAACACUUGUAAAUCUUGAACUUGUACAUAUAUAGGUAUCCAUACUAUCAUGUCAUAAGUACACUAACAAUUCAUAUAGGCAUUUAAACAAACACCUUCAUGGAAUAGCUUUAACAUGGGAGCCCUUUAGACAAUAAUUAUUUCAUGGGCUCAUAAUUGAGAUAAACAAUGGAUCAAAUUUCACAAUUACUUCACAUAGGCAUUUUUGUUAAACACAUGGGAGGCAUCAUAUUAUACUUGGGCAUAAAUAAUAAUUCAAUACAUCAUGGCUACAUUAAUACUUUAAUUUCAAAGAUUUCAACCCACAUGCUAACAUAAAUUCAUGAAAUUCAUUAAAGACAUCAUCUUGGAAUUCACACAACAAGAUUAACAUGAAUACAAACAACCCACAACAUGGAAAUCAUGAUUUAAGAUUUUAAAAAGGGUUUCUUAAACUCCAAGGGUAAAAGGGCCCUUGGAUAAAUACUUCACAUACCUUUAUGCUUGUUUUUUAGAUGAUUGACGGUAGAAUUCUUGAGAUUAGAAUCUUGAAUUGAAAACCCUAAUGCUUGUUGUUGAGAGAGCUUGAGAGAAAGAUUGAGAUUUUACCCUAUAGGCUGAUUAAUUUCGUAUUAAGGUUGAAUAAGGUUGGGAAAAUGACCCACUUCCCCCCACAACCUGUAUUAAAAUAAUCCUGAAAAAGGAUGCCCUCGCGUCGCGAUCCCUACUUUGGUCAAGUAGCCAUCGCAAUGCAACCCCUACUUGGGUCAAGUAGCCAUUGCGGUUUGACCCUUACUUGGGUUGACUGGCCCUCGCGACGCGGGGCUAUCGCGACCCUUCACUAUUUUGGGCAUCCAAAUUCAACCUUACGCUAGUCUAAAAAAUUCAAAACUUACUUGAGAUGACCUCCAAGUAACCCUGAUCAUGAAUCAAUUCAUAAAUUGUCUAACUAUGGUCGGGAAGGUAGGAAAUAAAAUCCUCCAAAUUUGGAAUGCUAAAAUGAUUCUAAGUCUUGAUACUUAGCUAAAAAAAAAUUCUAAGUGUGGGACCCCUUAGUAAGCUUUAAAGGACUGAGUCAAGCUUAGAAUUUUGUAGGGUCUUACAAUAUCUCCCCCUUGGGAAUAUUCGUCUUCGAAUGAGGCUGACUAAGAUGAGAUUACAAAUGUACUGAACUUAUUUACUGGACACAAACAAUAAAACAUGAUUGAAACUACUAAUAUACUGAGUUUUUCAUACUGAGCAUACAUUUCAGAAUGUAACGAAUACAUGACUGAAUAUACUGACAAACAGGGUUUGUAUAAUGAAUAUGCAUAUAUGCAUGCAAUGAAUACAUGACUUAAAACAAUUCUUGAAUGCAUGACUUAAUAUGUAACGGCAAUUGAUACCAAGUUUUGCAAGGGAAUUCUAAGUAAGUUUUAAGGAAAACUAUUGCCUUGAGCUAAGUCUGAGUUGGCAGAGAAGAGGUGAGGUUACUUGGUUCACAUAUAUGCUUCUGCUUCCCAAGUAGCUCCCUCAACAGACUGAUUUCGCCAAAGAAUUUUGACUAGGGGACUUCUUUGUUCCUUAGUCUACAAAUCUGAUAGUCAAGGAUUUCAACUGGAACCUCUUCAUAAGAGAGAUGUUCUGAACGUCUAUGCCAUCUAUCACGACUACGACUACUGGGUCACCUAUGCAUUUCUUUAGCAAGGAGACAUGAAAUACUAGAUGGACUGAAGCUACAUCUAAAGGCAACUCAAGCUCAUAAACUACCUUUCUAAAACGGCUAAGAAUUCGGUAAGGACCGACAUAUCGGGGAUUGAGUUUCCCCGUCUUGCCAAACCUCUUCACUCCUUUCAUAGGAGAGAUUUUCAAAUACACAUAGUCACCAAUCUCAAACUCUAGAUCCUUUCUGUGCAUGUCUACGUAUGAUUUUUAUCUUAAGCCUUUCUCUAAUCAACUGAAUUUUUUCUAAGGAAUCAAAUACCAGGUCAGGCCCUACCACUGUAGCCUCACCCACUUCAAACUAACCAAUGGACGAACUAUAUCUCCUCUCAUAAAGCACCUUAAAUGGAGCUAUCUGAAUGUUCGAAUGAUAGUUGUUAUUAUACAAAAUCAAUUAAAGAUAAGUGGGCAUCCUAACUACUGUUAAAAUCAUUUGCACAUGCUUGCAGCAUAUUUUCUAAAGUCUAGAUGGUCCUUUUUGCGUGACCAUCUAUCUGAGGAUUAAAAGUGGUACUGAGGUGAACUCAGGUACCAAGACCCUUUUGGAAUGUCUUCCAGAAAUGAGAGGUGAACUGGGUACCCCUAUCUUAGACAAUGGACAAUGGAAAAUCAUGCAAUCUAACUAACUCCUUGAUAUAGAGUUUUGCAUACUCCUCAGCUAAGUAAGAGGUAUGGACUGGUAGAAAAUUAUUUGAUUUGGUCAUCCUAUCUACAAUGACCCAAACUAAAUCAUGUUGAUGACGAGUAUAAGGAAAACCAAUAACAAAGUCCAUGUUAACUUCUUCCCACGUCCAAGUAGGAAUGCUGAACUCCUGCAUGGACCCACUAGGUUUCUGAUGCUCAAUCUUAACCUACUGACAUGUAGAGAACUUAGCUACAAACUCUAGAAUGUCCCUAUUCAUCCCACUCACCAAUAGAUUUCCCACAAAUCAUGGUAUAUCUUCACGGCCACUAGAUGAAUAGAGUAAUGCACACCACGCACCUCUGUAAGAAUUUGCUGCCUCAAUCCAUCUACACUCGGUACACACAGAUGACUCUAAUAAUACAAUAUUCUAUCUCCCCCUUUUGAUAAUACCUAUACCUUCUGAUCGCUGACUGACUCUUUCAACUUAAUUAAACUGGGAUCUUUCUCCCUUUUUUCCUUUACUUUGGAAACUAGAGAUGAUUCUAAAUUAUUCUGAACCCAUACACUACCUUCUGUUGAGUUGACUAAGAGGAUACCUAAUCGGGCAAGUUGAUGGAAUUCUUGAGCUAAUUUUUCUUAUUACCAUCAACAUAAGCAACACUACCUAUAGACAGCCUAUUGAGAGCAUCAGCCACUUCAUUUACCUUGCCCGAAUUGUAUAUUACACUCAUGUCAUAAUAUUUUAAUAACUCUAACCACCUUCUCUGAUAGAGGUUAAGAUCUUUCUAGGAGAACAUAUACAACAGCCUCUUAUGGUCGGUGAAUAGAUCAAUGUGCACCCCAUACAAGUAAUGCCUCUAAAUCUUUAAGGCAAAAACUACUGCUGCUAUCUCAAGAUCAUGAGUAGAAUAGUUUUUCUUGUGGGGUUUAAGCUAUAAGGAGGCAUAAGCUAUUACCUUACCUUUCUGCAUGAGGACAUAACCCAAAACUAUUCUUAAUGUAUCACAGUACACAACAAAGCCAUCAGAAUAAUCUGGUAGGGUCAAAACUAGAGUUGUAGUAAGUUGAGUCUUCAACUCCUGAAAACUCUUCUCACAAGAAUCUAACCACUAGAAUUUGACCUUCUUUUGAGUCAACUUGGACAUAGGGGUUGCAAUAGAUGAAAAUCUCUCAACAAACCAUAGGUAAUAGCCAGCCAAACCCAAGAAACUCCUGAUGGAUAUCGGGUCUGGUCUAGUUUCUCACUUCUUCAUUCUUUUAGGUAUCAACUCUAAUGCCAUCACCCAAAAUUAUAUGGCCGAGGAAAGCUAUUGACCCUAGCAAAAAUUUGCACUUACUGAAUUAGGUGAAUAAUUGAUGGUUUCUGUGAGUCUAAAAUACUAUUUUGAGAUGGUCUACAUGAUCAUGUUCACUGCGGGAGUAAACAUGGAUAUCAUCUAUGAAGACUAUGUCAACCAUAUUCAUGUACUGCUUGAACACAUGGUUCAUCAAGUUCAUGAAAGCUUCUGGGGCAUUAGUAAGACCAAAUGACAUGACUAAGAAUUCAAAGUGGCCAUACCAUGUUCUGAAGGUUGUUUUUAGAAUGUCACACUCCCUGACUCUAAGCUGAUGAUAGCCUUAUCUGAUUUCUAUCUUAGAGAAGUAAUUGGCACCCUAAAUUUGAUCAAACAAGUCAUCGAUUCUAGGAAAUGGAUACUUGUUCUUGACUGUGACUUUAUUUAACUGACUGACUAUAGUUAAUACACAUUCUGAGGGAAUCGUCUUUCUUAAGAACAAAUAGAACUAGUGUGCCCCAUAGGGAGAUACUGGCUCUGAUGAAUCCCUUAUCUAAGACAUCCUUUAACUUCUCUUUUAAUUCUCUAAGUUUUGCUAGAGAUAUUCUUAUGGUAGAAUAGAGAUGGGCUGAGUAUCUGGAAGGAGAUCAAUUCAAAAAUCAAUUUCCCUUUUGAGAAGGACUCCGAGAAGAUCUUUGGGAAACACCUCUAGAAAUUUGCAAGCUACUAACACUAAUUCAAGUGUAGGGGUUUCUGAUCUGGAGUCCUAGACUUCGACAAAAUGGUAUACACACCCUUUAGAUAUCAUUUUUCUAGCCUGAAGGUAAGAAACAAGUUGAACCCUAAGUGCUGAAUUACUACCCCUCUACUCUAGGAAGGGUUCAUUCACAAACAAAAACUGGACAAUUCUGUUUCUGCAGUUGAUUGAAGCAUAGUAGGAAUAAAGAUAAUCCAUAAUGAGAAUGACAUCAAAAUCAGUCAUCUCUAAUUUGACUAAGUCUAUUGAAGUGAUUUUCUAAGAUACCACAACUAGAUAGUUCUUAUAUACGCGCUGAACUAUGAUGGGUUUACCCACUAGGGUAGAGAUUGAGAAAAACUCUGCUAGGAUUUUAGGACUGACUCAAAACUCAACUGCUAUAUAUGGAGUAACAAAAGACAAACAAGCUCCUGGAUCUAGCAAAUCAUAAACAUGCAAAUGAUAAACUUCUAAUGUACUAGUGACCACAUCAAGAGAAUUUUCCUAAUUCUAUCGGUACUGAAGAGCAUAGAGCCUAUUUAGGCACUGUCCACUAGUGGCACUGGCUGAGGCACCCUAUUAAUUCGAGUGAUUAGACUGAGCUGGAAGAUGGUUACGCUGACCCUGGAAACCUAACUGGGGACAAUAUCUGACUUUAUGGCCUGUCUUGCCAUAUAAAAAACAUACAUCAGUUCCUGCUCUACAGACACCCUGAUGGUUUCUGCCACACUACUGGCAGAGAGGAUUCAUUCAGGAACUGCUAAUACUACCCUGAGGUUUAGGGCCUGAUGCCCUAUCUCUGUUGCCCUCUCUAAAUUUUAGCACUAGAGCACUAGCUGAGGACGGGGAUGGAAUUAAAGAUUUUGGGUAGAAUUGAGAACAAUUCCCACCCUCCAAGUUAGGCUGAGCAAAGUUAAAACUACCUAUUCUAGCCAUCUUAUUAUGCUUCUCUCUCUUUUUAUUUUUCUACUCUUUGAUCUGUUGAGCAUGGACCAGCAGUCUAGACAAGUCCAUCUCACUAAUCAGCAUCUCGGUUUUGCACUCCUUAACCACAAUAUCAUUCACCCCAGACAUAAACUUACUCAUCUUAGACCUUCUAUCUACUACCAUGUGAGAAGCAUAUCUGGCUAAUUGAUUAAACUUUAGAGAAUACUCUUUCAUCAUCAUACUUCCUGCUUGAGAUUGAUAAAUUAUAGAAUCUUUGCUUCCCUUAUCUUCUGUGGGAAGAACCUACCUAGAAAAGUUGUGGAAAACUACUCCCAUUCUAUGGGCCCUACGUCUGCAGCCCUUUCUGCUUUCCACUAUUUAAACCACGAGUGAGCCACAUCCUACAACUGAUAUGCAGAUAGCUCAGCACUCUCACUAGCCAUCAUCCCUAUGACAUCAGUAACUUUCUACACCUGAUCAAUGAAUUCCUAAGGGUCUUUAGCUGACUUAGACCUGGUGAAAGAUGAAGGGUUCAUUCGGGUGAAAUCCUAAACCAAAACAGUCGUUGUCUUGGUGAUUGGGUUGUCUAGAAUAAUAUCUGAGCACUUAUUCUAUGCUGCUACAGCAUGAGCUAGGGUGGUAAAAGUAGUUCUGAACACAACAUGGGAGACAUGUUCAUCCACAGGAUCUGGCUAGAUGGAUUAGGGUUCUUGAUGGUCUCUUGUUCCUCUUCUCUUAGUUCUUUUGGGAGGCAUGAUCUAUAAAUAUAAGAGAAACUUGGAUUAGAUAGACAGUUUAACAAGAGCCUAUGCUCACUCGCACGACAUGAAUACUGAAAGAAGGGAAACUAUUCCUAAAACAUCUCAUCGCCUCAUGUCCACAAGUGUGGCGCGCUACACACCCAUGCACAAGACUCUACUCAAUAUGGCCUUUAGACUUCCUAGGACUCUGUUGAACCUUAGGAUCAGAUACAAAUUUUUGUAAUAUCCUGAGUCUGUACCCCAGAUGCUACACAGUGCUAACAAUCCCAAAGGACCACUAGCUAAUGGAUGACUAGUACCGGCUGUAAGCACUGAAUAAUAAAGACACUGUAAUAAUAAAAUAAGAAAGUAAAUGUAGAAACUAACAUAGGGUUCACAUCUAAAAAUAAUAUUGUAUACGGAAAGCUCAAUGCUUGAAAAUAACUGUCUGAAAAAUACUAUAGUCUGAUAAGACUCUUAAUUGUCUUAAAUAUGGAGUUGAUGGGAUAAUCCCCAACUAACUUUGACUGACUGCUAAAAUAAUUGAUAUGCUAAAAAUAAUCAUGUCCCCGAAAUAUGAGGACUCACCACUACGCUGUCUACUGAGAAGCUAUACUACAAAGGAUGCUCUGGGGCCCGUGCGUCUGAACCUAUGAUACAAGACAUCAUAGCGUAAAAAGCAUGUGUCAUUAUUUGAAUAGACUGGUAUGCUCAGUGUAGUAGGCUGAAAUGCAUGGGUUCAUGAUGCAUGAACAAUACUAACUAAAUAACAUGGAUAUGACCGAAUGGGAGUGCAUGCAUUAAUACGUAGACUGUAACUGAAAUUGUGAUGAUACUAACUAUUUAGUUUGAAUAAUAAUUUAUUAAUAUCUAAGUUUACUGAUAUUGUAUUACUAAUUAUCUGGAUGACCAUAUUUGAUAGUCCUGAAGUCUGUAAAACUAUAAUGUGUUCUAAUCUGAGACUGAAUCUGAAACUGAGACUAUGGGAGGUAAUCAUCUUACUGACAUGCCCCUUUUCUAAAUAAAUUUUAUGGUCCAACCUAUAACCCCAGAUGGAAGGGUUCCAGUACCGUGCCACGGGUAAAGACAACUGAAGAGAUACCCUCAUUUGGAAUGUACUCUAAUGAGAAUGGUGAAACCCUCAACUGACAGGUUAAAACACCUCACCAACCCUCGACUGGCAGGUUUGAUGUCUCAACCUAGUUGGCUAUGUAUUUAUUGAAUGCAAGGAUUGCUUCUAAGAGUCACACCAUCUACUAGCAGGUGUGUCCCCAUCCUUGGGUUCACUCAAUGUUGAAUCCUACUCCCAACUGAAUAGACACUGAACUGAUUUCCUAGUACAACUAGGCUUGAUGAACUGUUACUAAACUGGACUGGAUUAGUACUGAAUUUACUAUGUUUUCUUGGAUUCUAGAACUAACUAAAAGUACCACUGAUCAUGAUAUGACUGAGACUAUUCUGUAACUAACAUUGGCUCUAGGUAUACAGCAAAAUUGUCGGGUAUUAACUACCCCCAGGACUCAACAGCAUAAAGGGUAAAGCGUAACAUAAAUCUUGAAGGCACGACAAUGGCCACAUGUUCACAAUUCACUCUCUAAGGCAUCUCAUCAAACACUUGUGAAUUUUGAACUUGUACAUGUAUAGGGAUGUAUGCUAUCAUGUCCUAUGUACACUAACAAUUCACAUAGGCAUUUCAACAAACACCUUCAAGGCGUAGCUUUAACAUGAGAGCCCUUUUGACAUGUAUUUCUUUCACGAGUUCAUAAUUCAGAUCAACAAUGGAUCAAAUUUCACAAUUACUUCACUUACGCAUUUUUAGCAAACACAUGGGAGACAUCAUAUUAUACUUGGGCAUGAAUAAUAAUUUAAUACAUCAUGGCUACAUUAACCACUUCAAUUUCAAAGAUUUCAACCCAGAUGCUAACAUAAAUUCAUGAAAUUCAUUAAAGAAAUCAUCUUGGAAAUCACACAACAAGAUUAACAUGAAUACAAACAACCCACAACAUAGAAAUUAUUAUUUAAGAUUUUAAAAAGGUUCAAGGGUGAAAGGUCCCUUAGAUGAAACUUCACAUACCUUUGUGCUUAUGUUGGAGAAGAUUGAUGGCAGAAUUCUUAAGAUUUGAAUCUUGAAUUAAAAACCCUAAUGCUUGUUCUAGAAAGAGUUUGAGAGAAAGAUUGAGAUUUUUUCCUAAAGGCUGAUUAAUUUCUUGUUAAGGCUGAAUAAGGUAGGGAAAAUAACCCAUUUACCCCCCACAACCCAUAUAAAAUUAAUGCUGAAUAGGGCUACCCUCACGUUACGACCCCUAUUUGGGUUAAGUAGCCAUCUGAUGCAACCCUACUCAGGUCAAGUAGCUAUCGUAGCGCGACCUUAACUAUGGUUUAUUGGCCCUGGCGCUGCUGGGCUAUCACGACCAUUCAUUAUUUUGGGCAUCCAAACUUGCCAUUACGCUAGUCCAAAAAAUUUAAAACUUGCCUGAGAUGACCUACAAGUGACCCUGAUCAUGAAUCAAUUCACAAAUUGACUAAUUAAGGCCGAGAAGGUCAAAAAUAAAAUACUCAAAAUUUAGAAGGCUAAAAUGAUUCUAAGGCUUCAUACUUCGCUAAAAAUAUUCUAAGUUUGGCACCCUAUAGUAGGCUUUAAAGGACUGAGUCAAGCUUAGAAUUUUGCAGGGUCUUACACCACUCUAAUUCUUUUGCCUUCCCAAUACCCCUUCUACCACCCCUUCACUUCAAUAGUCACCUCUCUCUUUACCUUCUCCAUAUUUAUCCUCUUCUUUUCUCCAUUCAACUCCUCCUCGUCCUCUCUAUCUCUUUUAUUAUUAAUCUAAACUCUUCUCUACCAAAUGACCCAAACUCAAUCCAUGGAAAUCUCUCAAAAACCUUCGCUAGUAUGGGAUAUAUUUUAAUUAAUGAGGAGUAGUGUAGAAAGAAAUCCACUAGAGAAAAAUCUGAGUUCCCUAAGGUAAGUAAACCUAUUUGUAACCCCAUGUUUUAGGUAUUAAAGGAGUUGGAAGAACUCAAGGACCGCAUGAGUAUUGUCGAGGAAGAGGUGGUGUUGCUUCAGGUGUAAACUUCCAAAUUGCUGCAGCUUGGGAAGAGCGCUAAUUCUGACAUAAGCAAAGUAAGUUUGACCUUUGAUUAUUUCAAACCUAAAGGCAUAAAUUUUUUUUCCAAAGUAUUCUCUCGCAUGGACUCUUUCAAAACCGAAGAAAGCUCUUCCAACAAUGACCUUGCUAUUGCUUUUCAGAACUUCUAUUUCUUAUUUUUUAAGAAUAUUGAAAAAUCAUAUGACGAUUCUGUCACAACAUGUAUGAUACCCUCACCUACUUCUUGGCCAAACUAUAACUCUGAUGACUUCUAUUAGAAAGGGGGUCCUAUACUUUUUCAAAUUAUGGGUUGUAAAAUGAUUUCACACAAACUAUGGGGUUUUUAACUUCACCUUGAUGUAUAUCUGUGUGGUUUUCUUGGUUUGUGUUUUUGUUCCCUUCCUGUGUGUUGUUUCUUUUUUAUUAUGUCAAAGGGGGAAAACAAGAACAUCGGAGAUAACUAUCAAGUCAGGGGGAGAUAGUCCAGUCAACGAAAGUCAAUUGGCAUUUCAAAAUAUGAGAGUUGGAAAAAUAGAGAAUCCAGUCGAUUAUAGAAACAGAAAAGCUAACAGUUGUUUAAGUAGUAUUUGUCAUUAUCAAAAAGGGGGAGAUUGUUAGCUUUCUAUGGUUUCAUUUUAAUAAUGAUAAACUAAUAAGUAGAUAUUUCUAUGAUAUUGGAAACUUCUAAUGAUGGAAAGAUGUCUAACACAAAGAUUUAAAGGAUUAGAAAGUUGAUAAAGGUAAGAAAGACGGCUCCAAGAAUGGAAGAAUAUCCAAUCACGAUCUACAACAUCCAAGCAAAUCAAUCAAAACAAGAACAAAAGGAAGGAAAAUCAUAAAUCCCGAAAUCAUGAAAAAUCCAUGAUCUACAACAUCCAAAAGAAUCAAUAAGAAUAAAAACAAAAAAAAAGAAAUUCACAAAUUCGAAAAUCAUGACAAAAGCAUAAGAAAGAAGAGACCACGGAUGUAUCUAAUAUGGACGCAAGUAAGAAUUUGUGUAUGGAUUUAUCUGAUAUGGACAUACCAUAUAGUUACUUUCCUUAAAAUAAAGCAUCUUGGGUUUGGACCCUUAGAAAAUUUUGAGGAAUCUCUUUCUUCUGACCCAUUAUGACUCAUGGUACGUGACAACGCCCAAGAGCACAUGCAAGUAUGCGUGGUCUACCAAUUAGUAAAGUGUCCUUCAAGAAAGCCGAGUUAUUGAUCCCAUAGGGACUUGUGUUAAACAACUAUCUAAUUCUAGUUUAAAAACUUGAGAAGAGUAACAAUAAAGUCUUAGAAUUAUAAACUAAAAGUAAACUAAACUAAUCCAGUAAAGUAAUGACUUAGGACAAUCGUGGAUAGAAGCCCAAGGUUAAUCAUUACAACCAAUCAUACUACGUUAUUGAACUUUAUUCGUUGCAUUACUUAUCGUGGUUGUGUAUUCAUAGGGUUAAUUGCAUGAUUAUUGUUUUCCAACCUCUAAUCCUUUACCUAAGUUGCACCUUACACCUAUAUUUUUUAGCAGGGAUAUAAUAAUCCAGUUAAGUUAUGUAAGCUAUCAUCCUAUGUUUGAAUCAAGUAAGGCAUCUAAGCACAUCCCUAUGCUAGAUGCUAAUUCAAGUCUCUUACUUUAUAAAGAAAUAAGAACCAUACUUAGCUUAUUCCCUUGUUUUAUCUCCCUAUUCCCUCUCUCGAGAUAACAAGGUUGAAAAUUUAUGUAUUCUAAGGGUAGCUAAUCCUUAAAAUAGUUAAAACAAGAAUAAACAAGGAACCAAUAAUAAUAAUCAAGUCAACAAACUUAAUUUAAAAUGAAAGUAGUCACGAUCUUGGCAUUAAUCGCGGAAAGGGAGAUGUAGCUUUUAAUGGAAAUAUUCAUUAUCCAAUCCCUUGGAUUGAUGAUACAAACCAUGAAAAAAAAAACUAAAUUAAAGAGAUAUAAACCCUAAAAAAAGUGUUGAGAAGCCCCAAAACUAGUCUAAUACGUCCAAAAGUAUGUAAAAACUUGAUAUAAAAUGUAUUUAUAGCAAUCAGGUAAGCCAAGUCCGUAUUGGAAUUGAAUUAGAAUGAAACACCUAGGGGUUGAGUGGACCAUGCAUCACACCAUCUAUUCCUAUGGAAUGGAGAAUACGACACACCCUCUAUUCCAUAGAAAUAGAGCAUGUGACGCACGUUUAUCGGACGCCUUCACUGGAAUUUACAUACAAAAUUUUGGUUAAGUGUUGGUCCUUCCUCCUUCCAUCACUUAUCUUGUGGUGUCUUUCCAAUGAUUUUCCAGCCUCUAUAUCAUCCAUAUAUCAUCAUAUUAAGAUAAAAAAGGAUCUUUCAAGAAAACACCACAUGAAUUAGAGUUACAAAUACACAAUAUCCAUCAUGAUAAACCAAAAACAAGAGCUUAGACUAGGUUGAUUUCCAUGAUCUUUCACUUGAAGUUUCAACUUUUUCCUUGACUCACUUGAACUUUAAACACUACUAGAAAAUUGUUGCACAUAUAAAAACGCAUAUAAACCAUAAGGAACAAUUAAAACACAAUAGAAUCAAUCAAGAUAGACUAGACAAGCAACUAUCUCAACCUAGAAAGACUAGUUUUCUCUAUUGAACUCAAAUUGACUCUUUGAAGUACCAACUUACUUGGAAUUUACUUUGAACCUUAUAAACACAUGUUUUAACACUUUGAUACAUAUUUAUUUCAUUAUCAACCCCUAUAGCAUAGAGUCAUCCUCAAAACAAGGCUAAAAUAACUAGAAUAGUGACAAUAGAAUGCAUAAAUAUACCCUAACAUCACCACCCCACUCUUAAAGCCUUGUUCGUCUUUGAACAACUCUUAAUUGUAAUUAUUAUCAACUCAGGAGACUCUACAUUUCUACUAAAUGCAAGACACUCAAGGUAGUAAUACAAUGACUACACAGAAUGCAAGUUACUACACUAAGCAUGUUAUUUACACAAUUGAUAGCUCAUGAACACUACUCCAAAACAUCCUAGCCUCAAGAAUUGACUCACCUAGUUGGCAAACUCAUGUAUAUUUCUCAAUAAAGGACAUCAUAUAAAUCAACCACAUUCAUCAAACAUGUGUCUUCAUAAUAAGAGAGUUACCCAUAAUCACUAACAAUAUUGUAAUUUAUCACAUAAUGGGUACAAGAAUUAAAUUACACUCACUCUUACAAAGAAUUAACAAGUUACACAUACUGAAUCAUAAGCUUUCCCUUAGGCUAGUGCUCUACUAAUAUCAGAAUGUAAAGUAUAGGAUUAAUUAAGACUUUUUCGGGUUGCAAUAUAGUCUAAGGGACAGGUAGGAACUAUUUGAAAAUAGUAAAUAAAAUCUCUAAGAACUUUAAUGCACUACAUCAAACAUUUAACAUCAAUCUUCAACAACCAACUUACACUAUUUUUACUACCCCAUUCUUUUGUUUUGCCCCAUUUUCUUUAAGCAUUUUCACAAACACUUGGUGGGCAUAUUCUCUAUUCCUUUAAGAUUUAAUAUUUCUCAAUUUGUACAAUCAUGAAAAUAUUCCUAACAUCAUUUAUAUCACUCCCAACCACCACACAUCAAAUAUAAACACCAAUAACUCUUAUCUUGGGGCAUCAAUUUCACCUUUUUCUUUUUCAAUUUCUCAAACUCCUUACUAAUUUAAUUUUUUUUCAAUUAAAGAACCUAGGAGCUUUUUGGAUCAAAUUAAGUUCCAUCAAAGAAAAGGAAUAAGGAUUUAUAUGAUGUUGCCAAAGAAAAGGCUAAAGGCUCAAUAGGGGUUAACUAGAAUAAUGCACAAUAGGUAUGACAAAUAGAAGGAAUAAAACAAGGGUAUCAAAGAAACGCCCAAAUCAUCUCCUAAACCCACACUCUUUAUUUUACUUUACACACACACCGGGCAAGUUCUAGACUUCACAUGCAACAAGGAAUAUACCAAAUCUCACACUCAUAUGGAACAUGUUCAACUCAUAUAGGAUUAUGAUAGAAUACUCAUCAAACAAUAACAUGAAUUCAAAAUUAAGCCAACAAGUACAAGAGUCACAUAUAUAAGACUAGGAGUCUAAAAAAUAGCAAUUAAUUUAAUCAGCAUGCUUUUACAAACAAAUCCACUAGCUUCAUGUAAUAAAAAAUAGCACCAACAAGAAUAUCUUAUAAAAAAAUUAAAUUAUGCCAAAAAUUAGGAAUUUUCCCACCCCACACUUAAAAAUCUACUUUGUCCCCAAAGUGAACUUGUAAAGUAAGAGAUAGAAAUACUCCCUAAGGCCUUUAAUCCUAGAUAAUAUUAUAUUUUUAAAUUAAUGAGAUCCAUGGGAGCCCCACACUUAGUUUUUCCCAUGCUUCUUAGCUCAGGUUUUCAGUACUUAGACUUCCCAUAAACUUGUGACUCAACAAAAACAAAAAACUAUGUUAAAUAAAAAAAAUUGAAAAUAAAACAUACCUAAUUAACUUGGGUUGAUGCCCAAGAAACACCUAAUUUAGUGUCGUGGAAUGACCCAAUCAACUUUUUUCUCCACCUUAAGGAUAUUAAUUUCACCCCCAACUUUAUAUCCAACUUUUUCCCUUGCUCAUAUGGUGGUGGUACAAAGAUUAAUGAACUGAGUAAUGGAUGAUGAAUGGUAAACCACUCGGCGUUAAGGUAAGGUGUGUUCUUAAGUUGCUUAUCUGGUCUAAAAUUAAGAAUAUAGGAUUCUUGUUCCUCAUCUGCACACUCUUCCAAUCUUAUAGAUGGUUCCACAACAAGAUAUCACCUAAAAAUAAUGUAGAAAAGUGCUUUGAGUGAAUCCCAACCAAUCCCACAUCAAAAUUUACACUAUAUUCAACAUUAUCACUCAUAUUCACCUUCUAAAUUUCAGUCUCAAAAGAAAGAUGACAAUCGAGUGGCUGUGAUUCUUGUGUUUGUUCCAUAAAUUGGCUAAUAUCCUCCUCAUAUUUUUCUUUUCUUAGCAUCUAUAGACAUGGUAGAGGUGGCAUCUCCUCAGCCAUUUUAACAACUUUAGUUUUCAAGUACUCAUACUACCUCAAAUUAUCAUUAAUUUUAUCUACAAUCGGUUGGGGAGUCAACUCUGCAUCUACCUCCUACUGAUUAUACAAUUUCUUUAAAGCCUCCCGAUGGUUCUUUACAUUUGCUAACAACUAUACUUGAGAUGCUAAAAGUUUUUUAAUCAUCUUUUCAAAAUUGCUAGUUUGAGUUGUCACCUGCAUGUUUGGUUAUUUCUCCUAAAACUACUGCUGGUUAUUCCAUGAUUGAGUUUGUGACUGAUUCUAACCCGUUUGAUUAUAGUUGUUUAUAUAAUUUUGCCUUUCACAUAGGCCACAAAUAAUUCUGAAUCGAGAUUGAUAGCACACAUAGCUGCAAUAUGACAACUUUGACCAAAAACCAAACACCAAGUUAUAGUCUGCUCCACAGAUAGAACAGUAUUUGUAUCAUAUUAUGAAGGUCCUAUCCAUGCACUUCUAUCAAAAUCUGGAUAAUAAGCCUCAUGAUGUGGUCCCCUAUAAAAAUGACAAGAAUUGUUAUCACUCGAAAAGCAUCUUACCAACCUGACAUAUCAAGAAGUGUGAUAAAAAGAGAAAUAAAAGAAAAUAAAAAAAACUAAAUAAAAACUAUUUACAACUCAAUAUAUAAAAACAACAAAAAGAUAUUUGUGAAUUCAAGUCCAUGGCAACGGCGCCAAAAACUUAACAAUGCACACGCAAGUGUAUGUUGUCUACCAAGUAGUAAAGUUGCCUUUAAGAAAGCCGAUUUAUCAAUUCCAGAGGGACUUGUGUUAAAAAACUAUCUAAUUCUAGUUUAACAACUUAAGAAGAGUAACAAAUAAAGUUUACUAAACUAAUGUAGUAAAGUAAUGACUUAGGAUAAUUGUUGGAUAGAAGCCUAGGGUUAAGGCUUAUGACCAAUCAUACUACAUUAGUGAACUUCAUUUGUUAGAUUGCAUAUCGUGGUUAUGGAUUCAUAGUGUUAAUCGCAUGAUUAUGGUUUCCCAACCUCUAAUUCUUUACUUAAGUUGGACCUUACACCUACAACAUUGUGCAGGGAUGUAAUAAUCUAAUGAAGUUUUGUAAGUUGUCAUCCUACAUAUGAAUCAAGUAAGGCAUCUAUGUACAUACUAGUCCUAGUUUCUAAUUCAAGUCUCUUAUUUUAUAAAGAAACAAGAACCAUACUUUGCUAAUUCCCUUGUUCUAUCUCCCUAUUCUCUCUCUCGAGAUAACAAGGUUGAAAAUUAAUGUAUUCUAGGGGUAGUUAAUCCUUAAAAUAUUUAAAACAAGAUUAAAAAAGAAACCAAUAAUUAUAAUCAAGUUAACAAACUAAAUUCAAAAUGAAAUUAGGCAUAAUAUUAGCCUUAACCCAGGAAAAGGAGUUUUAGCCUUUAGUGGAAAUAUUCAUCAUCUAAUCCCUUGGAUUGAUGAUAAAAACCUUGAAAUAAACUAAAAUACAAAGAUAUAAACCAUAAAAUAAGUGUUGAUCACCCCCACAACUAGUGUAAGACAUCUAAAAGUAUGUAAAAAUGUGAUAAAACAUAUAUUUAUAGCAAUCGGGUAAGCCAAGUCUGUGCUAGAAUUGAAAUAGAAUGAAAAACCUAGGGGUGGAGUAGACCAUGUGUCACACCAUUUAUUCCUAUGGAUUGGAUCAUGCAAUUCACCCUAUAUUCCAUAGGAAUAGGUCAUGCUAUGCACGCUUAUUGCACGCCUCGACUGGAAUUUGCAUCUUAAAUUUUUGUUAAGUGUUGGGCCUUCCUUCUUCCAUCCCUUGCCUUGUGGUGUCUUUGUAAUGAUUUUUCAGCCUAUAUAUCAUCCAUAUAUCAUCAUAUUAAGCUCACAAAUGGUACUACAAAAAAACACCUCACGAAUUAGAGGUACAAACACACAAUAUCCAUCAUGAUGAAUAAAAACAAGAGCUUAGACUAGGUUGAUUUCCAUGAUCUUUCACUUGAAGUUUCAACUCUUUCCUUGACUCACUUGAAAUUUAUAAGCUACUAACAACUUAUUCCACAUAUAAUAGUAUAUAUAAACCAUAAGUAACACAUAAAACACAAUACAAUCCAUCAAGAUAGAUUAGACAAACAACUAGCUCAAGCUAGAAUGAGAGUUUUCUCUAUUGAACUCAAAUUGACUCUUUGAAGUACCAACUUACAUGGAAUUUAAUUUGAACAUUAUAAACAUAUUAUUUAACACUUUUGUACAUAUUUAUUUCAUUAUAAACCCAUAUAUCAUAGAAUCAUCCUUAAAACAAGGUUAAAACGACUAGAAUAGUGGCACUAGAAUGCAUAAAUACACCCCAACAUCAGUACGAUCCAUAACCUAGGGUAUGAGUGGUGAAGACCUAUCAUAAAAUAACUAGUGUUAGUUGGUGUGAUGGUUUUCAAAACUGUAAUUGAUACAAAUUAAGGGUAUAAGUCGUAAGUCAUGGGUUUGAGUCGUAUAUGUGACUCGUAAGGUGGUUAGUGUUUAAUCCUAUUGGUGUUACAUUCUACCAGGAAUACUUAUCAUGGGUGAGGAUCAUACGCUGAGGUUAUUACUUGGUUGGAUGAGAUGUAUAUUGUAUAGUGUCUGAUCCAUGGUUGAAGAUUGAUUAUGAUUGGGUCGGUAUCAACCGUAAGCUAGAUUACAACUCAUAAGAACGUCAGUCAUAACCCUGUGUCUAGUUUGUUUGGGAUUAAAGUGGGGAUAUUAUGGACAUUUCCCUACUUACCCUAAUAACGACCCAUGAUAUCUAAUGCACUUGGGAGGUUAUUAACCUUAUUAUUUUAUUCUUAAAUGCUUAGAAUCUCUUCCAAAACAUAUCACAAUUCUUUCAGGAGCUAGGGUUUCAACUAUGGAAUUACUUUAGGGCUUGUCUUCGUGAAUUAUUUCCAUUAAUAUUCUUGGCUUAAUGCAUGACUCUCUUCCCUACUUGUAAUUUCAAUUAAAUUCAUGGUCAUAUAGUUGACUUCAUGAUUUGUUCUUUUGCUUAGUUUUGUCUUUAAUCACUGAUUUAGGGGUUUUGAUGUUAAAGGAUUGGAUAUGAUUUCUUAUGGUUUUAAUUAUGUUUUUUUAUACAUUAAUGGUGGUUUUGGAUAAUGGAAUUGCAUGAUAAUAGAUUAAUGGUAAUGGAAUUUGGUUUUCGUUGUACUAUGCCCCCAAGCUGUUUGAUAAAAUACUUAUUAAGAUAUGAUCAUUGCAUUAACUUAUGUUAAAGGAACUCUUGCUUGUUUUCAUUUUAUAUAUGAAACCUUUCAUUUUUUUCAAAGGUUUACAAAGUUUAAUGUCUAAUUGGUAAUGCUUGUAGGAAACAUGGUAGUCUCCCAAAAGGUUAAUAUAUUAAAUGAAAAGGGUACCGAGAGUCCACUUAAUCUAAAUUAUUUGGCUACGGAUAAUUCUUGCAAGUAUGGUGAAGAUACCAUUGGUUGAUCAAAUAGCCUUGGUUAAUAAAUGGAUAAUUUGAUUAUUUUGGACUUGGUUUUAAUUGAGCAUUAAUAUCAAGAAGUGUAAGCUAAGCCAUAGAAGGUGGCGAUCUCAGGGGAUCAAAAUUGGAAACUUAUAUUUGAUGAUAUGAGGAUUUUCAAUGGCCAUGUACAAGUGUCACAUUUAUAUUAGAGGGAUAUAGUCAUCCUUGGGUUAUUGCCUAGUCAUUUGGAUANNNNNNNNNNNNNNNNNNNNNNNNNNNNNNNNNGCUACAAGGCCCAAGUUAAGGAUUUAAAUGUAAUGCUAAACUCGGUCCCUUAUCCCAACACUUAUAUAUAUAUAUAUAUGGUUGUUUGCAUUGGAUUAUUUUAACUUGGUUUUGAUAACUGGCAUUACUUAUCCUUAUCCUGAGAUUCAUGCUAGUAUUCACCCGCUAACCCAUCUACUAGCGGUUGUAUACCCAUUCUAUGAAAAAACCAAAUGUUUUAAUCCUCCUUAAUAGUACUUUAUUUGGGGACAACUUAUUGGACUAAAGUGGUGAGCUUCCAUCCUUUCAAACGACAUUAUUUUAUGUUGGACAUUCUUAGACUUUUUUUAUUUUAGGAUAUUAGUUUUGGCCAUAAUUGGAGAAACGUCCCAACCGAAUAUUCGUAUUCUUUUGGAUAGAGGCUUUAUGGUACUUCUAGGGGUUUAAAUAUGUGAGAUAGGUAUUAGUGUUAACCUUGGUAUCGAGAUAGAUGUUAGGGAUUAAACCCUUGUACGAUAUAUUUGUUUCCUCUAUUAUAUUAUAUUUUGGGUUUCACUUUCAUAUUAUGUUUUGAUAUUCUCUUUUGUUUGGUAUGGAAUGGAUGGUUGGUUUGGAAUGGACAGGCUUGCUUGGGUCGGUCAGGGUUGUGACCCUAUCCCAAAGUCUUCUUCAGAGCAUUGUAAAAUCUUCUUAUAUGGCUGAAAUUUAUCUCCUCUAAGUUUGUCUAAGGUGGUUGGGUUAGGUUAAGGGGGUGGUCCCUAGUUCUAUGUGGAUUUAGGAUGCCCAUUAUAAUGAGGCCACGAUCCGGGCUACGUCACAAUCAAGGAAUUAAUUCAAAUCCUUGAUUGAAUAAAAAUCUCUUAGGUUUCCUUACAACGAGUAGCAACUGAAGACUAUAAAAGAAGAAGUCUAAAGAUAGACAAAGAUUAUGAAACUUCAAGAAGAAUAUUGAAGUAUCUUAAUCUUAGUCUCACAAAGCUUUUUAACUUUUAUUUUACAAUUAUUGUAUAAAGAGUAGGAUCAAGUCAACUUUGUAACACAAACUAAAGUUGUUUCACAAGAUUUGAAGAACAAAAUAAGUCUUCAAAACUUGUUUCCCAUCAUUGUACUCGAUCCCGACAUUGAAUGAUCUAAAGAAAUAUUGUAACCCAAGGGUACUGGAAGUAGGCACAAUAAUGGUGUUUCGAUCUAGGAUAAAUAUCUAGGUCUUUGCUUUACAUUUGAUUAUUUAUUUUCUUAAUUAUUUCAAAUUUAAUCUAUUUUGUAAAGUGUACUGAUCUACAGGCGAGUCGACUUUGAGGAUCCAGUAGUCGACUCACAAAAAAUUUUCAAUUCACCCCCUCUUUAAUUUCAUUCAGGUUUUAGAGGAUAUAAUCCGCGCUUGUGUGAUGGACUUUGAUCGUUAGUAGGAGUAAUAUCUAUCUUUGGCAAUGUUUGCAUAAAAUACUAUCUACCAUUCCUGUAUCGAGAUGGCUCCAUUCGAGGCCUUGUAUGGUUGGCGUUGUCGCACUUCAGUUGGUUAGUUUGACUUUUUAGAGAUUAAACCUCGAGGUAAGAGCUUGAUUUAUGAGUCUUUAGAUAUAGUUUGGGUCAUUAAGGAUAGACUUAGAGCGGAUUAGAGUAAGUAGAAAUAUUAUGCAGAUAGUAGACUUUGUGUCUUGAGUUUUAGUGUUGGUGAUUGUGUCUUCCUUCUAUUUUACCUAUGAAUGACAUGAUAAGAAUUGGGAAUAGGGAAAAGCUUAGCUCGAGGUAUAUUGGACCUUUUGAAUUCCUUUAGACUAUUGGGGAUGUGGCUUAUGAGUUCGCAUUACCUCUAGAUUUAUAAGCUAUUCAUCCAGUUUUUCAUGUUUCUAUACUUUAGUGUUACAUUCUAGAUUAUUCUUAUGUAAUUCAUUAGGAUUCAGUACAGUUGGAUGGGCGAUUAUUAUUUAAGGAGCUUAUCUCCAUUCUAACUAUGGAUGUUAGACAGUUGUAUUAUAAGGUUAUUUAUUUAUUUAAGAUCCAAUGAAGGCAUUAAACAGUAGAUAAUUCUACUUAUGAAGUCGAGUUUGAUAUGCAUAGUAGUUAUCCCUAACUUUCUUCUUAUUUGGGUAUUUCUGUAGUCCAUAGUUUGAGGAAGAACUAGAUUUUUAGUGGUAGAUGAUGUAAUGAUUUGAUUUUUUGUGAUUUUUGUAAAAUAUUCACUUUUGUAUGAUUUGACAAUUUUACCCAUCCCUGUGGUUGCUUUUUGGUAUUUCAGAUGUAUAGGGAUGAUUGGCAUGGUUUCCGAUGUAUUUCAGUGUGAUUUGUACAAGUUUGUAGUUUUUGGUGGCUUAAAAAGCCUUAGAGAUGACUUCGGUCAACAUUUAUUGAUUUAUCCAUCAGAUGGGAAAAUGGACUAUGCCAGCAGAUCAAGAACAUCAAUUUUAGGUUGGUAACAUAGUUGGUGUGGUUUUACAAUUUUAUAUCUCAUUUCGAUCCUCAGUUUUGAAAGUUACAAAAUUAGGUUUUGGGGGUAUUUUGUAACAAACAUUUUUUGAAAAUAUGAUAUUGUCAUUGAGUUAGCAGCAUCGAAUUAGUAGGAUAGCAUAGUUUAUUUAUGUACUCAGGAUUUUGGAUGAAUCUCGAGGGGUUCGUGGAGUCAUGGAAUUCUCAAAACAUCCAGCUGGUGCACUACUCUGUUGGUGCACUUACUUAAGCAAUGCUUUGGCUGCUUAAGUGACUUGGCCCAAUAGCUAAAGUGUCGCCUAAGCAACACCAGGCCCACUUAAGCAAUUGCCUGGUCGCUUAAGAGACACUAACAAGCCAAAAACCUACCGCUUAAGCAAUACUAAAGUCACUUAUGUGACAAGGAAGGCUUUACUUAUAUGAUGCCUAGUCUCUUAUGUGAUAGCUACUUAAGCGACCCGGUAGUCGCUUAGGUGAUGUUUGGGUAGAUUACAACCCCAUUUUUGAGAUUUUUACACCAUUUUCAAGACUUAGAUCUGGGGUUUGAGUUUUUGAUCAUUUUCUUCAAUUUCUAAGCUUGGAUAAGAUCCAAAUCCCUAUUUUAAUUAUUUUCCUUUGCAUUUUAUCAUCUAAAUCUUGUUUAAGCUCAGAUCAAAAGUUGGAAUUUUGGAAUUUUGUACUAGAAGGCCCAAGUUACCAAUUCUUUGAUUCAAACCCAAAUUUCAACCCAUUUUCCCUUGUGUUUUCCCCUAUGAUUUCAUUUAAUCUUGGGAAAUAUAUUUUUGGAUUGACAUUUUGGUUUUACCCUUUUUUUCAAAAAUCCAUUUCGAGGGUUCAUUUUGACCCUAAUUAGAAAAGGGCAAUAUGGUUAUCAUUUACUUUCAUUUGAUCUAGAGAUUCAAUAUUUAUGUGUGUUAGCUACUUUUAACCUCGUGUGUAAGGUAAAAGCUCGGUGUUAAAGGAUUAUUAUACUUGUAUUAGCAUUCGAGGUAGGUUAUGGCUUAAUUUUCUUUAAAUUUGAUUGGGUAGUUAAUAAUAAUGUGAAAACAUGCUAUGGGUAUGGGCUUGUAUCAUGGAAAAUAUUUAUAUUUGAUUUAUGUGCACAUGUGGGACCUAUGUUGUUGAUAUGUGGUUGUUUUGAGAUAUUAUUUGUUAUGUGUGGCAUCAUGACGUCUUAUAUGGUGUUGUUGGCCUAGUAUUUAUAUAAAUACAUAUGUGUGUGUGUGUGUUUGGUUGUAAUUCCUUUGGUGGAAAAAUCCUAAAUUUUGGGAUUCAUGUGGAAUCAAUGGCAUUUUACUAGUAUGUUUCACUUAAUGGUUUUUGGAUUAUAUUGGAUUUUGGAUGGUUGAAUGAUUUAUGUAGAUUUUUUUGCUCAGAUGGCUGGUAUAUUGAUUGGAUAUUAUAAAUUCUCAUUUUUGUUGGUUAUGAGCAUUACACCUCAUAUCAUAUUCAAUCAUGAAACAUUGGUACCACCGUUGAAAUACUAAAAAUAUUUGAAACACUAACUUUUUCUGACAAAAAAUAUGACAUCUUUAAUAGCCCUCUACCGAUGUUUGUGCCAAAGAGGAGUAUGGAUAUUGGUAUUUGAUAUUUGUUGUAUACCAAUUGACGAACCCUCCAUUGGUCCUACCUGGGAGCAUAGCUUAAUAAUUAUAGGUUGACGAACCUCCCAUGGGUCUUACACCUACAGCUCAACUCGGUAGGUGUAUAUGGAGGUUGUAUAACAACCUCGUGCAUCAUCAUCUUCUUCAUUGCAUUACAUAUACUGUGCUUAUCCCAUGAUUGUGUUUCCUGUUCUUGACUUGAUAUCUGUCCUUUUGUUCUAUCUUCUUAUACUUAUAUUUGGAGUAUGUGUAUAUUUAUUCUUAUUUCCCUACCUAUAUUUGUUAUAUGUAUAUAGAAUAGAAUUGUUAGUGGAGAUUGUGUAGGCUACUAUUUUGGACUUUUUUUUAUUGCAGGUGACGUGGCCAUAGUUUGUGUUUAUAUGUUUUAUUUUCUACUUUACUUAGUCGGUCUAUGAUACCUACUAAGUAUAAAUGGAUUGUACUCAUCCCUACUGCACCCUUUUGGUGCAGAUCCAAGUACGAGUGCACUGUAUGGAUAGAUGAUUCAAGAGGCAUUUGGAGUCUAUUCAAGGUAGCAGUUGAUCUAUGCAUCUGGAGUUGGCUACUACCUUUUCUUGUUUAGAACAUGUCUUAUUUUUAUUCAUAGCCAGAGUUAUUCCUUUCGGGAUAUCCUAUGCAUAUUUUGACGUCAAGUUAUAUUAAUUGGUUCUUACAUUGUGACAACAAAUUUUGGAUUUUGUUUUUUAUCUUUGAUUAUAUUUCUGCUAUUAUCAUGUUUUGUGGCUCGACUUUACUUUAAAAUCCUUGUCUUGGGUUUUGGUAUUGAUUUCUCUUGUCUUAUUAGUUUGGGUGAUAGUCUUAUAGGUCAAGGCUUGCCGCGAUGAGUGCUAUCAUUACCGUUGGUUUUUAGGUCAUGAGAAAUGAGUUAAAAUUGUGAGAUAAUGAAUUAGAUGUCGAUUAAAGUCUCAUCAAGUGUUCAGUUCGUGACUUAUUUCUUUACUUUAAAAUGAAAGAUAGAAAUAAAAAAAUAAAAAUACAAGUGAAAGAUCCUAUUUAUGCAGUUUUUCUGGAAUCUUGACUUGAAUCUUCAUGACCUCUAAUGUUGUGGGAUAAUCUUUAUUUUGAGUUAAACUUGAAAAAUAAAUUUUCCUCCAUGACGACUCUUGGUAUUGGAGAGGAACUUGAAAAUUGACUGCAUUCUUCAGGUGGUCACUUGAUACUUCUGACAUUGAAACUAAGAAUCACCCAGUUUUUCAUGUGGGCUCCUAAAUUUGAACUAAAAUUAUUGAUCCUAUUAUCCAGAUGGGUUACUGAACUUGAAAUAAAGAUUGAUACUAUUCUCCAGGCAGGCUUUCUAAGUAUCAAAACUAUAAGUAAUUCUUGUUCUUCGAACGAGUUCCUAAAUCAAAAUAAAGAGUAAACUAGAACAGUAAAUCCUAUUUUUCAGGAGGGUCUUGUGCAAAAAAUUAAAGUCCCAUUUUUCAUGAAGGUCCUAAAGAGAAAAAUAAAAUCCCAUUCUUAGAAGGGUCUUACUAAUCAAAAUUCCACUUUUCAGGAGUGUCCUAAAUAGCAAAAUAAUAUCCCAUUUUCCAAAAGUGUCAUGAACAUAAAAUUAAAGUUCCAUUAUCUAGUAACAUUAACAUUAAAAGACAUAGAAAAAGACAUUAAAAUCCCAUUUUCCUCAUGUCAGUAACAUUAAAACACAUAGAAAAAGAUCUUGUCCAACCAAGAAGAAAUGUCUGUGGAAAUAAAAAAUCAGCAGCUAGCAUAGAAGAAUUUUGAGACAUAGUUGGGGAAGCUAGAUCAAGCAAAAAAUACAAGACCUCCAGGGGAUUUUCCUAGUGAUACUGAAAAUCCAGAGCAAGUAAUAUGAUCACCUUACGAAGUGGUAGAGACUUGAUUGAUAGACCUCCAAAGAAAAAUUAGGAGAUACCAGUAGAGGUAGUCCCAUAAAAAGUAGAUGCAAAGCAAUGAAAGACCAAAGAAGCUAAAAAUUUGGGAAAGUUUGAGAACCCAAAAACAAAGGCAGUUGAGCAUACACAAGAGAGACCCCUACCACCAUUCCCUCAAAAGAUGGAAAAGGCUAAAGAGGAUGUUUUUUUUAAGAAGUUCUUUGACACAUUUAGAUAACUUCACAUUAAACUUCCUCUAUUAGAUAUUUUUUUCAGGGAAUGGAAAAGUACAUUAAGUGCUUGAAGAAUGUAGUGACAAAUAAGACAAAUUUAGGUGGUUGAGAUGGUGGUACUUAUAGAGGAGUGUUGCUCAAUUAUGAUGUGCGAGAUUCCUAUGAAGCUUGAGGACCCAGGGAGUUCUGCCCUCCCCAUAUAAAUUGGUAAAAGUGAUGUGGUUUGUCCUUUGCGUGAUUUGGGGGAGAUCAUAAAUUUGAUUCCCCUAUCAGUAUUCAUUCUCUUAGUUUUUGAAAAUGGAGACCAUGUUUAAUGGUGCUCCAAAAGGCAGAUAUCAAAUAAGUAGUACUCAACAAAAUCAUAGAGGAUGUUAUUAAAAUUGGUACAUUCAUUAUUCUUGCUGACUUUAAUAUUCUUGAUUAUGAUGUAGAUGACAGGAUGUUGAUCAUGAUAGAAUGUCCAUUCUUGCCAACUGGAGGAGCACUUAUUGAUAUGAAAGAGGGCACUCUAAAAAUAAGAUUGACUCAUAAAGAGGUGGUCUUUAGAGUGUAAUGACUUAAUUUUUAGUUAUUUUGUGAUUAUUUAUUUCUAUGUUAUUGGACUAUUUCACCCUUCCAUGUGGCUAUUUUAUUGUAUUUUUAGGGUGCGGCGAUGAUUGGUAUCGUUCCUAAUAAAUUUCAAUGUGGUUUGUGCAAGUUUGUAGUUUUUGGUGGUUUAAAAGGCUUCUUAGUUGACCUUGGUCAACAUUUAUUGAUCUAUGCAUUUGAUGGCAAAACGGACUACAUUAAGAGAUCUGGAAUGUUGAUUUUACGUUGGUAACAUAGUUGGUGUGGUUUUAUAACAUUUGUAUCUCAUUUUAACCCUCAAAUUAGGAAGAUGUGAAUUUCUUUGGGGAGGUCAACUUUUUGACAAUGACAUUUUCUCAAAAAUUUGAUAUCGCCAUUAAAUAUGAAAUAUCAAAUAUAGUCUAGUAUCAUUGUUCAUUUGUGUUCUUUGGAUUUCAAACUAAUCCUAGGGGUAUGCGGAGAAUUAGAAUUCUCUAAGUAUCUAGCCGAUGCACCACUCAACUGGUGCAUCCGCUUAAGCAACAUUUGGUCAUUUAAGCGACCUAGCAUCUAGCUGAGGGUAUAUCUUAAGUGACUCACCCAUUGCUAAAGUGACUAUUGCUUAAGAGACAAUAAGUAUCUUACACAACACUUGUAUGCCAGGUGGGUUUCACAAAAGGGACACCUAAUUGCUUAAGCUAUAGCUGCUAAUCCACCCGUUGUUUACUUAAGUGAUGCCUGGGUGUGUAUUAUACCCUUUUUGUGACUUUUUCACUAUUUUCUACACUUGGAGCUUAGGGUUUUAUGUUUUUGGGAAAUUUCUUCCAUCGUCAAGCUUGGUUAAGCUCAAAAUCCCUAUUUCAAUUAUUAUUCUUUGCUUUCUGUCAAUUAAAUUUUGUUAAAACUUGAACUCAAAAGUGAAAUUUGUGGGAUUUUGGCUCGAAAGAUCUAAAUGAGUAAUUCUUCAAUUUAAACUCUAAUCUCAACCUAUUUUUACUUUGGUUUUCUUCUAUGAAUUUCUUUAGUCAUGGCUAAUAUAUUUUUUGACUAAAUUUUAGUUUUACCCUUCUUUUAGGAAAAUCCAUUUUGGGAUCCACUUUGACCCUAACCCAAAAAUGGGUACUAGGGGUAUCAUUGGCUUUCUUUAAUGCAUAAAUUCUAUAUUUGUAUGCUUUAGUCAAUUUUGGAUCCAUUCAUGGGGAGAAAUCUCUAUGUUGAGGAUUUUGGUCUAAUUUUUGGUAUUCAAAGUAGGAUAUGGCUUAACUUUCUUCAGACUAGGCUGGGUAGUUAUUAUUGGUCUAAAAUCAUGUUAUAGAUAUGGGAACUAAUCGUAAAAAUGACUUUAUUAUUGUUUUGUGCCCAUGUAGGGGCCUAUGCUGUUGUUGUUUGAUAGUUUUGAGACAUUAUUGGCUAUGUGUGACCAUGUGGAGUUUUAUAUGAUAUUGUUGGCCUUGUUUAUGCAAAUUGGUAGCAUCUUUUCAGGUGAAAAAGCCUAAUUUGGAAUUUAUGUAAUAUCAAUAGCAUAUUUUUGUACAUUUUAUUCUACUGCCAUAUGGAUUAUAUUGAAUUCAUUUAUGGUUGGCAUAUUGAGGGGAAUUUGGCUAACAUUAUUGUAAUGUUGGUUGUAUUUCAAAAUUUUCAUUCCAGCUAGUUUUGAGUUUUACAUUCUUAUAUCAUAUACAUUUAUGAAACAUUGGUACUAGUGUGGAAAUACUAGAAAUACUGGCUUUUUUGAUAGAAAAUAUGACAUCUUUAAAACCCAUUUAUUGAUGUAUCUGCAAGAGAGAAGUCUUGAUAUUGUAUUGGUAUUAGAUAUUAUAUUAUAUAUAGGUUGACGUACCCCCCAUAGGUCCUACCUUAGUAGAAUAGCUUAGUAGAUGUAUACAGAGAUUUUACGACAAACUCAUGCAUUACAUCAUCAUCUUCUUCUUCUUCAUUGCAUUCCAUACGUUUUUACAUUCUAUGUUGUAUUCACAUUCUUAAUGUGAUAUCUAUAUAUUUAUGUUUAUUUUUUGUACUUGUUUUUUGGUAUAUGUUUAUAAUAUAGAACUAUUAGUAGAGACGGUAUGAGCAAUCAUUUGGGAUAUUUUAUUAUGGUAGGUAACAUAUUCAUAGUGUGUAUUUUAUAUGCUUUAUUUUCUACUUUACUCAUUUGGCCUAUGAUCCUACUGAGUGCAAGUGGACUUUACUCAUCCUUAUUAUGCCUUUUUGGUGUAGAUCCAUGUACAAGUGCACCACAUAGUGCUAAUUCGGGCAGUGCUUGGAGUAUUUUUUAUGUAGCAGUUGGUCUAUGCUUUUGGAGUUGAUAUACUAGCUUUCUUAUCUAGUUCAUGUCUUGUUUUGUAUUAAAAGAUAGAUUAAGUUUCUUUUUAAACUAUUAUUUUAUUUUGAUUUUGAGAUGUACUUGGUUGGUUCUUACAUUGUGACAUCAAAUUUUGGGAAAUUAAUGGUAUCUUUUUAAUGUUCUACUAUUAUGGUAUAUGUGUGGUUUGCUUAAUUUUACAAGCCUUACCUUUGGAUUUGGCAUUGUUUUCUCAUUUUAUACCAGUUUGGGUAAUAGGCUUACAUAUCAAGAUUUUUCAUGAUAAGUGUCACUAUGACCCUUGGAUUUUAAGUCAUGACAAAUUAGUAGCAACCAGUUUCAUCGAUCUCAUCAGUGUAAGAAUAGAAUGCCUAGUGGAGUCUCAUGGAUUGGUAUGUAGACGUCCAUAUCUAUCCUUAAGUGGCUAUCGUAGGAAACUUUUCUUACUUUAUUCAUUAUCAUUAGGAUUCUUUCAUGCGUUGUCUUCUAAAGAAUAUUUCACUCUUUUCUACAUAUAUGGUGAGGACUGGAUUGAGUGAGGUUAGAGAUAUUAAUCUAUCAUUUGAGAAGAGAGAUCAAUAUAGAAAGUGAGUUGGAAACCAUGGUCGGGCUUGAGGUAGUGGAUAAGCAUGAGGAUCUACUCAUUCCAUAGGUAGUACUAGGAGGAUCUCCCCUUAACUUAGGUUGAGAGUGCUGGAGAUAUAGAGCCUACUUUAGUUCAACAAAGUUAUUCUACCCCUGUUUUAUAGGGCUUACUUAUUCGCUUGCUGACUCAUUUGGAGGGUACUCUUUUGAGUGCACCUGGUGCUCCUCCAGCUCUGAGUAUUGUACCUCUAUUUGUGCUUGAGUCUACCUAUAGUAUUCCUCUAGUUCUAAGUGUAGAUCCUCUAGUGGUAUUGAUAUCUUCUUAUGGUACUCCACAGACUCUGAGUGUUAUUCGUCCUUCCCUACCAACACUUAUGUAUGGUAUUUUGAGAUUAAGAGUUCACCCUUCAUCUAUGUUACCUCCUCAGAAGGGAUCUCAGCCAACCAUAUUCACUAUGCCUCUUAAUAUUGUGAGUAUAGUUAUGUCUUUUUAGGAUCAAAAGAUGUUUGAGAGACUUACUCAUUUGGGUCCUCUUAGGUUCAAUGGUGUUGUGGGUGAGGAAUUCUAUGAAUUCUUUGAUUAAUUGUAGGAGAAUUUGUAUAAUCUUGAAUCUCUUGAGUCGCAUGAGGUUACUUACGCUACUUACUAGUUGAGAGAUAUAGUUAUGGAUUCGUGCAGGUCACUAGUUAGUUGCAGACCUCUUGGUCCCUAGAGAUGGCUUAGGAUUAGUUUGUUAAGGCCUUUUUGGAUGGGUUUAUUCCAUACAGUCUAAGGGAUUAGAUAAGAGAUAAGUUUGAUCACCUAGAGAAGGGCUUUAUGACUAUUGUAGAGUAUGGGGCAUGUUUCCAUGCCUUGUAUAGAUAUUCUUAAACCAGUAUUGCCACUGAGUCUGAGAAGAUUUUAAAGUUUAUGAAUGGUUUGGAUGUUUUGCUUUACCUUACUACUACCCAAAUGGUACUGUUAGGGGCAUUCUUUCAGAGUAAAAUAGAUCAUGCUAAGAUGAUUAAGUCUAUACAUUGAUCAUCUUAUGGAGGCAUCAAGAGGGUGCACCAUCAAGGCAAAUUUAGAGGUGCACCCUCAAGGCAAAUUUAGAGGUCAUACUCCUCGAGGUAGAGAUUUUAAAGGCUUUCGUAAGUAUCCUAGAAGACUUGUAUAGGCAGCCUUGCAGGGUCUAGGUAAUGGGUCUUCUAAUUUAAAAGGUUUGGCUGGUAUUUCUGGCUCAGCUUUACCUUCCCUAUUGAGUCGAGUCAUAGAGGUUGUUUUAUGUGUGAUGAGAUUAGCCAUUAGGCCAAGGCCUAUCCCUACUGUAUUCUUAGGCCUACUUUUUUAUCAGAAGUAAGAGGUGGGAGGUCUACUAGAGGUACAAAAGACAAAGGUAGUAAUGGUCAUGGUGGAAUUUGUAGGGUUACUUAAUCAUGUUGUGGUCAUGAACAGUGCUAUGCUAUACCCACCAGGAAAAAGGUAGAGGCUUCUGACACUAUUAUCUUAGGUAUUAUCCCCAUUUUUUUUAGAUCUGCAUAUAUUUUAUUUGACCUAAAAUCGAAUUUAUCCUAUAUGGAUGCAUAUUUUGCUUUGGAUUUUGAUUCUACUAGUGAGCCUUUUGUCGUGCCUAUCUGUGUAUCUAUCCUUGUAAAAGACUCUUUAGUGGUGGAUGGGGUGUUCUAAUUUUGUUUUAUGACCUUUAUUGGGUGUGAGACUUGGGUAGAUCUUAUUAUCUAAGGUAUGGUAGAUUUUGAUAUUAGUUAUGGUAUGGAUUGGUUAGAUCUUUAUCAUGAUGUAUGCUAAGAUCGUGACCUUACCUUUGCUAGGUGUGCUGAGGAUAGCUUAGUUAGGGUCCCAAGAGAGUUAUGUGUAACACCCUAGAUUUUUGCCCUAGAAAAAUUCUAAGUUUUGAACUCACUGUCCAACCUACUACUCACCAUACGAGUCAUAAGGUGUCUUGACGGGUCAUAGAACCCCAAAUCGUAGGGUAUCCAAUAAAGUUUGUUGAAGUUACGACUAGGGUUCACGAGUCAUAAAGACUUUAUACGAGUCAUAUAGUCUAAAUUGUAGGCUAACUAGUGUUAUGCCCCAAGUGUUCUAUCCUAAUUACAACUGGAUGUUUUGAGUCAUAUAGACUUAUUACGAGUCAUAAUGUGCCAUCCGUAAGGGAACCAAUGUAGGGCCUUAAUGUUUCUACCUAGGCUAUGACUCUUGGUGACGAGUCGUAAUGAGACCCUAUGAGUCAUAAGAUGACCCGUGGUCAAUGAUGACAGAUUUCCAUAUUUCAUUAAGGGUACUUUGGAUUUCCCUUUCUUCUAACUAUAACCGACAACCUUAAAACACUUUGGGGACCCCAUUGUCCUUCAUAAACAUAUUAAAUACUCUCUUUACUUCCUCAAACUCUCCUAAAUACCUAAGGGAAGAACAAGUUAGGGUUUCUCAGAGUUGGAUAUCUAAGGGCUCAAGGAUUGAUCUCUCUCCAUAAUUCUUUGUACUUUCAGGCAUGUUGCUCUUCUCCAAGUCUUAUUUUAUGAAAAGCAUGUGUUUAUAAUCUUACCCAUGUGAUAAGUUAUGAUUUUAAAUGUGGGUUGAGGAUUAUCAAACAUUAUUGUAUUACUUGUUUUUCACAUAGCUUUUAUGAAUCAUGUAUGACUUGAAUUGAUGUUUUUGAACAUGUGGGGUGUAUGGGCACGAUGAAUGAACUCAGGGGUCAGGGUUUCCCCUAAUUUCAUGAAUAUGGAUUAUUUAAAUUGUAUAACCCCAACCUAAUCUUGUGAAAUUGGCUUUGAUUAUCAGUACAUUUGCAUUAAGCUACUUCUGUAACCCUUGCACAAUAUAAAAAGGUUAUUCAAACAUAAUGGUUUGAUUUAAUGAACAAAGGUGUUCAUGGUAUUCCCCCAAAUAGACUAAAUGAACAAAGGGGAUUGUUUUCUUAAGUAAAUAGAAUUGUACUAGCAUGAUGAUGUUACCUUGCAAGUGUAGUUGGUAUGACAAUACUAACUAUGUAUGUCUUGAGUAAUAUUGUGGCUCAAGUAAUGGGAAUAUGUGAAAAAUAUUUUAACUGGGCUUAAAAAGGGUUAUGCAUCUUAGUAAUGAAAGUGAAGGUCCCGAGAGACCAACAUCAAAAACUGUAUUUGUUAGCAUAGGGGUCUAAAUUGCUUAGGGUUCGAGUCCCCUUACUUAUGACUACGUGGUUUGAGUCUCCCUUAUGACUGACUGGGUGUACAUGUCACCCUUGAUAUUUGACAGGGUGGUUUGAGUCUCUAUUGGUACAUAUGUACAUAGUAUUAUUCUCUGGUUGAUGCGGCUACAAGCAAUGGGGUUUUUUCAGCUGGGAGAGUAGAGCCCAUAUAGCCUGUGGGUGCCCUUUUAUGAUGGUUAAGCUACACAAACUAGAAAAAUAUUUUAAAGUUUAUGCUAAGCCUUGUUCUUUUCCCCGAAUGUGAUAUUUAUAUAUAUGUAUAUGCAUAUAAUUAUGUACAUUAGAUUUUAGAUAAUUUUAAACAUUGAUCAUGGAAUAAUUUUAUCCCUUUCCUAAGUUCAAUGCCAAUGCUCAACCUGCUAACCAUCUCUGAAUGUUUUAUUCACUCAAAAUGCAAGAACUGGAGACACUUCUGCUUUUAUUUUGGCAGUGAUUGGAUUUUUAGGUUAUCAACAGCCAACUUUAAGUGGUGAGCCUCAUUCUCCUAGAAGGCUGUUACUUUUUGGUUUAUCUUUUAUCAUAGACUUUUCUUUGGAGUUAUUUAGGCUAUCAUCAGGGGUAUGUCCCAAUAUUAGUUUGAUUUGGUUUUGUCAUAAAGGUUGUGUGGAUUACUAUGGACUGGGUACUGGUUGUGGAUGUAUUUUAGAGUCCUUGAGCAUAUAUUUUUCUAUUUUGUUAUAUGUUCAAAAUUCAGCCAAUGUCAUGUGUAUUGUAUUUAUGUGAUUAGGCAAAGAAGGUGUUUUCCUAUCCAGGGUAGACUUGGGAUAUCCUUCAUGGCUAGGACCUAGUUUGGAUCAUGAUAUUAUAUUAGUUUUUUAGGCUCAUCUCUUAGUUGAGAAGGGGUGUUUGUCUUUUUGGCUCAUAUUCUUGAUAUUAGUGUUGCUUCACCACCACCUUUGGAUUUUGUUCAUAUUGUUCAUGAUUUCAUGGAUGUUUUCCUUACGUAUUUCCUUGGUAUUCCUCUGGAUUGUGAUAUUGAAUUUUCUAUUAAGGUUGAGCUAGACACUAAGCCCAUUUCUAUUCUUUCUUAUAGGAUGGCCCAGUAGAGUUGAAGGAAUUAAAGGAUCAGUUGAAGGAGUUGUUGGAUAAGGUAUUUAUCUAACCUAGUGUAUCACCUUGGGGUGUGUCUGUCUUGUUUGUGAAGAAAAAGGAUAGGUAUAUGCAUAUAUGUAUUAAUUAUCAGCAAUUGAACAAGGUGAUAGUGAUGGUUAUUAAUAAGUAUCUUCUUUCUCAUAUUGAUGAUUUGUUAGAUCAGAUUUAGGGUGGUUUUUGUUUUCAAAGAUUGAUUUGAGAUCUAGUUAUCACUAGUUCAGGAUUAGAGCUUUGGAUAUUUCAAAGACAUUUAUUUUAGACUCAGUAUAGUCAUUAUGAGUUCUUUGUCAUAUACUUUAGGUUGACCAAUGCCCCAUCCAUAUUUAUGGAUUUAAUAAAUGGGGUAUAUUAUCUAUACCUCAACUCUUUUUAUUUUAUUUAUAGAUGAUAUCUUGGUUUAUCUCAAGAGUGAGGUCGUUCAUAAAGAACAAUUAUAGAUUGUGCUCCUGAGAUUGAGGGGUGAUAAGUCGUAUGAUAAGUUAUCCAAGUGUGAAUUUUAGUUGUAGUAUGCUUUUUUCUUUGUUUAUGUAGUGACCAAGGAUAGUAAUUACAGUGGUUCAUAAUUGGGCUAGACCUAUUUCUCCUACCGAGAUUUAGAGGUUUAUUGGUUUGAUAAGUUACUAUUGGCCUUUUUUUAUCUAUUGUAGCUCUAUUGACCAUUUUAACUUGGAAGAAGAUUUCCAUUCAGUGGUUUGAUGCUUGUAAGGCAAGCAUUCAAAAGCUUAAAAACUUAUUGACUUUAGCUCUUAUCUUGACUUUUUCCAGGGAGGGCAUAGGGUUUACCAUCCGUUGUAGGACAUUAGGUGUUUGGUUAAAUAUUGUGUUAAUGUAAGAGGGUAAGGUGAUUGUGUAUGCUUCACAUCAGUUGAAGCCCUAUAGGAAAAAUUACCCUAUCAGUGAUUUGGAGUAGUGUCCAGUUGUAUUUGCUUUGAAGUUAUAGAGCCACUACUUGUAUGGAAUUCAUUGUGGUAUCUUCUCAGAUUAUCUUAUCCUUAAGUAUCUCUUCACCCAGUCUGAUCUUAAUCAAAGGCAACGUCGUUGUCUUGAGUUGUUUAAGGAUUAUGAUCCUACUAUUGUAUAUCAUUUAGGCUAGAAAAAUGUGGUUACGGAUGCCUUGAUCCAGAAAUUAACUAGCAUAGAUAGCUUAGUGGAUCUUUUGACCUAAGAGUGGUUUUUGGCCUUAGAGGUUUAUCCUUUGGAUAACCAGAUAGUUAGACUUGAUAUUAUUUCACCGACGUGUCUUUUAACAUUUGUGGAGGCUAAUUGUUCUUUGAUGGAGCAGAUUCGGGCUUAUCAAUUUUAUGAUGUAGGGUUGAGAGUGUUCAGGAUAAGGUAUUAAGAGGAGAGACUAAGGAGGACUCACUUAAUUCAGAUGGUGUUUUAAGGAUUGGAGGUCGAGUAUAUGUCUCGAGAGUAGAUGAUUGGAUUAUAGUGAUUUUGGAGGAGGCUCAUUGUUCUAGGUACUUCAUCAUCUAGGAGUGACUAAGAUGUAUUGUGAUAACAUUACUAGUGGGGUGGUAUGAAGAUGAAUGUAGCUUAUUUUGUAGAUUGUUGCUUAUGUUUCUAGGAGAUAAAAGUCGAGAAUUUGAGGCCUGGUCAUUUUUUUCAAGGGUUACCCAUUCCCAAGUAGAAAUGGGAAUGGAUUACUAUGGACUUUGUGACUGAGUUGCUACAUACUUCUCGUAGUUCUGAUAGUAUUUAGGUCAUCAUGGAUCGAUUGACCAAAUUUGCUAAUUUUAUUUUGGUUCAAGUUUUAUUUAGUGUCGAGAGGUUGCCUACAUCUUUAUUUAUGAGAUAGUUUAUCUUUAUAGUGGGUUAGUGUCUAUCAUCUUGGAUAGAGGUUCAAUGUUCACAUCUUAUUUUUAUAAGACCCUUUUGGAGGAUUUGGGUACCCAAGGUGAUCAUAGUAUAACUUUCCACCCACAGAACAAUAGUGAGGCAGAGCAUAUGUUAGAGGACAGGCUCCAUGUGUGUGUUAUGGACUUUAGACGUUAGUAGAAGUAGCAUCUAGAUUUGGCGGAUUUAGCAUAUAAUAUCAGCUACCAUUCCAGUAUUAAGAUGACUUAUUUUGAGGCUUUGUAUGGUAGGCAUUGGUGCUCUCCAGUUGGUUUGUUUAAGGUUUUUUAUAUUAGACCUUAAGGUAAGGACAUUCUUCAUGGGUCCCAAUGUAGAGUUCAGAUCAUUCAGGAUAGACUUUGAGUUGCUCGGUGUAGGCAAAAAUGCUAUGUAGAUCAUUGACUUUGUGCCUUGAUAUUUAAUAGUGGAGAUUAAGUUUUCCUUUGUGUGUCACCCAUGAAGUGCAUGAUAAGGUUUAGGAAGAGGGAAAAGCUUAGACCUAGGUUUAUUAAACCUUUUAAGAUUCUUCAUGUUAUUGAAGAUGUAUCUUAUGAGUUAGCAUUGCCCCUAGAUUUUUCAACUAUUUAUCCAGUUUUUCAUGUUUCCAUGCCUAAGCAUUAUAUUUCGGACGAGUCGCAUGUCAUUCGUUGGGAUUUAGUCUAUUUAGAUGAGAGGUUGUCAUUUGUUAAGGAGCCAAUCUCUAUUCUAGGCAAGGAUGUUAGGCGGUUACAUUUUAGAGUUAAUCCUGUGGUUAAGGUCCAGUAGAGACAUCGACCUGUAGAUGAGGCUACGUAGGAGUAUGAGUUUGAUAUGUGUGGUAGUUAUCCUCAAUUUUUCUCUCAUUCGAGUAUUUCCCUUGCCUUUAGUUUAAAGACGAACUAGAUUUUAAGUGGUGGAUAAUGUAAUUACUUAAUUUUUGGUGAUUUUGUGAAGUGUUCAUUUUUAUGUGAUUUGACCAUUUUACCUUACUCUGUAGUUUCUAUGUGGUAUUUUUAGGGUGCGGGAUGAUUGACACAGUUUCUAAUGUAUUUUGAGAUGGUUUGUGUGAGUUUAUGGUCUUUGGUGGUUAAAAAGCGUAUAAGUUGACUUUGAUAGACAUUUACUGAUCUGUACAUUGGAUAGAAAAAUUGACUAUGCCAGUAGAUUCAAAAUGUUGAUUUUAGGUUGGUAUCAUGGUUGUUGUGAUUUUAAGGCUUUUACAUCUCAUUCUGACCCUUAGAUUCGAAGUUGUAAAAUUGGGUUACGAGGGUCAACUUUUUAUACAACAACAAUUUCAAAAUUAUGAUAUGACCUUUGAGUCUGAAGCGCCAAAUUUAGUCUAGUAGCAUAGUUUGUUUGUAUUCUCAAGAUUUUGGAUGAAUCUUGAGGGGUUCACAGAGAAUAAGAAUUCUCCAAGUCUCCAACUGAUGCAGCACUUAGCUGGUGCAUCUGCUUAAUCAAUAUUUUGGUAACUUAAGAGACCUAACAACCACCUGGGGUAUUGCUUAAAUGACUCCCCCAUUGUGUAAGCAAGUGUCGCUUGAGCAAAAGUUAGGUCACUUUCGUGACAUUCGCAUUCCACGUAGGUAUCGCAAAGGCCACACCUGGUUGCUUAAGCUACAACCAUAUAAGUAUUCUGGUGUUCGCUUAAGCGAUGUCUGGGUGGGUUAUAUGCCCCUCUGUUUUAAAAUUUUCACCUUUUUUACACUUGAAACUUGGGGUUUUGAGUUUUUGGAUGAUUUCUUCCAUUUUAAAGCUCAAGUAGGCUCCAAAUUUAUCUUUCAAUCAUUUUUCUUUGAUUCUUUUCAUUUAUAUCUUGUUAAAACUUGAAUUCAAAUGUGAAAUUUGUGGGAUUUUGGCUCAGAAGGCCUAAAUGAGUAAUUCUUCAAUUUAAAUCCCAAUUUCAACCUAUUUAACUUAGGUUUUCUUCUAUGGCUUCCUUUAAUCAUGGGUAAUAUAUUUUUGGACAAAAGUUUUGGUUUUACCCUUCCUUUUCAAAAAUCCUUUUCGAGGGUCUGUUUUGACCCUAACCCAGGAAUGGGCAAUAUGGGUAUCGUUUGCUUUCUUUUAAUGCAUAGAUUCUAUAUUUGUAUGUUUUAGUUGAUUCCAGAUCUAUUCGUAGGGAGAAAGCUCUAUGUUGAGUGCUUUCCGGACUAGUUUUCAACAUUUGAACUAGGUUAUGGCUUAACUUUUUUCAAACUAGAUUGGUAGUUAAUAUUUGUUUACAAACAUGUUAUGGGUAUGGGAACUAAUAAUGGAAAUGGAUUUAUUGUUUUUUUGUGCCCAUGUAAGGGCCUAGGUUGGUUUUAUUUUGUGAUUUGAGGCAUUAUUUGCUCUGUGUGACUGCGUGGGGUCUUAUAUGAUGUUGUUGCCCAUGUUUAUGUAUAUUGGUUGUAUCUUUUCUGGUGAAAAGCCUAAAUUGGAAUUUAUUUAUUAUAUGGUAUCAAUUGCAUAUCUUUGUCUAUUUUACUCUAUUGGCAUAUUGAUUAUAUUGGAUCAUAAAUUGUCGGCAUAUUCGGUGAUUUUUUCUCACAUGAUUGGUAUAUUGGUUGGAUUUGGAAAUUCUCAUUCUGGUUGAUUGUGAUCAUUACAUCCUCAUAUCAAAUCAUUAAUGAAAUAUUGGUACCAUCGUGGAAAUACUAUAAAUACUGCCUUUUUCUGAUAGAAAAUAUGACACUUUUAAAAGCUUUUGUCGAUGUAUGUGCCGGAGAGAAGUUGUGAUAUUGAAUUGGUAUUGGAUAUAAAAUAGUAUAUGGGUUGAUGACCCCCCCGCCUCCCCAUGGGUCCUACUAUGGAAGCAAAACUUGGUAGGUGAAUAUUGAGGUUAUAUGACAACCUCGUACAUCACAUCAUCAUCAUCUUCAUUGCAUUUUAUAUGUUGUGCACAUUUUGUGUUGUAUUCUCAUUCUUGAUGUGAUAUCUAUCUAUUUAUCUUUCUUGCACUUGUAUUUUGGUAUGUAUUUAUAUUGUAGAGCUAUAGUGGAGACAGUGUGGGCUAUCAUUUGUGACAUUUUCUGAUGCCUUGAUUCUUUUCCGUGGCAACGACGCUAAAAAUUGAUGUCACCCAAAACUAACCUCCAAAGAAAUCUGUGGUUGUUGACGCAAGUAUAGUUACCCAAACUAGGUUGGGGUUUAACCCACAUGGAAUGCUUGGAAUAAUGUGUUGAACUUGACGAAAUCAUGGGCAGUGCUGAAAAUUAAAUAUAGGGAAUUUGAAACCACAAUAACACAUAACCGAACUUGAGUGCUUGAGAUUGUAAACAAUAGAAGACGAACACUAGGACUCUGUCCCCCCUAACUUCUAAAUCUGUAAGAGUCUCAGGUUCAAUUCAUCUAUCCUAUUGCUAUGCAUGCAAAGACUGACAAGUUAUGUAUUAUCAAUCACCUUGUGAACGCAUUGAUAAAUCUCAUCCGUCACCCUUUAAGUCUCAGGGCGUCGCCUUACUAUCCCUUGUCUUUGACCCCAGUACAACUAUACCUUAUGGGUCUCAAGUUUAUUAGAUGAGGGUUGAUAGCCUUAAAUUACUAUCAUAAUCUUCUUUUCUCAAUAUCAAACUUGUUUGUGAGGAUGAUAUAGAAUACAAGGAAUUCCCAAUCUUCUAGAGUAGCUUGGGAUACAAUUAAUAUAAAGAAAAUCAAGAUACAUGCAUCCACAACAAAAAUAUUAAUCUCCCACUUCCCUUACGUAGUCAAUAUGCCAGGGGUCCCACAACCCAAGUCAAGGAAAUUAGCUGCUCAAUUCAUGAAAAUCAAUGAAAAAGACAUGUAAUUAAUUGAACAAAAAUGAAAGAGUAAAAUAAAAAAUCUCCAAUUGAAUACGAAACCAAGACCACAUGGACAAAAUCAAGAACUCAAAGUAUAUUCAAAAGUAUUAAAAGUGCGUAAAAUAAUAAUGGAAUAACCAUAGGGUAUUUAUAGUAUCUCAAAAUAGUAAAGAAAUCCUAAUUAUAAUGGAAUAGGAAAAUUAAGUCAGCAGUGGUCACGACUCUAGUAAUGAGUUGUUAGGUCUGCUUAUGACUCGUUGCUUGAUCUCAUAGCUCUUUUUUGGCUUCAACGAUUAUGACUCAUAUGCUCUCCGUACGAGUCGUAUGCUUCUUAUUGUAGGCACUCCAAUAGCUUUUCUCUUUCAAAGAAAAUGAAUCUGUUGUUUUUAUGACUUCUCGUUAUGAGUCGUAGUCAUACAUUACGACUCGUGGUCUUCACUCGUAUCCAUUAGAGCAUCAAUAUUCGGGCUUUAGAUACUCGUCACAGUACGAAUUCUUACAAUGAGUCGUAGUCUGACCUUACGACUUAUCGUCCUGCAUAAUUUUCCGCCUGGACUUCAGCAUUUCUAACUAUUGUCAUUACGCUUGCACACCAUAAAUCACGGUCACUCCUUAUUAGUCGUGGUCAAUAUUUACUUAGUUCCUCAACUAAGCUUUUGUCACUAUUAUCCUUAUGAGCUUGGCUUUGAGUCAUAAGGUAACUUAGUGACUCGUACGUUGACCACAACUUCAACAUAUUCAGAGUUUUUUCUUCCAUUUUUAAUGGCAAGCCACUUCCUACCUAAUUUACCUGUAUUACAUACAAAACACAUAUCAUAUCCGAUAAAAUAUCCCAAGUCAAUGCAUAAUUUCACAGUUUUACGCAUAGAAUUUUCCUUGAAAACACAGCACAUCAGUAGUUGAUGUGCCCAUUGUGUGUCUUUUAUAUCUAUUAUUUUAUACUUUUCUCAGUCGACCUAUGAUACCUACAGAGUACAAGUGGACAAUACUCAUUUCUAUUUCAUCAUUUCAGUGUAGAUCCAGGUACGAGUGCACUACAUGGUAGCUAAUUCGGAUGGUGCUGUGAGUAUUUUUGAGGUAUCGGUUGGUCUGUGCUUCAAUAUUUGAUCUACUACCUCUGCUUACUAGUUCACAUCUUUUUUUGUGUUUAGAGACAAAUUAUGUUCCUUUUUGGACUAUCAGUUUGUAUAUUUUUAUUUCGAGAUGUACUUAGUUGGUUCUUACACUAUGACACCAUAUUUUGGGAGAUUUAUGGCAUCUUUCUUAUGUAUUUUUCUGCUAUUAUGGUAUAUGUGUGGUUUGGAUUCAUUUUAGAAGCCUUGCCUUAGGUUUUGGCAUUAUUUACUCAUUUUAUACCAGUUUGGAUGAUAUGCUUACUUGCCAUGAUUUUCCGCAACACGUACCAUCCCAACCUUUGAAUUUUAGGUUGUGACACGAAGUGUAGAAGACAGUUAGCUCACACUGCAAGGAUUUGUACAUGAUCGCAUCUAUGAAAGUGGAUAACUAUGAGGUGGUGGAGUGAAACCUUCCAAUGACCUCUUCGGACCUCUCACAUUGAGUUGCCCAAUUCUAAAUUAAGCCUGAGAUUAAGAGACAUAAAAAAGGAGCUUGCAAAAGGCAAGUAUGGAGAAAGCUACAGACCUUGAGAGUAUGCACUCAAGAGUUCAAAACGAAUAAGAAUAUGGGGUUCGAGUAAGAGGAACAGGAUGUAAAAAUAUGGUUGAGAAUGGUGUGAACCAUGCCGCGAUAAUAAACUAGGCAUUGCUUCCGGGGAAUCCCAACUUAAGGUAGGUAUUUUAUUUUCUUAGUUUUAUUUAGUAUCACCUUUCUUUUUAUUUAUGUUUGAGUCAUGGGAUAAAGGGAAGUUUUAUUACAAGAAAUCCAAGCUAAAGAGCACAACAAAGACUGAGUAUAGGGUCCUUCGGACCUCUUUGAUAAUUUGGAUGCGACUAGCUAGGCUGGAGGCUAAAAGAAGUAGUUCAAUCCUUACUUCUAAUUUUUACUUUAGGGACAGAGUGUAAUUUUAAGUUUGGGGUAGGGAAUCUUCUGAUUCUUUAAGGUGAAGCGCUUCUAUAGGACUUCCAUUCUUAGUUAUUUUCUAGUUUUUGACUAAAUUUGAAAAGUUACAAAAAGAUUUUAUUUUUAGUUAUUUUCAGUUUUUAUUGGUGUCUAGUAGAAGCACACUUCACCCACACCUUGAUUUUUAUUUUUGGUUAUUUUAUGAGGGGGUGAUGGUCACGACCGAUGCUACCCCUAGUCACGACACAGUGCUUAAGGCAAUAAGUGAUUCCAAGAUAACCCAUGAUCUAGUACAUGCUGUGAGCACUAAAUAAAAUAAUAUGGAAACAUCAUGAGCGGAAGAUAAACUGAUAAUUUUCUAAUAUAAUAUAAUAUUGAAAUCUAAACCAACAUGUCUGAAAUAACUGAGUAGACUAAAGAUUACGCUGCUUGUUUGAAAGACUUUAAAACAUAAGAAGUUGAUAGGACAAACCCCCAACUAACUCUGACUAUCUGAGAUAUAGAAAGUAUUGAAAAUAACUAAAGAAAACAUAUUGUCCUUAAUGAAUGAGGACUCACCACUAAUGUGGCUGAGAGGUAUUGAGCUGUCUAAGAAUAAUCAGGGGACCUUGCAUCUGUACCUAUGUUAUAAGACAACAUAUCUCAAAACAAGAGUAUGCAAUUAGUACUUUGAAUGUACUGGUAUGUGAGGUAAGGACUAACUAGACAUAUAUAAGGAAGCUAAACAUGGAUGCAUGAACAUAUAAAAAUGAGAAUCCAAGACCAAGUAAAGUAUGAACUGAAAUAAUUUAUAAAAUUGACUGACUGAAUAGCUGGUAAACUGAAUACUUAGUCAUGCAAACCUAAGAUGAUACAAUUCGAAUACUGAACUGAAAUAAAACUGUAGGAGUUAUCACAUAACCGACAUGACCCAGUUUGAUCUAAUAAGGGUCCAACCUAUAACCCAAUUGGAAGAGGGUGUCAGUACCUUGGUACGAAUACUAAUAUUGACUUAUGGAUCGACUAAAUUGAUGUCCCAAAGGAUAAUGGCGUCAUUCCUCUAUUGGCUGGUGACCCUUAAAAGAAUGGCAUUCCUAUACCAGUAGGUAACAUCUCAUAACCUAUGCAGUGUACGUAGUUCUAGAACUUAGGGAUUGCUACUAAAGGUCCCAAUACUCUACCAGUGGGUGAUCCUUUAUCACUAGGUUCACUCAGUGCUAAAUCCUACUCCCAACUGAACAGACACUGGUAUUGAUUACUGUUAACUGAACUCAUAACUGAUAGUGCUCAACAUAAUCAUUACACAACUGAGUAUGAUAAUGGAAUUUAUGAUUUGACUAUCUUAGUACUUGAAAAACUAAAACAUAAGUAAACACAUAGGUAUUGUGUGUUCAUAACCUUCCAACACUUAAUAUACUGAAAUACGAUAAUAACACUUAAAACAUUGGUAGAAAGACAUAAUUUAGAGACCCAAAAUACAAUACAUUUCAAUGAAUGACUGAGCUACAUGAAUUUGAAUAUGGGGAGGUGUUAAACUUGUGAGAAUAACAAUUUCACAUGGUUUAAUUCAUAACUUGAUUAUUUGACAUGGGAUCAAUUGAAAAUGAUAUAGGUAAUUGCAAUUCAAAGUAUGAAAUAACCUAAUUUACAUAGGAAAACAUUUUGACAUGGCUUGAAUUUAAAUUUCUAAAACAACAUGGAUUAAAUUCAUAUUUAGCAUGGAUAAAUUUCACAAAAGAGGAUAAAAUUCAUAGUUGAACCAAAAAGGGAUUUCGACUCAAUCAUUGGAAAAAACCCAUUAACGAAUACCCCACACACCUCAAUUGGUUGAAUUCUUGUAGAAAAACUUUAAAUUGGAGUUUGAAUGCUAGAAUUCUUGGGGUGACACUUGAAAUUAUGUUCUUGGGUAAAAGGGGAAUAAGUUUUCGUAUAAUAACUGGUAAAGAAUGGGGAAAUUGAUGCCCUUUUGUGUUAUAAAUCGUGGAUUUGGUCUUUUGUGAUGAGGGGAAAUACUAAAAUUCCCCUCAUUAACUUAGUGAAAUUUCUUAGAAAACAUAACCUCUGUGGCACGGAGGUUAUCACGGAGGCUAACAUGUGUAUCACAAACCUUACCGCGGAGGUCCUACCUCCAUGUCAUGGAGGUUAUCAUGGAGACUAACCUUUGUGGCAUGACUAUAUUAUAGAGGCUUACUGCCUAUGGGAUCUGUAAUUACCCCAAACCACAUUUGAAAAUUCCAAAACUCUUUCAGGAUACCCUUUUAACAUCCCUAAACAUGUUUCAACUCAAAAAUCAACGAUUUGGAUUUCGGAAGUCCCCAAAUAAAUUCCUUGAAAUCUUAAGGUAUAAAUAACUAAGUCCACUAUACUCGGUGUAAAAUUCAUCCCUUGGACCCCUUAAACAUACCACUAGGAGUUGGAAGCGAUCCUAAGAUCUUAUGAGGUAUUACAAUAUCUCCCAUUUGGGAUCAUUCAUACUUGAAUGAAACUCGUUAAGAUGAGAUACUAAGAAUACUGAGAUCAUACACUUAAUACUUAGAAGUUGAAUCAUGAUUAAAUAACUAAGUCUAAAACAUAAUACAUGGACUGAACUGAAUUCAUAAAUGCAUACAACGACAAGAGGAUAUUUAUAUAGCUGAAAUAUAAAAUGAGAGAAUCACUUAAGGAAAACAUUAACUCACGCUAAGAAACGAUGGGGAUACUUAACUCACAUAUUUGUUUCUUCUUCCCAUGUUGAUCCCUCAACGGACUGAUUUCACCAUAUAAUCUUAACCAAGGGAACUUCUUUAUUCCCCAGCCUACAAAUAUGAUGAUCAAGGAUCUCAAUUGGGACUUCUUAGUAUGAGAGAACAUCUUUGACAUCCACACUGUCUAAAGGAACAACAGAAUCUGAAUCAUCAAUACAUUUCAUUAGCAAGGAGACAUGAAAUAGGAGAAGCACUGAUUUCAAAUCUACAUGCAAUUCUAAUGGAUAUAAGAGAUUGUACACUUCAUACUUAGAACUGAAUCUGAAUUAAAUAACUAAGUCUAAAACAUGAUACAUGGACUGAACUGAAUUCAUGAAUACAUGCAAUGACAAGAGGAUGGUUAGAUAGAAGAAAUAGAAAAUGAGAGAAUCACUUAAGAAAAAACAUUACUUUACGCUAGAUCUGAAUUCAUAAAGAAAAUAUGGGGAUACUUAGCUCAUAUAUCUGUUUCUUCUUCCCAAGUAACUCCCUUAACGAACUAAUUUUGCCAUUGAACCUUAACCAAGGGAACUUCUUUGUUCCUCAACUAACGAAUCUGAAGGUCAAGGAGCUCAACUGGGACUUUUUCAUAUGAGACACUUUCACAUCCACACUAUCUAAAGGAACAAUAGAAUUUGAGUCACCAAUAUAUUUCAUUAGCAAGGUGACAUGAAACACCAGAUGCACUGAUGCCAAAUCAACAUGCAACUAUAAAUCAUAUGCUACCUUCCCAUAAAGGCUCAAAAUCCUGUAUGGACUAAUAUAGCGAGGACCGAGCUUCCCCUAUUUUCCAAAUCUCUUCACCCCUUUCUUAGGUGAUAUUUUCAAAUAAACCAAGUCGUCAACAUCAAAUUCAAGAUCUCUUUUCCUUAUAUCUUCAUAAUAUUUCUGACAACUCUAGGCUAUCUUUAGCCUCUUUUAAAUCAAUCAAACUUCCUCCAUCACCUCAAAAACUAAAUUUGUCCCUAUCAAAGCAACCUCACCUACUUAAAACCAAAUAAUGAAAGAUCCAUAUCUUCUCCCAUAGAGAGCCUCAAAUAGAGCCAUAUAAAUACAAGAGUGAUAGUUAUUAUUGUAGGCAAACUCAAUCAAAGGUAAAUGGUCAUCCCAACUACCCUUGAAGUCAGUAACAAAAGCCCUCAAUAUGUCCUCUAAGGUCUGAAUGGUCUCCUCUGCCUAACCAUAGUUCGAAGGAUAAAAUAGCCAACUGAGAUGCACUUAGGUACCAAGACCCUUCUAGAAAGCCUUCCAAAAAAGAGAGGUAACCUGAUUAACUCUAUCUAAAAUAAUGGUCAAUGGAUUUCUAGCAACUUUUCCAACUCCUGAGAUAGGGCCUAACAUCAGUUGAGCAUAAAGUAUGAACUGGCAAGAAAUGAUCUUACUUGGCCAUUCGGUCUAUAAUGACCCAUAUAAAAUCAUGAUGACAAUGCAUUUGAGGAAACCCUAUCACAAAAUCCAUAUUCAUUACUUCCCACUUCCAGGGGGUAUUCUAUACUCCUAAAGUAUACCACUAGGCCUUCAUGGCCAACCUUAACCUACUGAUAAUCCUCACACUUAGCCACAAACUCUGUAAUAUUAUUUUUUCAUACCACUCCACCAUUGAUUUCCCACAAAUCACGGUACAUCUUAGUGGCUCCUUGGUGAAUAGAAUAUCACAUACCAUGUACCUCAGCUAAAAUUCACUACCUUAGACUGUCAACACAAGAAAUACAUAGUCUUCCUUGAUAAUGAAAUACACUAUCCUCACUUGGGAGAAUACCUCAACCUUCUAAUCCCUGACUAUCUCCUUUAACUUGACAAAAAUAAUACCCCUGUCUUUCUUUUCUUUUACUUUUCUACCAAUGAGGAUUCCGAACCAUUCUGAACCCAUAAACUACCUUUAGCUAAAUCAACCAACUGAACACCUAACCUAGCAAACAGAUGUACUUCAACAAACACCUCCUUCUUAUCUUUCUCAACAUGUGCAACACUUUUCAUAGAUAAUCUACUAAGGGAAUCAACCACUACAUUGGCCUUACCGAUCAACACACUUAUAUCACUGUCUUUUAACAAUUCAAGCUAGCUUCUAUGAUGAAGAUUAAGUUCUUUCAGUGUGAACACAUACAAUAACAAUUAUUAUCCAUGAACACAUAACCAUGAACCCCAUAAAGGUAAUUUCUCUAAAUCUUUAAGGAAAAGAAAACUCCUACCAACUCAAGGUCUUAGGUUUGGUAAUUUUUCUCAUGGAGUUUAAUAUGUCUAAAGUCAUAGGCUAUGACCUUACAUCACUGCAUUAACACAUACCCAAGACCAACUCUAGAAGAAUUAUAGUAUACCAUAAACCCAUCUAUUCCAUCUGGCAAAGUCAAGACUAGAGCGGAUAUUAGUCGAGUCAUUAUCUCUUGAAAACUCUUCUCGUAGAAAUCUGACCACUAAAAUUUAACUUUCUUUUGGGUUAUGUGAGACAUAAGAGAAGAAAUAAAAGAAAAUCCUUCAAAAAACCAUCUAUUGUAACCAUCUAAACAAAAUAAAUUUCUAAUAUCUGAUGAAGAGAUGGGUCUAGGCCAGUAUCUUACUACUUAGGUCUAUUAAAGAUCAACUUGAAUGUUAUCACCAAAAAUAAUGUGACCAAGGAAAUCUAUUGAUCUCAACAAGAAUUUUUACUUAUUGAACUUAGCAAAAAACUAGCGAUCCUUAAGGAUCUACAAUACAACCUUAAAUGGUCUUCAUAAUCACUCUCACUAUGGGAAUAGAUAAGAGUGUCAUUAGUGAAGACUAUGACUAACAUGUCCAAGUACUGCUUGAACAACCUGUUCAUCAAAUACAUAAAAGUUGUAGGGGCAUUCGUUAGUCCAAAAGACAUAACUAGGAAUUCAAAGUGACCAUACCAAGUCCUGAAGGUUGUCUUUUGAGUGUCACAUUCUCUAACUCUAAGCUGAUGAUAGCCAGCUCUAAGGUCUAUCUUAGAGAAAUAGCUUGCACCCUAAAGUUGGCUGAAUAUGUAAUCAAUUCUAGGGAGAGGAUAAGUAUUCUUAAUUGUAACUACGUUCAAUUAAUGGUAGUCAUUGCAUAUUCUGAGAAAACCAUCUUUCUUGCACAUGAAAAGAACUGGAGCACCCAAUGGGGAAAUACUAGGAGGGAUGAAACCCUUAUCUAAAAGAUCUUCAACUAUUUCUUAAAUUCCUUAAGCUCAGUUGGAGCCAUUAUGUAAUGUGGAAUAGAGAUAGGCUGGAUACCUAGCAGGAGAUAUAUUCUAAAAUUAAUUUCCAUUUCGUGAGGAACUCCAGGAAGAUCUUCAGAAAACACAUCUAUAAAUUCAUUCAACACUAGAACCAACUCAAGACUCAAAGUUUCAAAAUUUGAGUCCUUGACACAAAUGAGAUGGUAUAUACAUCCCUUUGAUAUUAUAUUUUUAGACUUAAGAUAGGAGGCAAAUUGACCCUUAAGCACAAAAGCACUACCCCUCAAUUCAAUAACUAUUUCAUUAGGAAACUGGAAUAGAGCAAUUUUAUUUCUACAAUCAAUUGAGUUAUAGCAUGAGCAGAUCCAAUCCAUGCUGAGAAUGACAUCAAAAUCAUUCAUCUCUAACUCCACCAAAUCAACUAAAGUAACUUUCUUAGAAAAUAUAAUCAGGUAAUUUCUAUAAACCCAUCUAACUACAAUAGACUUACCAACUAGGGAAGAAACUAAGAAAGGCUCUACUAGUGUUUCGAUACUAACAGUAAAGUCCAAAGCUAUAUAAGGACUUAUAAAAUAAAGUAAAGCUUUAGGGUCUAUCAAUGCAUAAAUAUAAAUAUGGAAGACUUGAAACGUACUCAUAACUAAUCAGCAAAAUUCUCCUGAUUAUUUCAAGUUUGGUAAGCAUAAAGGUGGUUCUGACGAUACCUACUGGUGGUACUUGAUGUGGCACCCUGCUGAGUUGGGUGACCUUUUGAAGCUGAUGAAAAGUUGGACUGGCCCUAUUGAAACAAAUCCUUUCUACUCUGAACAACCACUAAAAAAUCCAUGAUUCUAUGUCAUAGUUGUUAAAUCCAAAACAUAUAUCACUACCCCCUUUGCAUUUACCUUGAUGAUUUUUACCACACUUCCAGUAAAGAAGAUUAGUGGAACUACUAUUCAUACUACAUUGAGACUUAGAACAUGUCGCUCUAUCCUGACUGUCCUUCCUAAACUAAGGCACUGGUGUACUAGUUAAAGAUUGGCAGGAGGUAAAAUUUUUUGGUAGAACUGAGAAUGGUUCUCGCCUUCAAACAUUGACUGAGAAAAGUUAAAUCUACUUAUUCUAGGCCUCUUAUUCUAGCUUUUCUUUUCCUUGAUCUUCUCCUUCUCAAUUGGCUAAGCAUGAACUAUCAGCCUAGAAAGGCCCAUCUCCUAAAUUAACAUGGUUGUCCUACACUCCUUUACUACACUAUCAGACACACCAGACACAAACUUGCUUAUCUUAAACCUGGAGUCGGGAACCAUAGUUGAAGAAUAUCUUACCAACUGAGUAAACUUAAGUGAGUAUUCCCACACACUCUGGUUACCCUAAUUAAGAUUUAUGAACUCUUGUACCUUAUUCUCGCUAUACUCAGUGGGAUAAACCUAUCUAUAAAGGUCAUGGCAGACUUCUCCUACUCUAUAAGCCCUGCCUUAUCACACCGGUCCUUCUUCCACUACAUAAACUAAGUAUGAGCUACUCCCUACAACUAGUAAGAAGCUAAGUCUGCACUCACUCAAAGUGACACCCAUGAUACCUGUAACUUUUUGCAUCUCUUCCAAAAACUUCUGCAGAUCCUCCUCAAACUUGAUCUAGAAAACAAAAGGGUAUUCAUCCAAGUAACGUAUCGAAUCAUGGAUAUAGUCAUAUUUAAUAAUGGAUUGAUUGGAGCAAUAGCCUACUAGCUAUUUUGGGUAGCUGUAAAUUGAGACAAGGCUAUGAAGGUGGCCUUGAGCUUAGUAUGGAAAACAAGGUCAUACAUGGGAUCUUCCUAAAUAGGUGGUAGUGCAGGAUGAUAUCCAUUCCUUAUUACAUUAUUUCUUCUUAGAGGCAUUUUCUGUAAAUGAAAUAGUGGAUUAGUUAUAAAAAGGGAAUUUAAUAGAGCUAAUGCUCUUUUGCACGUCAUGAAUGAAAGAAGGGAAACUUACCAAAAAACUUCUCAUAGCCUCAUGCCCAUAAGUAUGGUUCUCUUAACACACAUGCAUAAGAAUCUACUCAAUAUGGAUUUAAGACACCCUAGGACACUUUAAAACUUUAGGCUCUAAAAUAAAGUUUUGUCAUGACUUGAGGCUUCCCUCUAGUCACGACAUGGUACUUAAGGCUACAAGUGACCCCAAGCUAACCCAUGAUCUGGUACAUAUUGUGAGAACUGAAUAAAAUAAAAUUGAAACAUCAUACGUGGAAGAUAAAUGGAUAAAGUUCUGAUAUGAUAUGAUAUAGCACUAAAAUAUAAACCAAUAUUUCUGAAAUAAUUGAAUAGACUAAAAAACUAGACUGCAGUCUAAAAGCCUCUAAAACAUAAGGAGUUGAUGGGACAAAUCCCCAACUAACUCAAAUUAUCUAAGAUAUAGAAAGUAUUAAAAAUAAAUUAAGAAAACAUUUGGUCCUCAUUGAAUAAGGACUCACCACUACUGUUGUUGAGAGGUAUUGAGUUGUCUAAGAAUAAUUAAGGUACUAUUCAUCCAAAACUAUAUUGUAAGACAACAUAGCAUAAAAGAAGAGUAUGUGAUCAAUACUUUGAAUGUACUCAUACGUAAGGUAAGGAAUAACUGGACAUACAUUACAAAAAUAAACACGAAUGCAUGAAUAAGUAAAAAUAAGAAUGCAUGACCAAGUAAAGGAUGUACUAAAAUAAUCUAUUAAACUAACUGACUGAAUAACUAAUAAACAGAAUCCUUCGUCAUGGAAACCUGAGCUGAUAUAAUCUGAAUACUAAACUAAACUAAAACUGUGGGAGUUAUUAUGUAACUGACAUGCCCUAAUCUGAGCUAAUCAGGGUUAAAACACCCUGGGUUUUUAGAACUAUAGAAAAUUUCAUAGAUUUUUAUUCUUUGGACAUCAUAUGACUAGGGGGUAUUAGUUAUAUGAUGGGGUACCAUUUGUAUAGUCUUGGUCGUAUGUUAACCAAUAUUGGCUGGUGGGUUUGAUUGGUUUUUAGUGUGGGUACAACUUGGGUGGGUACGAGUCAUAUGGUGGGUGAUGAUUCGUAUUGUUUAGUUUUUCUAUCACUCAAUCUGAAAUUUGGUAACUUAACUUGGAUCUGAGUACGAAUGGAUCACCAUGAGCCGCAAUAUUGGGUAUGAGUCAUACCAUGCACUUGUAUGGUGAAAAGUGUCCAAAUCCUCUUUGAUUUCCAUUUUAUGGCAGGUACGAGUCGAGGGUACAGGUCGUCUUAUAUGGUUGCAUAUUGUGCAAUGUUACGGUCCAAAGGGAGUCCUAGGGUAUGAGUAAUGGGUACCACUCGUAUGGUAGGAUACGACUGGUAUGGGGUGGUUAUACCCUCCUGCGGGAUUUUUAAAAAUUUAAGUAGGGGUAAUCUAUAAAUUUCCCUACUUAACCUCUUAAGGCCCCAUGAAAUAUAACUCUCUGGUUACAUCAUUUACCCUAAUAUUCUAAUCAUAAACACUUAGAAACUCUCAAAUUCUAUGGAAGGCUCUUGGUUUAAGAAAGGCUAGGACUUUAUCUAGAGGAUCGGCUUGUACGGGUGAUUUCUCUCUUUCGUCUUCAUAAUCUAAGGCAAGAUACUUCUCCCUCAUGGUUAGUUCCAACUAAAGGCAUAUUUUAUGAAUUAUUUUCAUGGCAUAAUUGUUUUAUGGUUUUGGGUUUUAAAUUAUAUGUUGGGGAUUUUGAUUUUAAAUGCUUGGUUAUGGUUUUACCAUGUUUUAAUUAUGGAUGUACAUACUUUAAUCGUGUCUUGGACAAUUGGUUGCAUGGAAAUGGUUAAUUGGUAAUUGGUUUUGGUGUUGGAAUCACUAUACCCCGACAUGUUUGAUAAAGUUCCUAUGAGAAUACUCUUACUAUAUUAUUAAACUUUUAAUGGAACUAUUGCAUGUUAUAACUUGGUAAUGGAACCUUAAAUGGCAUAAAUUGUUUAAAUGGUUUGGAAUGGUUAAAUGGUAAGGUCUUGGUGGUGAUGAUUAUAGUUAAUUAAACAUUCCUUGUGGGGUACGAGGAAAUCCCCAAAGUGGACCUAAUUAUAAACCACUUGUGGGGUACACGAGACUCCCCCGAGUCAACAUGAUAAUGAAACCUAUGGGUACAAAGAAAUACCUUAAUAUUUGAAAGGUUGGCUAAAGACAUUGCUUGCAAGCUAUAGUUGGUAUGAAGAUACCACUAUUUAUAUACUUAGUUAAUAACAAAUGGAAUGGUUGUCUUGGUUAUGUGGUAAUGGUUUUAAUUGGGUAAUAAUGGUGGGGUGUAAUUAUUAGCAAUGAAGGUGUUAGUCCAAUGGACGUACACUAGAAACUCAUGUUUUCCGCCAUGAGAAUUUGGUCAUGAUGACCAUAUGGGGUACAUGGCAAUCCCCUAAGUUACAUUUGUAUAUAUGCAUCAUAGAGCGCGAAGGAUACUUGGGAAUCCCCUACUCCUAUGGUAUCUUCGAUUCAUGUGGUUACACAAAUCGAGGCUCGAUCAGGGGGUAACACUUGACCCAUAUUUCCUGUGGGUGGUACUAGGAUGGUUAAGCUACACAUACCCAGGUUAAUGAUUUUAAAUGCAUGGUAAACCAAAUUUUCUUUCCUAACAUGAUUUUUAUAUAUAUACAUAUACAUAUAUAUCUACAUAUAUAGAUAGAUAGAUAGAUAGAUAGAUAUGGAUUUGUAUGCAUAUGGUUGGUUUACUAGGUUUUAAUGGUUUGCAUUAUUUUAUUCUUAUCUUGAGUACUUGUUAUUGUUUACCCGCUAACCCAUCUUCGGGCAUAUGUAUACUCACGCGAUUACUCCUACUUAGUGAUCAGAUUCAGGAUCAGCUAUGGGAUUAAAGUUGUGAGCUUCUAUAUUCUAGAAGCCUUUAUUUUAUAUCAUGGAUGUCUUUACAUACUUUUCGUCAUUUUAUGGAUAUUGGAUUUGGCUAUAGUUGGGGGCAUGUCCAAACCAAAUAUUGUUUUUCCUUUUAGUUAGUGUCUUUCUGGAACUACUAUGGGAUGGAAUGGGCAGUGUCUGUAUUUGUGUCCACCUUAAUUUUGGCAUUGGUAUUGGUUCUAACACCAUUUGACUGAAUUUAUGAUUGUUCCAUCCUUUUAUGUUAUGUUAUGAGCAGGAACUUAUUUUUUAUUUGUUUGGUUAUUGUUGUUGCUUUGUAUUAGAAGGUUGGACCUUUUUUUGUUUUUUCAUGGUUAUAGACCUAUCCCAGUGUCUUGAAUUGUAACAAAUGCUUCCUUGUUAUACUAUCGGAAUUCAUCCGACUCAAGGUAUAUGUAUUUUGACAUUACGUUGGGUAACAGGGGUAUUCUCCGAUCCUAGUUUGACUUGGGAUGUCCAUUAUGACAAGGCCUUGGUUUGGGUCAUGUAAAGUUGGUAUUAGAUCUUUAGGUUCAUAGUCAAUAGGUAAUCCACAAAAACAUGUCAAGUAGAGUCUCUUUUAAAGGUGUGUAGUGCGCCACACUUAUAAGGGAGAGGCUACAAGGCUUUAGGAAAUGUUUCUCUUCUUUGUGUUCUAUUUUCAAGCUUAGAUUCUAAGUUCUAGAAUCUUCUCUAAUUCUGUUGAAUCACUUCUCAAAUCAUUCCUUAAUGAUAUGAAGUUCACAAAAACUCCUCUAUCCCAACUAGGGAGAAUAUUGAUGGGACACGCUCUACUCAGGGGAUCCAUACUCGGUCUAGGUUCCUGUCCCUGAUAUUCUAGAGUUCUAAUGGUUCCUUCUAGUGUUCCUCAAGCUUAAGUAAUGAAUUUUAAGUUUUGUCAGUCAAUUCAUAUAAUUUCUCAGUUAGUAGUUUCUUAGUCUAAGCGCGGUGCAUAUAGUAUUGCAUUGUUUGAGGCCACAAGGGUUGGCCAAUUCAUGAAGAUGAGUUCUCUAACCUUUACUAGCAUUAAGGUAGAGUAUGAUCCUUAGGGUUUUUGGAUAAGAUGGAAAAGAUUUCUUAGAUUAUGCUGCCAUGAAUAUUGAAGGGCUUGAGUUUGCUUCUUAUUAGCUCAAAGAUAUAGCAUACCAAUGGUAUGAGAAAUAGGAUAGGGCAAGGGGUGAUGUUAUAAAAUCAUCCUUAUGGGAGACUUUCUCCAAUGUAUUUCUAAACUACUCUUUCCUCAAGAUCUGAGGGAAGCAAAAGUGGAGGAAUUUAUUAAUCUGAAAUAGGGAUAUUUAUCAAGGAGUAUGCCUUGAAAUUUUACCAGUUGUCAAGGUAUGCUCAAGAAAUAGUAACUGAUGAAAAUGCUUGGAUAAGAAAGUUUGCAUUGAGACUGUCUCAGGAUUUGAUCCUUGAAAUCAAGACUGCAUUACUGAUUGGGGACAUGGAUAUAUAUAGGUUAGUUGUUUAUAUUCAAUAGGUAGAUAAGAAAAGAAACAAGUUGAGAUAGGUGAAUGGAAAGGUAAGAGGUUUUUUUUAUCAAAGUAGUGGUCAAUAACAAAGUUUUCCUAAUGAUGGUAAGUGGCCAAAGAAGUAGGGGAAUUUUGAUUCCUUCUCCAUAUCUAGUACUCCUUACCUGAAUCAAUUGGGUGAUAGACAUAAUUAUGGUGGCAACAGCUUUAGGGAAUAGGGUUCCUAAUCUUAGGAAAGUAAGGCACAGACGGCUUUAUUGUGUCCUCUUAAAAGGUUCUACAGUCGGUUGAAUAGGGGUUACUAUGAUGAGAGAAGGGACAGGUGUUUUAAAUAUAGUUAGCCAUCCAUAUGCUUAGAAACUGUCUGGUUGGUAAGGUUUCUUUAGGAGCAAAUAAGGUUUCGGUUGCCUCUUCAUCUACUGCUACGCUGAAGGGUAUUAUUGCUUCUACAUCUAUUUCUGCUUUAGGUAUCAAUAUAGGUCGGAAUAGGUUUUAUGCUCUUGCUACUUGAUAGGAAUCUGAGGCGUCACUGAUGUCAUGGCUCGUACGUUACAACUUUUUUCUCAGGAUGUUUAUUAUUUACUUAAUCCACGAUUUACUCCCUCUUAUGUGACCCCAUUUGUUGUUGUGCAUUUUGAUUUUGAUCUCAAGGUUAUUUCAGAUAUUUUUUCUAUUUCUACCCGGAUAGUUGACUCUCUAGUUGCUCAAAGAGUCUAUACGAGGUAUGUGGUAUUUGUUGCUAGUAAGGAGACUUUGGUGGAUUUGUUUGAAUUAGAUAUGGUGGAUUUUAAUGUUAUCCUGGGUAUGGAUUAGUUACAUUCGUGCUAUACAUCACUAGAUUGUCAAACCUAUUGGGUUAUUUUUACAUUCCCUAGUGAACUAACUGGUUAUUGAAUGGAAGGGUGAUUCCUUAGCUCCUAAUGGGAAGUUUAUAUCCUAUCUUAGAGCCCAGAGAUUAAUCUCCAAGGGGUGUCUCUAUCAUCUAGUCUAGGUUAAAUAUUUUAACUGAAAAGGUCCUUCUUUGCAUUGGAUUUCGAUGGGGAAUGAGUUUCCUGAGGUUAUUCUAGGUGAUCUUCCUGAUGUUCCUCGAGAUAGGGAGAUUAAGUUUGGGAUAUAUUUGGCUUCGGACACACGUCCAAUAACUAUUCCUCUUUAUAGAAUGGCUCUGACUGAGUUGAGGCAACUUAAGGAGCAACAUAAGGAUAUCUUGGAUAAGGGUUUCAUCCAUCCUAGUGUGUCCCUUUGGGGUGCACCAACAUUAUUCAUGUGCAAGAAGGAUGGUUCCUUUUGGAUGUGUAUUGACUAUAGGCAGUUGAAUAUGGUGACGGUUAAGAACAAGUAUCCUCUCCCAAGGAUAAAUGACUUGUUUGAUCAGUGGCAAGGUGCAAAAUUCUUAUCCAAGAUAGAUCUUUGGUCUUAGUAUCAUCUGCUUAAUAUUAGGUAGGUGAAUAUCCAUAAGACAACUUUCCAUACUAGAUAUAGGAACUUUGAGUUCUUCGUGAUGUCAUUUGGUUUUGCCUAAUUUUGUGGUACCUAUAAUGGAUUUGAUGAAUAGGGUAUCCCAUAAGUUUCUGGAUUUUUUGUCAUUGGUUCACCGAUGAUAUCCUGAUAUAUUCUAAGAGCAAGGUGGAUCAUGCCAAUUACCUUCGUGUGGUGUUGCAGAUAUUGAAAGAGCAGCAGUUGUAUGGAAAUUAUGUAAAUGUGAAUUUUGGUUGAUCGUUGUUACUUUUCUUAAUUAUAUUAUUUCUAGUGGGGGAACAAUGGUGGAUCCACAAAAAGUGGUGGUGGUUAAGAAGUGUCCUAGACCCAUAACUUUAAACGAUAUUCGGAGCUUCACUGGGUAUUAUAGGAGGUUUAUGGAAAGUUUCUUGAUGAUAACUGCUUCAUUGACCAAGUUGACUCAUAAGAUGGUAAAGUUUUUUUGGUUGGAUGCCUCUGAAGGUAGUUUCGAAGAGAUGAAAGAGAAGAUAAAUUUGUCUCUAUUUUUGAAUUUGUCUGAGGGCAAUAAGGGGUUUGUCGUUUACUGCGAUGCAUCCUGGGUGGGACUUAGUUAUGUUUUAAUGCAGCAUGGUAAGGUGAUUGCUUAUACCUUUAGGCAGUUGAAAGUGCAUGACAAGAAUUAUCCUGCUCAUAAUUUAGAAUUGUUAGUUGUGAUUGUUGCAUUGAAGGUCUGGACACUAUUUGUAUGAAGUGCAUGUAGAUAUCUUCUUGGAUCAUAAAAGUUUGCAGUAUUUAUUUAUUCUGAAGGGGUUUAACCUCAGGCAGAGGAGAUGGCUUGAGCUUCUCAAGGACUAUGACAUGAGUCUUCACUACUAUCUAGGUUAGGAUAAUGUUAUUGCUAAUAUUCUUAGCAGGUUGUCCAUAAGGAGUUUAGCUUUUGUGGAAAAGGAGAAGCGGGAGUUGGUGAAUUGUAUUCAUCGCUUGGCUAAUCUUACAGUUUUUCUUUUGGACUCCAAGAAUGGUGGUAUAUUGGUACAGGAAGUGGUUCAGUCGGCUCUUGGUGCAGAGAUCAAAAAGUAAAUGCUAGAUCCUAUCUUGAUAAAAAAACAAGGGUGAUAUAGGUGGGCAAAUGUUAAUGGUAUUUGAGAUCAGUGGUGAUGGUACCUUGUUGUACCAAAGGUGAUGUCGAUGGUUUGGGACAAAGGAUAUUAUUUGGGGUGCAUGAAUUGCUCUACAUUGUUCAUCCUAAUUCAAUGAAAGUGUAUCAUAAUCUCAAGGAGAUGUACAAUGGUAUAAAAAAGGAUGUGGCUAAUUUUGUGGCCAAGUGUUUAGUGUGUUAAAAGGUGAAAGUUGAGCUCAUACGGCCUGGUUGAUUAUAUCAAGGAAUGGAUUUUUUGAAAUGGAAAUGGGAGGUGAUCAAUAUAGAUAUCGUUACCGGUUUUCCUCAGUUUCGAAAUCAAUUUGAUUCAAUUUGGGUAAUUGUAGAUAGGAUGACAAAUUCGUCUCUUUUUUCUAGUAAGGACUAACUUUUUGGUGAAGGAUUAUCUGAGGUUGUAUCUUCAUGAGAUUGUGAAGCUAUAAAGGGUACCUAUUUCUAUUAUCUUUGAUCGUGGUAUGCAAUUUUCAUCUCACUUUUGUCAGUCAUUUUAGAAGGGGUUGGGUACUAAGGUUAGUCUGAGUAUUGUUUAUCACCAGCAGAUAGAUGGGCAAGCAGAAAGGACUAUUCAUACAUUUAAAGAUAUGCUUCAUGCAUGUGUGAUUGAUUAUGGCGGUAAUUGUAUUGAAUGUCUACCUCAUGUAGAGUUUGCUUACAAUAAUAGGUAAUAUUUCUUUGAGGCAUUGCAUGGUAGGAGGUGUAGGUCUCCUAUUGGGUGGUUCGAGGUUGGUGAGGCGGCUAUGUUUGGUCCAAACUUGGUUCAUCAGGCUAUGGAAAAGUUGAAGGUGAUUCGAGAUUGGCUUAAGGUUGCUCAAAGUUGCCAAAAGACCUAUGUAGAUGUAAGGCAUAGAGACUUGGAGUUUGAGUCUGGGGAUACGGCGUUCCUAAAGGUGUCUCCCAUGAACGGAGUAAUGUGGUUUCAUAAGAAGGGGAAGCUCAGUCCCUGGUAUAUUGGUCCUUUUGUGGUUUUGAGCAGGGUUGGUAAUUUUUCUUAUGAAUUGUAAUUGCCUUCUAGUUUGAGCUCCAUUCAUUCGGUAUUUUAUGUCUCUAUGUUGACAAAGUUUUUUGGUGAUCCUUGUUUAGUUAUUCCUUUUGAAGGAUUAGGCAUUUAAGAUUCUCUGUCUUAUGAAAAGAUCUCGAUUGAGAUCUUAGAUUGGUAGAUUCAUCGAUUACGAACAAAGGAUGUUGCCUCGGUUAAUGUUGUAUGGCGGAUCUAUAAGGUGGAAGAGGCUAGUUGGGAAGCAAAAGAGGACACUUCAGUAUCUGCACUUGUUUUUUGCUUUGGAAGUUCGUCCAGAAGGUAUGUGUUGUUGAUCACAUCUUUUUUUCUAACUUAGCUAAAGGCUAGAUUGAUUUUUUAUAAUGCAAUGACUCAUGUUUUUGCUUACCCUACCCAUCAUUCGAGGACGAAUGAUCCUAGUGUGGGAGACUGAAACACCCCAAAUUUUUGGAACCUUAGAAAAUUUCCUAGAUUUCUAAUUUCUGGACAUCAUACGACUAGGGGGUACUAGUCGUAGAUGGGGUAUGGUUGGUAUGGUCUUGGUCGUAUGUUAACCAGUAUUAGUUGGUGGGUUGGAUUAGUUUCUAGUAUGGGUACGAAUUGGGUGGGUACGGGUCUUAUAAUGGGUGACAGUUCAUAGGUUUGGUUUUUCCAUCACUUAAUCUAAAACUUGUUAACUUAACAUUAAUCUGAGUACGAAUGGCACACUAUGAGCCGUAAGAUAGGGUAUGAGCCGCUCCAUUCACUUGCAUGGUAUAUAGUGUCUAAGUCCUCUUUGAUUUUUAUUCUGUGGUAGGUAUGGGUCAAGGUUAUAGGUCGUAUGAUUCAAUACGACUUGGCUUGGAUGUUCUUACGAUGGGCAGUAUUGGGGUCCAAGCAUAGGCCUAUGGUAUGAGUGAUGGGUACCACUCAUACGAUGGGGUACGACUGGUAUGGGGUCGUCAUACCCUCCAGUGGGAUUUUUAUACAUUUAAGUGGAGGUAAUCUGGACAUUUCCCAACUUAACCUCUUAAGGCCCCUCAACUUAUAACUCUCUUGGGACAUCAUUUAUAGUAAUAUUCUAAUCUUAAACACUUAAAAACUCUCUCAAAUUCUCUCUAAGCUCUUGGGUAAGGAAAGGCUAGAUAUUUCUCCCUCAUUGUUAGUUCCAACUAAAGGCAUAUUUUAUGAAUUGUUUUCAUAGCAUAAUUGUUGUAUGGUUUUAGGUUUUCAAUCAUAUAUUGGGGGUUUUGGUUAUGAAUUCUUGGUUAUGGUUUUCCCAUGUUUUAACUAUGGACUUACAUACUUUAAUGGAGGCUUGUACAAUUGGUUUCAUAGGAAUGGUUAAUUGGUAAUUGGUUUUUGUUUGGAAACACUAUGCUCCUACAUGUUUGAUAAAAUGCCUAUGAGAAUAUUUUUACUAUAUUGUUGGACUCUUAAUGGAACUAUUGCAUGAUAUAACUUGGUAAUGGAACCCUAAAUAGCAUAAAUGGUUUAAAUGGUUUGGAAUGGUUUAAUGGUAAGGUCUUGGUAGUAAUGGUUAUGGUUAAUUAAGCAUUCCUUGUGGGCCCUCCAAGUGAACCUUUUUAUAAAACACUUGUGGGGUACACGGGACUCCCUCCCAAGUCAACUUUAUAAUAAAACCUAAGGGUACAAGGGAAUCCCUUAAUCUUUGAAAGGUUGGCUAAGGACAUUGCUUGCAAGCUAUAGGCGGUAUGAUGAUACCACUAAUUAUAGACUUGGUUAAUAACAAAUUGAGUGGUAGUCUUAUUUAUGUGGUAAUGGUUUUAAUUGGGCAAUAAUGGCAAGGUGUGAUAGCUAACCGUGAAGGUGUAAGUCCAAUAGACAUACACUGGAAGCUUAUGUUUGUCGGUAUGAGGAUUUGGUCAUGAUGACCAUAUGGGGUACAUGGGAAUCCCCUAAGUUACACUUUUUUAUAUGUAUCAUGGAGAGCGAAUGGUACUUGGGAAUCCACUACUCCUAUGGUAUCUCCAGUUUGUGCGGCUACAUACAUCGGGGCCUGUUAGGGGUUACACUUGACCUAUAUAGCCCGUGGGUGGUACUAGGACGGUUAAGCUACACAUACCUAGGUUAAUGGUUUUAAAUGUAUGCUAAAAUUGGUUCCAUUUCCCGGCAUGUUUUAUAUACAUAUAUAUAUAUAUACAUACAUAUAUAUAUGUAUGUAUAUGUACGGAUUUGUAUGCAUAUGGUUGAUUUACUUGGUUUUAAAGGUUGUCAUGAUCUUAUCCUUAUCUUGAGUAAUUGUUAGUAUUUACUCGCUAACCCAUCUUUGUGUGGCUAUAUCCCCAUGCAAUGCAGAGACCGACCAUUCUACUACUCUUGCUUAGCGAUCAAACUCGGGAUCAGCUAUUGGAUUGAAGUGGUGAGCUUCCAUAUUUUGUAAGGCUCCAUUUCAUAUCAUGGUUGUCUUUACAUACUUCUGUCAUUUUAUGGAUAUUGGUUUUAGCUAUGGUUGGGGGCAUAUCCCAACCAAAUUUUAUUUUUUCCUUUUAUUAGUCUUUUUAGAAAUACUAUGGGUUAGAAUGGGCGGUGUCGGUAUUGGUGACAGCCUUACUAUUAGCAUUGGUAUUGGGGCUUAUACCAUCUGACUGAAUUUAUGAUUGUUCUAUCAUUUUGUAUUAUAAAAAUAAACUUGUUUUUGUAUUAUUUUGGUUAUGGUUGUUGGUUGGUAUUGGACGGUUGGACUUGUUUGGGUUAGUCACGGUUAUAGACCUAUUCCACAGUCUAGAAUUUUAAUAAAGGCUACCUUGUUAUACAGUCAGAAGUCAUCCAACUCAGGGUAUACGUAUUUUGAGGUUAGGUUGGGUAAUAGGGGUAGUCUCCAGUCCUGGUUGAACUUGGGAUGCCCAUUAUGAGAAGGCCCUGGUUUGGGUCAUGUUAAGGAUCCAACCUAUAACCCUAGUUUGAUGGGUAUCAGUACCUUACCAUAGGUACUUACACUGGCUGUGUGGAUCCACUAAAUUGGUGUCCCAAAGGACUAGGGUGUUAGUACACUACUGGCGGGUAACCCUUAAAAGAAUGUCAGUCCUCUACUGGUGGGUGACAUAUCAUAACCUAUGAUGGCUAUGUAGUUCUAGAACUUAGAUAUUUCUACUAAAGUUCUUAGUCCUCUACUGGCGGGUGAGCUUUUAUCCCUAGGUUCGCUUGAUGCUAAUCCUACUCCCAACUUAACUGUCACUAGUAUUGAUUACUGUUAACUAAACUCAUAACUAAUAGUGCUCAGCAUGAGCAUAACAGAACUGACUAUGAUAAUGGAAUUAAUGAUUUAACUAACUUAGUACUUGAAAAUCUGAAACAUGAGUAAACACAGAGGUAUUGGGUGUUCAUAACCCUCCCGUGUUAAAUGAUACUAAAAUACGAUUACACCACUUAAAAAUUUAUAGAAAGUUAUAAUUCAGAGACCAAAACAAAAAUACAUUUCAAAGAAUGACUGAGAUACAUGAAUUUGAAAUGGGGAGGUGUUAAACUUGGGAGGAUAACAAUAUAUUAUGGUUUCAUUCAUAACUUGAUAAUUUGACAUGGGGUCAAUUGAAUAUGACAUGGGUAAUUGCAAUUCAAAGUAUGAAAUAACCUAAUUUACACAGGAAAACACGUUGACAAGGCUUGAAUUCAAAUUACUAAGAAAAACAACAACAUGGAUUAAAUUCAUAUUUAAUCCUGAUAAAUUUCACAAAAGAGAAUGCGCAUUCAUUUGAUCCUGAUCCUUGUGGAUCGAAAGGUAGACUAGACUGGACCUGCACGGCCCUCCUAAUAAUAUCCAUAAAUGAGUUGUUUUUGGUAAUAGAUGAACAUUACCGCAUGUAAAUUCUGGUGCAUGAUAGACACCGGUACUCCAGUGCAUUUCUCCAUCUGAAUCAGAAUAAAUAUGUUUUCAAACCUUCUCUUUAAAAUUUAAAGUGGAUAUUCCUGCGCGAAUAUCAGUAAUUACUUGUUCUGAUUCUACAUAUUGAUCGUUUUGAACUAAAAGCAAACUUUUGGGUGGAAUAUUCACAUUAUGUAGAAUAUCUUCACUCUCAAUAGUUACAUACAAGUCUAUAGAACAUAGAAAGGCGGGAUGCCCAUGACGUGUACGUAUCGAAUGAACCAAAUCCUCAUUGAAUUUUAUUUUUCCAUUAGAUGGGGCUCGCACAUGUUCUACAGUACCCCCCGUGAAUACUCCUACAGUAUGAAAAGUUCUUAAUAUUAAUUGAGUACCAGGUUCUCCAAUCGAUUGACCUGUAAUAAUACCUACAGCUUCCCCCAACUCAACCAGGUCGCCAUGAGUAGGACUCCGGCCAUAACAUAAUCGACAAAUCCAAGAUGUACUCCUACAAGUAAAGGGAGUUCGAAUAGAGAUUGGUUGUGCCCGAAAGGUUAUGAAUUGAUUUACAAGUCCAAUGCCAAUGUCUUGGUUUCUAGUGGCAAUACAUCGUGAACCCAUGUAUAUAUCAUCUGCUAAUACACGGCCAAUUAAUGUUUGACUAAAAAUCCUUUCCGGCAUCAUCUCAUUCCAAGGACUCACAGAAAUACCCCGGGCGGUGCCACAAUCCAUUCAACGAACAACAAUGUGUUGAACUACUUCAACAAGUCUGCGAGUGAGAUAUCCAGUGUCUGAUGUUCGUACAGCAGUAUCCACAACUCCUUUACGGGCUCCGUAGCAAGAAAUGAUGUAUUCUGUUAAAGAGAGUCCUUCGCACAAAUUGUUUUGAAUAGGUAAAUCAAUCAUUUGUCUUUGAGGAUCUGACAUUAAUCCUCGCAUACCUACUAAUUGAUGUACCUAAGAUGCAUUUCCUCUAGCUCUCAAGAAAGACAUUAUAUGAACUGGAUUAAAAGGGUCAGUCAUCAUAAAUUUCGAAUUCAUUUCUUGUCGCAAAUAUUCACUUGUAGCAUACCAUAUUUCAAUGGAUUGACGUAAUUUUUCUACCGUGUGUACAUUCCCAUAAUGAUGGUGUUUUUUCAAAAUCAAGCUUUGUUGUUCAGCAUCUUGAGCGAGCCAUCCCUUAGAAGGUAUUGUUAAAAGGUCAUCAAUUCCUAAUGAAAUGGAUGUAGCAGUAGCUUGUUGGAACCCCAGAAUUUUUACUUGAUCUAGGAUAUGUGAUAUAUAUGCCAUUCCGAAGUGCUCUAUUAAUCUACUAAUAAGUCAUUUCAUGGAAGUUCCGUCUAUCGCUUUAUUGUGAAAGACCAGAUUGGGCCGUUCUGCCAUAGGUACCUCUAUAUUUCGCUGAGUAGGAUUCGACAAUGGGUUUGAGUCAGUGAUUGUAAAACUUCCUUUUAUCGAUCUUGAUUCACGUAUAAAUUCUGAAACUAUGUACCUAGCUGAACCGAAGAACCCCAAAGUCCCACGGUAUCAUAUAAUUACGUUAGGUACCAUAUGAAUAGGCUCGAGAAAACCCCUAUAUAGCUUCUUUGAUUUCUCGAUAAAGAGCAAUAUGACCAACAGUGGUUUGAAUGUAUAUAAAAAGGAUUUGUUUUUGUAGACUUCUUACUAUUAGAUAGUGUCCAUAAAUCUCAUAAAAGAACCUAAAGAUUCAUAGUGAACUUCGAUGGGAGUUUCUCUUGAAGCAAUAACGCGGUUAUCUAGUCACCACCGGAGCCACAAAGGACUAUCUAAAUUGAUUCGUUUCUGCCGAUAAGCCCAAAUUGCAUCAUAGGAAUUCAAAAAAAGGGGUUCUUUCGUAUACUUAUAGUAACUAUUGUCACUUCUUUUUUGAUUUUGAUAGUUUCUGCAAUUAUAUGGAUUAUAUCUAUUUACACAAAUACCUCGAUGAUUUCCGCUCGUUAAUACAUAGAGUCCAAUAAGCAUAUCUUGGAUUGGUACGAAAAUGGGAUCCCCAAUAGUCGGAGACAAAAGAUUCAUAUGAGAAAACAUGAGUAAACAGGCCUCUACUUGAGCCUCCAAGGAUAACGGUACAUGAACAGCCAUUUUAUCUCCAUCAAAAUCGGCAGUGAAUCCCUUGCAAACUAAUGGAUGUAAGCAAAUAGUGCGCCCCUCCACUAAAAUGGGCUGGAAUGCCUGUAUGCCUAAUCUAUGCAGAGUGGGUGAUCUAUUUAGCAAUACAGGAUGUCCUUGCAUAACUUCUUGAAGGAUUUCCCAUACAAUCGGCUCUUUUUCUCGAAUUUUACUCUUAGCAACUCCUAUGUUUAAAGCAAGAUGUUUUCUAAUUAGACCAUGAAUUACAAAUGUCUGGAAAAGUUCUAUUGCUAUUUCAUGAGGCAAUCCACAUCGAUGUAAUGAAAGUGAAGGACCCACGCCAAUGACAGAACGUCCUGAAUAAUUAACUCAUUUUCCAAGUAGAGUCUCACAAAAUCUUCCCUCUUUGCCUUCAAUUACAUCAGAAAAUGACUUGUAAACUUUAUUAUGACCAUCCCUCAUUGGUUGUGCUCGGAUUCCAUUAUCAAGAAGUGUAUCCACGGCUUCUUGUACUAAUUUCUCCUGACACAUUUCUAAUUCUCCUAGAGUAGAUCUACUUGUUGUUAAUAGAUUGGUAAGGGUAUUGUUCUGAUAGAUAACUCUUCUAUAGAGUUCAUUAAUAUCUGAGCUCAUUAGUUUACCCCCAUCUAUCUGAAUGAUCGAUCUCAACUCAGGAGGAAGAACUGGUAAUAGACACAAAACCAUCAAUUCUGGCUCUAUAUUUGUUCGAAUAAAAUGCUUAGCCAAUUCCACGCAUCUAACCAAAAAGUCCUUUCUUCUUUCAACCUUUCGAUCUUCCCAUUCAUUCCCUGUGUGCCAUUCUUCCCCCAAUUCUUCCCAUUCCACCAACGAAUUCUCUAUAUAAUUCAUAAAUCUAGAUCAACUAAUUGUUCUCAGAUAGCACCUACACCAGUAGAGAUUUGUCGAUUGUGAAAUGUAUCGAAACCCUGGGUAGUAAAAAAAUUGGGAUGCUGUAUUUCCAAAACCUGGUAAAGAGCCGCCCGAUUUGGAUUUGUACAUAUAGGACAAAUGCUCUCAUUACCAUUUCUUUUUGUAUUUCUUUUUUUUUUUCAAUUCAUUUUAUACAAGUAUUUAUUAGAGUUGAGAUAACUUUGCUUGACAAUUAGGAUCUCUUUACAAAUUACAAAAAAAAAAUAUGAAUAGCAAUCAUAGAUAUCUUACCAAUCCAAUUGGGUUUUUUCUAAACGGAGCCUGGAUACUUCAUUUUUUUAGUCCAACCAAGCCAACCAUAAAUUAUUCUAAUUGAUAAUAGUAAUAUGAAUCCUCUCAAAAAUGGAUCUAAUUGCACUUCACGCUCCAAAUUUUUGAUGAUUUAAUUUAUCAUUUUAUCAUUCUUGGGCGAAAUGGGGGAUAUCUCGAUCAGGGGAGAGAACGGGGAAAUACCAUAUAACCCAAUAUAUCUGAUAAGUCGCACUAUAUGUCAACCCAAAGUAGAUUUGCCUCUCCGAGACCUCGAAAGGGAACUUUCGGAACACCAAUAGGCAUUAAAUGAAAGAAAGAACUAAAUACUAUAUUUCACUUUGAGGUGGAAACGUAACAAUUUUUUUACUGUACUUAGAAUAUUCAUAUUAGUUCUUAUCGUAUUUAUUUUAUCCAUAGAUUCUAAAAAUUCAUAAAGAAAGACAGAAUGAAUAAACUCAAAUUAUUACGAAUAGGUCUUUCUAAUGAUAAAUAAGUAUGGACUCAUUCGCUCAUAGAAAAUGAGAUCAACUCCCCCAUUGCGUAUUAGUACUUAUCGAGUAUAGAAUAAAUCUGCUUCUCUUUGUUCCUACGAAUAGAAUUGUUCUAUUAUUACCACCAGAAUAGCACACCCUUGAUUCAAAAAUAAUCGACUGAACAAGAGUGGUCCAUAGGAUAGUCAUAUUAUAGUCUUUUCCAAUGCAAUAAAGUUAUGGAGUAUUUAUUUAUCUUUGAUAUAAGGGGUAUUUCCAUGGGUUUGCCUUGGUAUCGUGUUCAUACCGUUGUAUUGAAUGAUCCCGAUUAGUUGCUUUCUGUUCAUAUAAUAGAUACAGCUCUGGUUGCUGGUUAGGCCGGUUCGAUGGCUCUGUAUGAAUUAGCAUUUUUUAAUCCUUUUGAUCCUGUUCUUGAUCCAAUGUGGAGACAGGGUAUGUUCAUUAUACCCUUCAUGACUCAUUUAGGAAUAACCAAUUCAUGGGGCGGUUGGAGUAUCACAGGGGGGACUAUAAUGAAUUCGGGUAUUUGUAGUUAUGAAGGUGCAGCGGGAGCACAUAUUGUGUUUUCUGGCUUAUGCUUUUUGGCAUCUAUCUGGCAUUGGGUGUAUUGGGAUCUAGAAAUAUUUUGUGAUGAACACACAGGAAAACCCUCUUUGGAUUUGCCAAAGAUCUUUGGAAUUUAUUUAUUUCUCUCAGGGGUAGCUUGCUUUGGUUUUGGUGGAUUUCAUGUAACAGGCUUGUAUGGUCCCAGAAUAUGGGUGUUCGAUCCUUAUGGACUAACGGGAAAAGUAAAACCUAUAAAUCCAGCGUGGGGCAUGGAAAGUUUUGAUCCUUUUGUUCCAGGAGGAAUAGCCUCUCAUCAUAUUGCAGUAGGAACAUUGUGCAUAUUAGCGGGCCUAUUCCAUCUUAGCAUCCAUCCACCACAACGAGUAUACAAAGGAUUGCGUAUGGGAAAUAUUGAAACCAUCCUUUCCAGUAGUAUUGUUGCUAUCUUUUUGUAGCUUUUGUUGUUGUCGGAACUAUGUGGUAUGGUUCGGCAACUACCCCGAUUAAAUUAUUUAGGCCCACUCGUUAUCAAUGGGAUCAGGGGUACUUCCAGCAAGAAAUAUAUCAAAGAGUUAGUGCUGGGCUAGCAGAAAAUCAAAGUUUAUCAGAAGCCUGGCCUAAAAUUCCUGAAAAAAAAUUAGCUUUUUAUGAUUAUAUCGGCAAUAUUCCGGCAAAAGGAGGAUUAUUCAGAGCAGGUUCAAUGGAUAACAGGGAUGGAAUAACGAUUGGAUAGUUAGGACACCCUAUCUUUAGAGAUAAAGAAGGGCGUGAACUUUUUGUACGUCGUAUGCCUACUUUUUUUGAAACAUUUUUGGUCGUUUUAGUAGACGGCGAUGGAAUUGUUAGGGUUAAUGCUCCUUUUAGAAGGGCAGAAUCGAAGUAUAGUGUUGAACAAGUAGGUGUAACUAUUGAGUUCUACAGCGGUGAACUCAACGGCAUCAGUUAUAGUGAUCUUGGUACUGUGAAAAAAUAUGCUAAAUGUGCUCAAUUGGGUGAAAUUUCUGAAUUAGAUCGUGCUACUUUGAAAUCCGAUGGUGUUUUUCAUAGUAGUCCAAGGGUUCAUUUACUUUUGGGCAUGCUUUGUUUGCUUUGCACUUCUUCUUCGGACACAUUUGGCAUGGUGCUAGAACCUUGUUCAGACAUGUUUUUGCUGGUAUUGACCCAAAUUUAGAUGCUCAAGUUGAAUUUGGGGCAUUCCAAAAACUUGGAGAUCCAACUACAAAAAGACAGGCAGCCUGAUACAACAUUGCUUUGGUAUCUUUCUUUUUCCCUUAUUUUCUUUCUUUUACUUUUAUUGACAUAGGGUACCAGAGAAAUCUUUAUUUGAAUCAACUUCGUUUUUACUCUUGUUCGUUCUUUAUCUGGAAGAUGAUAAAAAAAAGAAAAUAAAAAGAAACAAACAGGUAUGAAAGCUAUAAUUGUAAACCACGAUCGAAUCUAUGGAAGCAUUGGUUUAUACAUUCCUCUUAGUCUCGACUCUAGGGAUAAUUUUUUUCGCUAUCUUUUUUCGAGAACCGCCUAAAGUUCCAACUAAAAAGAACUAAAAAGGGGAAUGAAUUUUUCAUUAUCUCAGUUGAAGUACUGACCCUCCCGAUAUCGGGAGGCUUAGUACUUCAACUAAUCUCCAUGUUCCUCGAAUGGAUCUCUUAGUUGUUGAGAAGGUUGCCCAAAAGCGGUAUAUAAGGCAUAUCCAGUAAAACUUACAAGUAAACUAGAUAUAAAGAUGGCGACUAGGGUUGCUGUUUCCAUUCUUAUCAUAUUUAUAUAAUUUCAAGACCCCAAUGGAUUAUGAUAGGAUCAUUUACUUACAACGGAAUGGUAUACAAAGUCAGCAGAUCUCAAUGAAUACUAUAGGAUUUAUGGCUACACAAACUGUUGAGAACAAUUCUAAAUCUGGUCCGAGACGAACUGUAGUAGGAGAUUUAUUAAAACCAUUGAAUUCGGAAUAUGGUAAAAUAGCUCCUGGGUGGGGAACUACUCCUUUGAUGGGUGUCGCAAUGGCCUUAUUUGCGGUAUUUCUAUCUAUUAUUUUGGAGAUUUAUAAUUCUUCCAUUUUAUUGGAUGGAAUUUCGAUGAAUUAGAUCUAUAAGAAUCGCAAAGUCCUUACUUUGGAGUCCAAAAUGAAUCAUUUAGAGCUCCGAUUUAUAGUACAUUCUAUUUUGUUUUGGUAGUUCGAUCGUGGAAUUUCUUUGUUUCUGCACUUUCGGAGUAUGAGUGUGUGACUUGUUAUAAUUGAUCCUAUUGAUAGUACAGAGAAUGAGUCUGUCAUCUUGAUAGAGAUGAUUCUACUUCGUCAGAUAUUUAUUCUAAUAUUUGGAACACGAAAUAGAUUAAGAAAUAUUUGAACUAUGAUUCAUACUUAAUAUUCAGACCCCGUGUCCGGGCUCCAAAAAAUUUUCAAACAAAGAAUUCGAAUUUCUAAAUCGAAAGAUUCUUUUCUUUCAACCCCUAAUUUAUAUUUUGACCAAAAGCAAAACCUUUCUUUGAAUUUUUAGUCAUUCUAUUUAUUCAGGGAAUAAGUGAUGAUCCGAGGAUUCUUACUCAGAGAAUCCUUGAUUUGAUUUAGGUUAGGUUUUUUUUAUUGAAUCAUCGUGGUUCUAGUAUGAAUCUGAGGUUUUAAUCGAUUCAUAGGGUCUUAACAAGAGAAUUCCUAUCAAUAAUAAAGAAAACAAAGAAUAAAAGACAUAUUCCACAAAAACAAAUUCUAGAAAGAAAUAGGGAAAAAGAGAAUUCAAGAGGCCCAUAAGUAUCAAAAUAAAGAUAAAGACGACUGCGCCAACUUGAUAUUUUGGUAUUAUCGCCACAAAGAAGAGCUUUCGGAUUUUCCAGAGAAGAUGGGAUCAGAACUUAAUAACUUUAAAACUUUCUAUUCCAUAUCCGUUACAACUAGUAUUUGGGAGG